AGAAUAAUUGACCAAGCACUACUCUUGAUCAGCUGAGGAUCAAUGACAUGAAUUAUAUAUAGUGUUUACGGUGUGGUUUUCAGUUUAUGCAUGGAUGAUGUACUGCUGCCAUGCAUACGUCUCCCUACGGUGGUACUAGUACAUUGAAGGUGCAGUUGUUCCAAUAAAAAUGCACCAUUAAAUAAAUAAAAACCACCGUUUAUGUUUGAGUUUGUAUUCCUGUAUGAUAAAGGUGCACUGAUACCAAUAAAAAGGCACCAUUAAAUAUGAUGGCUUCGUCACUUUCUUUUUGUUCUUUUGUCGGUUUGUCAGUUGUCCAAGGUAUUCAAGCUCAUAUUCUUUGAUGCGAUGUGGCAAUUGUACAAUGUGAUGGUUAAAACUGGAAGUUCAAGAAAGUCAUAUUCUCAAGAGUAAAAUACACUUUGCCUUCCUAUGAUUUGAUAAUUUUUCACAUAAUCUACAUAUGAUUUCAAAAUUUAUAUAAAAUCUCUUUAUGAUGUGGAUUAAAAUAUCAAAUUGAUGAAAAUAAUCUUCUAUAACAGGAUCUAUAAAAAUGUUCAGAUUACUUUUGCUCCCUCCAUCCCACUUUGAUAGUCCCAUUUCUUUUUUCACACAGUUUAAGAAAAAGUAAUUAACUUUGUUGGAAAAGUAAAUUUAGAUUGCUAUUUUCCUAAAAUACCCUUACAUUAAAUAUGGUACAACUUUAUGGGAACUUGAAUUGAUGGUAAAAAAAGAAUCAACUCUCAUUAAAUGGGGUAGUUUUAUAGUAACAACAACUUACAUUGAAUAAGGGUAUUUUAGGAAAAUUAAAAUACAACUACAUUCUUCAAUUGGAAAGUGGACAACAAUUUGGGACAGACGAAAAAGGAAAACGGGACUAUCAAAGUGGGACGAAGGGAGUAUUUAAAAACUAAAAUGACUAAGAUGAUCAAAACAUAUAAAUAUAAUGUGUAUGAUAUAUUAAUUUCUUAUGAUUUUAUAUUUUAUCAUAUAACUCCAAUAUAUAAAUAUAAUAUAUAUAUAUAUAUAUAUAUGAUAUUUCCAACUAUAACCUGACAAUAUGGAUUUUGAAUUCUAAAGGUAAACACUACUAUCAGGAAGAGGGAAAACCUUUAAGUUACCAUCUCAGUGGAUAUUUCCCUGAAAAAUUACCAUUCUUUUCCUCUGUAAAACGAUGUUGUCCAGCUGAUUCUUGCAUGAAUUAAUGGACACUACAGUGCAGUUAGCAAGAAUGCGGCACAAAAAGAAUCCGGUCAGAUUCUGACUCUAAAAGGAUAGGACAAAGUUUGAAGUCAACUAAAAAUUGGCAUAUAUCAAAAUCCAAAAGCCGCCUAGCGUAACCGCUUGACCUCUCUCUCGUCAUGGUAUCAAUGUUUAAAAACUCAAACCAGAGGGUGAACUGGUUAAGUGUUUGGUUCAUGGUUCAACCCUUUUUUUUAUUUUACUAUCAAUGAUAUUCUUGUCUAGCAAUUAUAUCUUUCACUUAUCUCUUUACUAAAAAUUGUUGUAAUCCUUUUGAAAUACAUUGCCACUAGAUUUAGAUUCCAAAUGCAAACUAAUUAUCACUUAUUAUCUUCUAUUAUAUUUAAAGAAAUUAGUUAACGUAAAAAAGUUCAAAAGUUUGAUCAACUUGAGGAAAAAUAAUUUUAAUUUCGACAAAAAGAAUUACAAAUUCUACGAACUAAAUCAAACCACAUAUUUUGUUUGGAAGCAACAUCUUCAUAUGGGCCUCAAAUCUUCAUAAACAGCUACAACGCACGGCACAUCUUCAAAAAAUCUGCAUAUCACAAUUCAUAAUCAUCAUCCAUAAGUGUCCAUCACCGUCUUCAGCAAACCCUAUUUAUCAUAAAAAAAAAUAAAAGAAAUUAGACAAAAUGACGUUAAACAUCAAAAUAGCAAAAAAGAUGGGGGAAACGUAAGAAAAACUACAGAUAAUUAAUUAGCAAUACAAGGUCAAAAAAGAAACCCAAACCAUAAAAAAGGAAAACUAUAAGAACAUAAGGAAAAACAAAGUUGCAGAAAAUUAAUUACCAAUACCAAAAAACAUAAAAUAAAAUCAUAAAGAACAAGGAAAAAACUUGCAUUUGUUACAAGGAAAAGUCCAAUUAUUGAAAAAGCAAAAAAAAAAAAUUUUAAUCAUACAAAACAAGGAAAAUAAUUAAAAUUUUACAAAAAAAAAUUUACAAAUUCUACAAACUAAGUCAAACCACAUUUUUUUUCUUCGUAUGAGCCUCAAAUCUUCACAAACAGUUACAACACAUGGUGCAUCUCCAAAAAAUUCUCUAUAUCUCAAUUCAUCCUCAUCAACACACGGCGCAUCUCCAAAAAAAAAGCUCUAUAUCACAAUUCAUCAUCAUCAUCCUCAUCCAUAAGUGUUCCUCAUAGACAUCAGCGCACCUUCUUUAUCAUUAAAACUAAAUAAAAUUAAUUAGACAAAAAGGUGUUAAACAGCAAAAAAGAAGGAAAAAAAACUAUAGGAAAUUAAUUAGCACUACAAGUUCAAAAAUGAAAACCGAAACCAUAAAAAUUGAUAACGGUAAAAACAUAAGGAAAAAGGAAACAUGCAUACACAAAACUAAUUACCACUGCAACAAAAAACAUAAAAUCAAAAUUGUAAAGGAAAAUGAAAAAUAAAACUAGCACCACAAAACAUAAAUUAACUAGCUCUAAAAAAUGAAAACCAUAAAACAAGCAAAAGGGACGCAAACAAAAAGAAAAACUACAAGGAGUCAAUCAAUACUACAAAAUAUCAAAAAUCAUAGCGAAAAAGACAGAAACAUGCAACUAGCCCGGUUCUUGUGUUUGGUAAGAAAUGAAUGGGAUUUGUGUAAAAGCUUUUGUCAUUCUAUGGUUAUUAAAUCAUCUACAUGUUUGUCUAUACAAGGACAUGAUUGUGCUUUACAAGGAAUGCAUACACGAUAGGAAAAUGAAAUAUUUAGAUAUAUAUACAUCAGCAGAUUAAGAUAUUGAAAAUCAUAAUAAAUUGUGCCAUCAAUUAGUAUAUAUGAUUGAACCAAUUUGUCCUAGAGUUUCCAGUGUGGACGAAUCUGGACUAAUAAUUUGCACUAUGCAAAAUAGAUAUGAGAAUGGAGAUUAUAAGGUUAUGGAGCUAUAGAUAUUGUAAAAUUUUGGAAAAAUAGAAUAGAUUGGAGAUAAAUAGAGAAAAGGAGAGAAGAUGAGGAGAGGAAUAGAUUGGAGAAAGAGAAUUGUUGAUGGCUAGUUGCUUGAGAAGAGUAAAUUUAGAGCUUGAUUUUUUAAGUUUGAUUUUUUCAGUUAGUUGGAUUUAUGUGAACAAAUUUUACAAAUCGGCAGGUUACAGUUCAAUUGGUUAUAUACUGGUUUGUCGAUUUUGAUCGGUUUUUAGUUAUUUAACUUAUUUCCAGCUUUGAUAUCCAAUUUGAUUGGUGUCAUGAUCUGUUCAUGGUUUAACCAGUCAAGCCGGUCAGUCUGACUCGAUUUAAAAACAAUGCAUGAUAGCCUUCUUUUAUGUCUCUGGUAAGAUGUCAAAAUCCUUUAAUUUUGGCUUGAGAAAAAUUAAUGUUGUUACUGCUUGUUUACCCAAAAGCCAAAUCAAGUCACAAUACACCGGGAAGACAGAAUUUUAUCCCGUCUAGAAAAUGCCAUUUAUUAAUGCCAAGGUAAAUUUAUCAGGAAGAAACCAACAAAUACAUAGUGCUAUAGAUUAAACACUGGUUUCCUAAACUAUAAAUAGAAUGCUGAUGGAUUGAUUCAUAAAACAAUCACUUCUAGUUCAACGUGUCAAUGAUGAAAGGCGCAUUAGUCAUAUUUCUUACCCUCAUAAGCCAAGUUUCAUUUGUAAAAUGUUACGAGGGAGAAAAAUACGAGACCCUUCGAAAAUUCCUCCUCCCUGAGAGCUUAAACAGAUCAAACAAUUACAUUACUGAUGAGGAUUCAGCUCAUCAGUAUUCGCCAGUAUAUAUUGGUCCUCAAGAGGGGUUUAAAGCAGCCAACAAAAUCAUCGCAUUGCCAGGGAACCAAAAGGAGUAAAGUUUGAUCAAUAUUCAGGGUAUGUCACUGUUGGUCCUACGGCUGGUCGAGCUCUCUUUUACUAUAUUUCCGAGUCCGAAAACCCUUCUAGCAAGCCUCUUGUGCUGUGGUUAAACCAAGGUAUAUGUCCUAAUUAUUUUCCCUAACCUAUUAAGCAUUCUGGAUGUGCGUAACUUGGAAAAAAUCUCUUAAUGGGUGAUGGCAGGGCGUGGCUGCUCUUCUCUGGGUGUUGGAGCAAUGAGUGGACAAGGUCCAUUUCGAGUCAGUAAAGAUAACAAAACACUAUGGCACAAUGAAUAUGCCUGGAAUAAAGGUAGAAGCGAAUCCAUACAAUUUUAUAACACUAAAAUUCUUUUGCAAAUAUUUUAAUGAGCUCUCGAGAGUUAUCAUGUUUGAAUUCAGUGGCAAACAUACUUUACUCGGAAUCACCGGCAGGUGCUGGAUUUUCUUACUCAAACACGUCAUCUGAUUACACUAUUGGAGAUAAACAAACGGCAAAAGAUUCUUACACAUUCCUAAAAAAUUGGUUGGAAAGAUUCGCUAACUACAAAAGCAGAGACUUUUACAUAGCUGAAGAAGAUUAUGCUGGCUUUUUCGUACCUGAACUUGCUUAGCUUAUCCUCCAUAACAACAAAAUAACUAACCAAACGGUAAUUAACUUGAAAGGAAUUGCAGUAAGUUUUGUUUCUUUUUUUUCCUUUAUUGGUUACAUUAUAUGUGCUGUUCAAACAUCAAUAUGUUUUACAUCUAAUGAUGAUGCUGUCUUGUUAUUUUCAGAUGGGAAAUGCUAUUGUGGAUACAGAAAACCAAAGCAAGGGACCAUAUGAUUUUUUGUGGUCACGUAGCCUAAUAUCUGAUGAAAUAUAUCAAGGUUUAGUCUCAAAUUGCACUUGUAAUAAGUACGCCGAACAAGCGGUGAAGGCAAUGGGAAACAUCAAUCGCUACAACAUCUAUGCUCCAGUGUGCUCUUCUACUUCCAAUGCUCCUUGGGUACAAUUCUACUCUUCAUAUAUGAUAUGUUACCUUUCUAUUCUCAUCUGAAUGAAAAGCCAAAUUACUUACAGCAAUUUGCAAUGUUUCCGUUGAUUGAAAUAGAUAUACGGUGAAGAUCCAUGCGCGGAUGAUUAUGCGUUAUCCUACCUAAACAAUCCUGAAGUGCAAAAGUCGCUUCAUGCGAAUGCAACUGGAAUUGGACUUAUGGGUUACUGCAGGUACGUAUGCUAUCGUGCCAUUGCUAUUACAUUAUUUCAUAUCAAUAUUUGAAGUAUAUUUUUUGUGACGUACAUAACUAUCAUCGUUCUAUGGCUUGGAUAUCCAUAUAUAGCAGAUUCAUUAAUUGGACCGAUAGUCCAGAUACAGUUUUAUCUACCAUUAGGGAGCUAAUGGCAGGUGGCAUUAACGUAUGGAUGCAUAGGUAACUAAGUGAUGAAUUUGUGGUUGUGGAAAAGCUAGCAUUUACGACAAUCUGCCUUUGUCCAUCUAUUGUGUUAACUAAGACAUUGCAACAAUUUUGAUGAAUUCCAGUGGAGAUACAAAUAGCUUUAUACCCGUGACGGCAACUAGGUAUGCCAUAAAGAAGCUAGGGGUAGCCGUGAAAGCCCCUUGGCAACCGUGGUACUCCCAAGGCGAGGUAAAACAAAAGUGAGGUUCAAAUAUAUUGUAUUUAUUCAAGUCAUUCACUUCCUCUUGAUACUAGUAUUAAUUGAAUCUGUUCUAAAUUGAAAAUGAUUAGGUUGCAGGAUUUGUGGUGGAAUAUGAGAACUCAACAUUUGUGACUCUUAAAGGAGCUGGAUUGUUCGCUCCCAGCUAUAAGCCUGCCCGCUCACUCGCUAUGUUCUCAUCAUUCUUGGAAGGAAAUUUUCCUUCAUCAAGCUAGGACAAGAUGAAAGGGCCAAAGAGGAAAGGAGUUUGAUUAGUGCCAUGGAGCAAAUUGUUCAUGAUUGUUCAGCUCAUUUGGUUUGUUGUUUCACUCAUGGUUCAACUUUGUUAAACCAAAAUAGGUUUCUGUACGUUGCUUCAAGUUUAUAAUUAUGGAGGGCCUCUGUAAGUUUUAUGUUUUAAUAAAGAACUCUGAAAUUGUCUUAAGAUCAAUUUGUGGCUUGGUCACUGUACAACUAUCCUUGACUUGGAAGUUAACCAUAAAUUAAUUUAAUUCAUACCCCAAGUCUGCCCUUAAUUCAGAAGCAUAGAUGUACGUGAAAGCAAAUAUUGGGUGGACCACAGGAGAAACUGUGAAUUUCUAAUUGGAAGAUUGAAGUCAUUGGCACAUUAAAUUUCUCAUUAGAAAUUUCAAAGUUGAUGGAUAUAAUCUCUCUAGGUUUAACUGUUUAAGUACUCAUUCUUCUUUAAGUACACAUCGAAUCACUCCGAGUCAUCCCGAAUUAACUCGAAUUUUUAUUAAUUUUACUAAUUUUUUAAUUAUUUUUUUAUCAUAUUUUUUACAAUUUUUAAAUACAGAUGGAUGCUCAAGGGGCAACCUUGGGAGGAGUGGAGGGGGAGGUCUGAUUAGGGAUAGGAAUGGGCAAGUCAUAUUAGCAUUUUCCUGUUAUUUUGGGGAGAUGACUAGUUUGCAAGCGGAAGUGAAAGCGCUAUUACACGGGGUGCGGUUGGGUAUAGCUCGAGGACUGUCCAAUGUACACUUGGAGUCUGACUCGUUGGUCCUUGUCCAAAUCAUUCAGGGAAGAGUCAAGUGUCCGUGGGUUGUGUAGCGGGACGUACAAGAAUUGCUGCGGUAUAGCCGUCAUUACAAAGAGAUUUCACAUUGCUUGCGAGAAGCGAAUAAACCUGUGGAUAGACUAUCGAAGCUUGGAGCUGAUUCGGGGGAGUCGGUAGUUUACGACUCCUUUGUUGAUCUUCCCCGCUUGGUUAGAGGAGACAUUACUUUGGAUAGGUGGGGUUGCCUUAGUUUCCGUAGGGGUAGAUAUAAAGGAUAGGUUGGGUUACUUGUUCAGGCAUGCUGGGGGUGCUGUCUCCCUCUAUGUACUUUCGAUUCUUUAUAAUAAUAAAAUAAAUUGAUAAAAAAAAAUAUUUUAAAAAUUCGUGUCUCGUUGAGACCGCGAUCGAUAUGUCGAGACCGAUGUAGAACGAUUCAAACCGCGAUCGCGACUUUGAACCAUGACUUGAAGAUGGCAUCGGUUCAUGUGUCAACUUGCUAAAAUAACUAAAUCAACUCCAUAUUCGAAUUCUGAAGUUGAUAGUGAGAGGAGAUCUUAGUCACUGGACCAACCCGGCCUUGUGAUAUGAAGUCAAAGGUUUGAAUGAUGAUAAAACAAUAACAGAAAAAUAUAGGCCUAGCUAUAGUAAUUAGGUGAUGUUGGUGUAUAUUUUCACACUGACCUCAUCACGGACGUGUAAAAACAUGUUCCAUGCUAGUGGACCCUGAUUUUGGUGAUAAGGUCCAACAUUACCACAAAUUAAUUUAUGGGGUGCAUUACCACAUUUUUACGCCUAUAAAUACAACGAGUCUGGUUCUCUGCUAUACCAAGUUUUCGACAGUAACCAGUUACAAAUAUCUAUUUUCAUCCUUAUUAAUUAGCAAGCUAGCUCUUUAAGGAAAAAAUGGCUGCAGCCAAAUCUGCUAUUGGCACUGGAAAGGUAAAUAGCGAUUGUACGCCUAGCUAGACUUAGAUUUCUUUCUUUUACAAGUUUGUGUGUGGUUUUGAGAAUCAACUCAUAAACAACUUGUACAGAAACGUUUGCAAGAGUAUAAGGAGUUGCAAAUUAAAGUAACAUUAACAUUCUUGAAUUUUCUUAAGCAAUAUUUUAUGUAUUCUAGUUGUCUACAUGCAUAUGUGUAGGCGGUCUCUUGAAUUGUCUGAUUAAGCUUCUUCUGAGUGAUACAGUUUCUUAUUAAUUGGUCGGAUUUAGUUUUCUGGUCGUUUGUUUAUUUGAAAGGAUUCUAAUUGAUUUUGGGAAACUCAAUUAUUUUGGGUUUUGAUACUGAAAAAUAUGUUUGGGGUUUACAGAACGACAUCAGUGAACUAGAACCAGUGAAGCCGGCUGACCCUCACGUGGUCCAGAUCGGAGAAUUUGUAGUGGAACAAUGCCACCACGGCCAGCUGCUUUUCGUCGCCGUGGUUGGAGGAUUCACGUGGAGCGGUGAUGGAGGUUAUUACUACGCACUUAUCAUUGAAAAUCAGGAUAGCGACGGUGCCACAUAUCUCCAUAAAGCACUUGUUCUUCAGACCCCAAGUGAAACGAAACUCAUCUGGCACAAGAAGUAAGCAAGCACUGCUGUUGAUCAACUGAGGAUCAACGACAUUAAGUACUCUAAUUAUAUAGUGUCUUUGGUGUGGUUUUCAGUUUCUGCAUGGAUGAUGUAUUGCUGGCAUGCAUACAUCUCCCUGCUGUUGUACUAGUAUGUAAGGUGCAGUUCUACGAACAAAAAUGCACCGUUAAAUAAAAAAUCCGCUGUGUGUUUGAGUGUGUGUCAUUUUACUAGUAUGUCAAAGGUGCACUUAUACGAACAAAAAUGCACCAUUAAAUAAAUAAAAACAGCCUUCUGUGUUUGAAUUUAUAUCAAUGUAUUUUGUUUCUCUGUUGCUUGCAAGCAGGUUCCAAUCACUAAGUUUUGUAUGUCAACUAAAUACUAUAUUCGUGACUAGUUAUAAAAGCUUACUAGCUAAAUAUUACUUAAAAUGAAUCCAAACCUUAAAAAGAAAUGAAAGAUUAACUGAUAUAUCGAGGAAAAGACAUAUAACUCAAAAACUACAGUUCAAAGAUCAGAGUUUCUGCUUUCUGCAACCAUUCUUUUGGUCAUCUCUAAACAAUGUGUAUCUUACCAUGUGCUAAAUAAGUUCAGAAUGCAUAGGUAUGAGCAAAGAAUGAUAUUCUCUCUUUAAAAUGUGACAACAAAAUUAAUAGAUCUACAUACUUAUCCCCAUUUUUUGUUUGAAAUUCAAUGAAUUAGAGAUCAUGAAAUUCAACACAAAAUCAUUCAAGCAAUCAAGAAGAAAAUAACAUCUUACCGUUAAUAUUAAGGAAAAAAAUUAGACUUUCCUCCCCCUUCAGUUUUAGAACUAUGUUUAGUUUUCCUUUUAGUCCAAAACUCUCACUUGAUUUCACUGUAGCUAAAUGCUCAGGCACUUGACAUAUGGUAGGAUACGCACAUAUUUAUAUGUACGUACGUACACACACAUAUAUAUAUAUACAUAACAUAUAUAUACACACACAUAUAUGCACACUAGUAACAGAGAAGGUGCUUUCCACGUGAAUAUGAUGCUUUUCGAUUUUCCUUUUCUUCUCAAAAAUUAAAAAAAAAAUCAAUGAAAUUGAGAUAAAAAUAAUGUGAUAUUAAACGUUUAUAUUUUUUUAUAUUUUUUGAAACUUGAUUUAUCCUAACCAACACAAAUGCGCAAGCAGCAAAGUAUCCUUUAUCCCAAGAGCACUUUUGUUUUGUAAUAGUAUCAAUGUUUUCGUGUUUUGGUUGAAUUUAAAUGACUUGAAUAUUGUUCUCUUUUAUGUCAUUUGAGUUAAAGUUUUUAUCUUCCUAAAUAAUUUAUUGUUCCCCUUUGCGUCAUUCUAUGAAUUUUUUAUUAGUUUUAGUGAGUUUUUUCCUUUAUUAUUUCUAUUAAUGGUGGAAUGUAAAAUGAUUCAUAGUGCUAUUGUAAUUAUAAAAUAAAUUCAAUGCAUUUAAGGUAAUGACCAUGACAGAACUAUACGUUUUGUUGAAAAAUGAGGAUAUUUAAUUUAUAGGCCAAGCUAAUUUGGUGAUCUUUGAGGAUAUUUCCACACUGACCUAGUCACCGAUGUGUCAAAACGUGUUCCACAUUGGUCCUUGUCAAAUUUUCACACGUAUUAAAUUAAUUAUAAGACGGCGCAAAAUUCAAGUUCAUCAUAGUAGCAGCUCCGACCAUGACACUGGAUGACUCCAAUUGCACUGUAUGACUUAAUACUUAGAUUUCUGAGUUACUUCUAUAUGAUUACCUGAUCUUCCAUGUAUUUAUGACUAUACUAAACUGCAACCAUGACCAUGUCACAAUAGUCUUCCCUCUUCUGUAACUUUUUGAGUAUCAAUAAAAGUAAUAUUUGCAUAAAAUAUUGGUUUAAAAACGGAAUAACAUAUUUUUGCUUCCUUUUAAGAGCAUGGAUAAGACUUGUUUUAAGUGAUGACUUAAAUGCACCUUCCUCAAUUGCACUUAAUGAGUGGAUAAGUAUAUGCAAUCACAAUAAUUGCACUCCUUGCAUUUCGAUAUGUUCCAUAAUUAACUAUACAUUUCAAAAAAAGACUAACACCUAGUUAUAUUUUCUAAAAAAUAAAGUAACACCUAGCCAAACUGAAAUUUUAACAUUAAAAAAUUGUAUAUUGAAUAGAAAAAAUAACUGUGAGGUGUGAGACAUAAGUUGGUGAAAGGACAGAUUUCAUUUCAAUGCUGCGUCAUUAGAGUCUAACUUUGACCUAAAGUUCUUCUUCUUCUUUUUUUGUCCUUUUUUUUUUUUGUCUACACAGGGGUGUCCGGGUCAAUCCUUACGGGACCCGACUAAUCCCCUGCGGCCCGGCCAGGCGCCCCAGCCCAGCCCAAGCACGAUAUGUGCGCGGAGGAAUCCAGCAAAGCAGAGACUCGAACUUGGGACCUCUCGGUCACCGGUGGGAGGUGCUACCGCUGGACCAUUCACGCGGGGGUUUCUUCUUUUUUUUUUUGUCCUUGGAACAUGUUUAAUUGAUCAAUGUUUUCUCCUUAUUCUAUAAUCUUGGAUAAUCUUUGUUUAAAAGAUUUUUUUUUGUGAAAACAGUUUGUUGCCUAUUGGGAGGCAACCCAAUAUUUUAGUAUUUUAUUUCAAUUAAGUGCGAUUUUUGGGUUUAGUUAAGUGUUGAUAUUUUGUUAUGUUUGUUUUGUAGCAAUGGGAAAAAGAAGCAAAAGAAGCCAAUUGAGGUGAAAAUGGCGAAUUUCGAUCAAGAAACUUAAUUCCUUGAUCUGAGUAAUUGUUGUUCUUGAUUUGUUAAAGAGGGUUAGAAUGCAUGUUUUGAUCAUUUUACAUAUGCGCGCAUUGAUUAUUUUGACAAAAGAAUGAUCUAGAAUGCAUUUUGAGAAAUUGGGAUAAAGUGUGUAAUUUUUAAAAGGUAAAAAUUUUCUGCAGAAAAUUAUAGCUCGGAAAACGUGGCAUGAGCUUAGGUUCAAAAUAGUCCUCAUAUACUAAAAUGAACUUAUAGUUAAUUUCAAAAUCAUGAAAGUUGGUAUGAUUUGGUUAUAAGUAUAGUUGAAUCACUACGAGAGUAGGCUUCACAAAAUGCAGUUAUAAAUAGCAGGUAUAUUUGUCUGGUCUUUUACUUUUUUUGGUUUGUAUAGAUCUUUCAAGAGUCUAUGUAUAUCUGUUCGAGUAAUUGUCAAUCGUCUUCUUUUACAUCAACUCGUUAAGAAAUACAUCAAAUCUUGAAAGAAAUACCAAAAAUAUAACUUAUUAUGUAACUGGAAUUAUCAGAUUUAAGCCUAAGGUUUUUUUUUUUUUAACCCUCCAUCUCCUCUCCACACCCCUUUCCACCCCCAACUGUCAGUCUUGUGAUUCAAACUUUGAACUUGACGGAGGAGGAAGCUCUUAGCCUUGGACCAACCCAGCCCAGGGGCAUGAAGCCAAAAGUUCGAGUGAUGAUAAAACAGUAACAUAAAAUUAUAGGCCUAGCAACAGAUAUUAGUAUAAUUUCACACUGACCUCAUCACGGACGUGCAAAAACGUGUUCCAUGCUGGUGGACCAUGAUUUUGGUGAUUAGGUCCAACAUUAAAUUUCUCAUUAGCAAUUUCAAAGUUGAUGGAUAUAAUUUCUCUAGGUUUAACUGUUUAAGUACUCAUUCUUCUUUUUCUAAUACUAGGUAUGGCCAAGCUCAUAAAUAUGCCAAAUAGAAAUUUCUAUACGACCUCUUAAAUAAAGUUUGGAUUUUUCUUUGGUAAGUCACAUUCAUCUCUACCAUAUUCCAACUUAAUUUCAACGAGAAUAUGUACAAGAAAUCAUAUUUAAUUCAUCAUCAUUGAAAGUAACACAUCAAUGUGCGAACCAUUCAUUCCCAAACUAAGUAAUUGUCUUUCUUCAUAGCUACCUACUAAGCAUUCUUGUGAUGUUAGUCAUGCUUCUCUAAUCUAAAUUAUUUGGCUAUUGCUUUUCUAAAUCUUUCACUAAAAUUGACAAUCAACUGGACUAAACAUUCUAUAAUAGUGUUUUAUAUGUCUUCGUGAGGGAGAAUUUUGAUAGUAAUAAAACACUUGAAAUAGUCAAACUAAGAAGCUGUCUUUCUUUAUAAAUGCUUGGUACUUACUAAGCAUACUGGUGAUGUUAGUUAUGUUUCUGGACAUUUCCCGCGGUCCCGCCCCCUCCUUACCUCAAAAAUUCUUUUGCAAUUUCCCCGCUCGCUGCCAUCAUUUUGAAGCGUAGAUGAGUUGUAGAGAGGGGAAUUGACAAGAGAGUGGAGAUGGGGUAUGAUUAUGAUGAGCAGAAUGAAAAACAUCAGCACCAUGAAGCAGUAGAUGGGCUGUUCAAUCUUUUCAAUAAAGCCAACAAUGAUCUCGCCAUGCUCCAUGACAGACUUGACAAGGAGUUCAAGCAAAUCUACCCCGAUAAUGCAAACCCAAUGAAGCUUGUGGCCAGAAUCAAGAAAAUUCAGGAGGAGGUAUCAUCCCUUAAUGAGCAGUGUCGUGAACUUCUUGCAGCCAAGCAGGAUUUAAUUGACAAAGCCAGGGUAAUCUUGGUUGGAAACAGGUCAUUACUGCAGAGGCUUCAAGCGUCAACAGGGGUUCCAGUUACUGAUGAUUCUAAUGACUCUGCAUACACAAACUUCAAUCAGAUAAUUGAGGAGUGGACAGUUCAAGUGAGAUCAAGAACAGUUAUCUUCAAAAAGUAAGUAUGCUAUCUGGAGCUUCAAUGUUUUGUCAAAAGGGCUACCAGCUAGAUAUUGAAGGGCUCUAUGGCUUACUUCAGCUUGUAUGUGAGGAAUAUCAUCAACAAAGAAAAGAUUCUGCCUUGAUGGAUUUGACCUAUAUGAGUCGGGAUAAAAUAUAAACUGCUAUGUGCAAAAACAAUUACCAAGCAAGUUAUAUCUUGCAGGAUAUAGUUUCUUCAUGUGCAGAUUCCCUCUGCAAUGAAUGUGAUGAGAAGCAGGAGUCAGGUCCUGAAGACAUAAACCAUCUGCUCUUCUCAGCAAUCGUUCCAGGCAACUGAAGAUUUUGUUUGUUUGUGCGCAUGCACGCAAGUGUGUGUAUGUGUGUUCUUUUCUUUUCUUUUUUUUUUUGAAUUUUAUUGGUGCAUAAGUAAAGAUUUUGACUAGUCAUUGUUCCCAAGCUAGUCAAAGCCAGUUCAUUAACCUCUGAAGUUGGUAAAGCUUUUGCAGUGAUACUUGUAUUUGUAUGCAUUUUAGUUCCUUGGACAUAUAUGCCUGCACUAUGUAGUGGUGACAUAGUAUUUUCUAGCGCUUAUUCUUUCCCUAGUGUUCUUCUUUUCCUGUAAAGUAAGCAGCAAAAUAUGAUUUUGAAACAUAAUUGUCUCUAUUUCCCACUCUCAACUUGGAAAAAAAAAAAAAAAAAAAGUUAUGUUUCUCUAUUCUAAAUUAUUUGGCUAUUGUUUUUCUGAAUUUUUCACUAAAAAUGACACUUAACAGGGCUAAACAUAGUACGAUAGUGUCUUUUGUCUUCUUGGGGGGGAAGUUUGAUAGUAAUACAACACUUCAAAUAAUCAACUUUUUAAUUUUAUUAAUCUAAGAAAAAAGAAUUUAGUGAGUAGUUGCUACUAAAGUGAUACAUACAACAUGCAAUGUCACCUGCUCCUGUACUAGCCUUCAAAAAAAGAGAAAGAGCCUUUAAUAUGCUUGAAGACAUGGUUCGAAGACUCGGCCGAGACCGAGACGACUCGGCCGAAUAGUCACCGUCUCGGCCCUUGCCGAUACGAUACCGUGACGAAACGAUACCGAGAUACUUAACUCGCCGAAAUGUCACCGUGAAGGGUUGAAAUGGCCGAGUCACACCGAAUCACUCCAAGUCAUCCCGAGUUAAUUCGAAUUUUUAUUAUUUUUACUAAUUUUUUAAUUAUUUUUAUUUAUCAUAUUUUUUACAACUUUUAGAAUAUUAAAUAUUUCAAAAAUUCGCGUCUCGUCGAGACCGCGACCGAUAUGCCGAGACUGAUGUAGAACGGUCCAAGCCGCGACCGCGACUUUGAACCAUGACUUGAAGAUGGCAUCGGUUCAUGUGUCAACUUGCUAAAAUAACUAAAUCAACUCCAAAUUCGAAUUCUGAAGUUGAUAGUGAGAGGAGAUCUUAGUCACUGGACCAACCCGGCCCAGUGAUAUGAAGUCAAAGGUUUGAAUGAUGAUAAAACAAAAACAGAAAAAUAUAGGCCUAGCUAUAGUAAUUAGGUGAUGUUGGUGUAUAUUUUCACACUGACCUCAUCACGGACGUGUAAAAACAUGUUCCAUGCUGCUGGACCCUGAUUUUGGUGAUUAGGUCCAACGUUACCACAAAUUAAUUUAUGGGGUGCAUUACCACAUUUUUAGGCCUAUAAAUAGAAGGAGUCUGGUUCUCUGCUAUACCAAGUUUUCGACAGUAACCACUUACAAAUAUCUAUUUUCAUCCUUAUUAAUUAGCAAGCUAGCUCUUUAAGGAAAAAAUGGCUGCAGCCAAAUCUGCUAUUGGCAGAGGAAAGGUAAAUAGCGUUUGGAAGAGUAUAAGGAGUUGCAAAUUACAGUAACAUUAACAUUCUUGAAUUUUCUUAAGCAAUAUUUUAUGUUUUCUAGUUGUCUACACACAUUAAUUGGUCUCAUGAAUUGUCUGAUUAAGCUUCUUCUGAGUGAUACAGUUUGUUAUUAAUUGGUCGGAUUUAGUUUUCUUAUAAGCAGUUUGUUUAUUUGAAAGGAUUCUGAUUGAUUUUGGGAACUCAAUUGUUUGGGUUUCACAGAACGACAUCAGUUCACUAGAACCAGUGAAGCCAGCUGACCCUCACGUGAUCCAGAUCGGACAAUAUGUAGUGGAACAAUGUCACCACGGCCAGCUGCUUUUCGUCGCCGUGGUUGGCGGAUUCACCUGGAGCGGUGAUGGAGGUUAUUACUACGCACUUAUCAUUGAAAAUCAGGAUAGCGACGGUGCCACAUAUCUCCACAAAGCACUUGUUCUUGAGACCCCAAGUGAAACGAAACUCAUCUGGCACAAGAAAUAAGCAAGCACUGCUGUUGAUCAACUGAGGAUCAACGACAUUAAGUACUCUAAUUAUAUAGUGUCUUUGGUGUGGUUUUCAGUUUCUGCAUGGAUGAUGUACUGCUGGCAUGAAUACAUCUCCCUGCUGUUGUACUAAUAUGUAAUGUGCAGUUCUACCAACAAAAAUGCACCGUUAAAUAAAAAAAAUCCGUCGGUGUUUGAGUUUGUGUCAUUGUACUAGUAUGUCAAAGGUGCACUUAUACGAACAAAAAUGCACCAUUAAAUAAAUAAAAACAGCCGUCUGUGUUUGAAUUUAUAUCAAUGUAUUUUGUUUCUCUGUUACUUGCAAGCAGGUUCCAAUCACUAAGUUUUGUAUGUCAACUAGAUACUAUACUCAUGAUUAUAAAAGCUUACUAGUUAAAUAUUACUUAAAAUGAAUCCAAAUCUUAAAAGGAAAUGAAAGAUUAAAUGAUAUAUUGAGAGAAAGACAUAUAACUCAAAAACUAGAGUUCAAAUAUGAGAUUUUCUGCUUUCUACAACCAUUCUUUUGGUCAUCUCUAAACAAUGUGUAUCUUACCAUGUGCUAAAUAAGUUUAGAAUGCAUAGGUAUGAGCAAAGAAUGAUAUGCUCUCUUUAAAAUGUGACAACAAAAUUAAUAGAUCUACAUACUUAUCCCCAUUUUUUGUUUGAAAUUCAAUGAAUUAGAGAUCAUGAAAUUCAACACAAAAUCAUUCAAGCAAUCAAGAAGAAAAUAACAUCUUACGGUUAAUAUUAAGGAAAAAAAUUAGACUUUCCUCCCCCUUCAGUUUUAGAACUAUGUUUAGUUUUCCUUUUAGUCCAAAACUCCCUCUUGAUUUCACUGUAGCUAAAUGCUUAGGCACUUGACAUAUGGUAAGAUACACACAUAUUUAUAUGUACGUACAUACACACACACACCCACACACACACAGAUAUAUAUAUAUAUACACAUAACACAUAUAUACACACACAUAUGCACACUAGUAACAGAGAAGGUGUUUUCCACGUGAAUAUGAUGCGUUUCGAUUUUCCUUUUCUUCUCAAAAAUUUAAAAAAAAAAUCAAUGAAAUUGAGAUAAAAAUAAUGUGAUAUUAAACGUUUAUAUUUUUUUAUAUUUUUUGAAACAUGAUUUAUCCUAACCAACACAAAUGCGCAAGAAGCAAAGUAUCCUUUAUCACAAGAGCACUUUUGUUUUGUAAUAACAUCAAUAUUUUCGUCUUUUGGUUGAAUUUGAAUGACUUGAAUGUUGUUCUCUUUUAUGCCAUUUGAGUUAAAGUUUUUAUCUUCCUAAAUAGUUUAUUGUUCCCCUUUACGUCAUUCUAUGAAUUUUUUAUUAGUUUUAGUAAGUUUUUUCCUUUAUUAUUUCUAUUAAUGGUGGAAUGUAAAAUGAUUGAAAGUGCUAUUGUAAUUAUAAAAUAAAUUUAAUGCAUUUAAGGUAAUGACUAGUGUUAUAGCUGUAUACCAAUUUGAAUAGAUGUACCUUUGGUGUAGGCAUGGCCACGGUUCCAGAACGAACCGCAAAUAUACAAGUUAAAAAAAUCGAAUUACACCAAUUCACUGCAAACAUACGUACAUGUAAUCCAAGAAGUAGAUAUCGCUCUUGCGGACCUCCGUGUGCCCCGUCUUCUUUGGGAUGACAUUGUGAGCCAUCAUGUAAAUGAUAAGCCGAUGACGAGGUUCGAAGACAUUAGCCAAAAUGGUCUCCUUCCUUGUAGAGCGAAAAGGUUGGUACUCAAGACCAAACCUAGCCAUGGCCAGCGAGGGAUCCCACCUCCUAUUCGGGGGAACAAACUCCUUCUUCAAAUCUACUGGACGGCCGUCAUCCAUACACCCCAAAAUAGCGGCCAAAUCUUGACGUGACAAGGUGAUUCGUCUUCCACGUACCCAGGACUCAACUAUUUCUCCACUAUAGCGCGCCUUACUCUCAAUGUUAGUGUAAAACUCGCGCACCAAGUCUGGGUAGUAAUGGUUUGGAAGGGUGAGAAUCGGAGCCCAUCCUAGCUGAGCAAAAGCAUCUGAGAUGUUGUACAUCAUCUCAACUGGUGGACUGACAUGCAUCUCAAACAAAAACUCCAAAUUAACACGCGCCUCAUGCCACUCCUGAUUCCUCCGAGUGUUGAACCUCGCACUGUCAAAUAAUGAUUUUCCCGCUCCACGGGAAGUGCCCUCACCCGGUUGACGGCUAACUGGUGGAGGAGAAGGUGAAUUCUCCUCCUCAGUCACUUCCAUCUCUUCAUUAACCUCCCUCUCCUCACUACUAGAGGAUGAAAGUACCGCUCUUCUUCCCCUUGGCAUAGUACCUAAAAGAAAAUGUUGCCAUUAACCACAUGUACUUAGACACAAUUCACAAUUUGGCAAUGAAUAUCCUAAAAUGAUCCAAAUAAUCUCCAAUUUGUCCCUUCAAGUGCUAAUUCGUCCAAUAACUAAUGUAAAAGGACCAAACAAGAAGAGCCAUAAUUUUAUGCCAAAAAUUGCUCAAAAUCACCAAUUGAAAUAAGAUAUGGAAUAAUUAUAACCCAAUUAGUGAAAAUAGCAACAAUUAUGAUUAUAACUAUUUAGAAUUAACAAUAAUAAUAUGCUUUUAGCUAUAAUCAUGUUUAGGCAAAAAUUAAAUCCAUUAACUCACCAAAUCAACCAAAUUACUCACUAUACACAAUGCACAUGCUCAAACAUCAUCAACUAACCAUUCUUAACCAUAAUUAAUCAUCACUAAUGGCUCAAAAACAUCCUAACUCCAUUUCCCAAUUUCCUUCAAAUAUAGCAAUUAUCAAUUUAAAAUCACUAGUAAACCAAUAAUUUGCUACAUUUAAACACAUAAACAUGCUUAAACAAUGUUAACAAGCAUGAAUAAAAUAAAAAAUAGUCAAAUACAUCAUCAAAUUUUUGAAAUUAAAAGAUGUCAGAAAACUCAGGAUAAAAAAAUAUGAACUUCUAAAAUCAAAAGAUUUGAUGAAGAAACUUAUCUCAAUCACAUAGAAGGAUGUUUGGUGAUGCUAAAAAUGAAAAAAUCCUUAUGAAAAAACCUCCAAUUGACCUCUAAUUGAAGAAAUUAGAGUUGAAGAACCCUAACCUUCAAUCCUUCAAAAACUGAAUUUGAGGUGUUUUUCUUGGAUUUCAAUCGGUUAAAAAAAAUUGUAUGGAGCUCAAAAGGUGUUGGGUUGAUGUUUUCUAGCAAGAUUAUGGAACAAAAUUGAAGAUUUGUGAGUUGGGUAGAAGAGGAGGAAAAACGCGCCUGGAAAAUGGAUAAGAGAAGAAGAAGAAAUGUUGGAAAUCGCGUUUCUACAACCUAUAUUCAGUCACAGAAAACGCGACUGAAAACGCGCCUUCAACUCUCGUUUUUUAAGUGGCGUUUUAUGCACAAAUCUUGCAGCAAUGAAAACGCGACUAUGUAGGAAAACGCGACUUUGAGUCGCGUUUCUGAAGUCGCGUUUUUGAAUCUUGAUCCAGGCUUGAAAACGUGAUUUAGCAGAAAAACGCGAUUCUAUGUCGCAUUUUGUAGCGCGUUUUCUUCGCGUUUUCUUUGUAAACGCGUUUUCUGCUGCGACUUUUAGCAGAAUUUCAACUUUUCAAAAGUUACACCAAGUACCCCAAUCACUCAAAAUGCAUCAUAGAUCAUUUCUUUGCCAAUUUUAUCGAUGUGCACACAUGUAAAUUGAUAAAAACAUGCAUUUUACCCCUUUUCGACGGAUCAAACACACCUUUAACGCAAAUCAAGGGGUUGAGUGGCUUGAUCAAGGUUCGCCUUUUUUACCUCAAAUGGUCAUUCUUGCUUCCAAUUGCCAACCCUAUAGCACAAAAACAACAAAUCAACUAAAACACUUAUUCAACCCACAAAAUCACACCAAAAUAACAUAAGGUACUAAAAUAUUGGGCUGCCUCCCAACAAGCGCUUUUAUUUAUAGUCGUUGGCUCGACUAUAUCACCUCCUUUUUUCAAGGAGGUUUAGUUAACGAAUAAUCCACCAUUUUUGGACGUGGUGAAUCAUUAAAUGGUGACUUUAUAGCAAAAGUCACAUGAUUUAAUGAUGUGAGAAAUGAAAGUGACUUACCUAUUCCAAGUGUUUCAUAGAUAUUACCUUGAAUAUGCACCACUUGAGAAUUCACCAAAGGAAAUGCCAUGAGAGUAUCUUGGGCAGGAAUACCUUUAAAACAUGUACUUUUUAUACACUCUUCAAGAGGGGUGAAAAAUGAGUCAUUAAAACUCACCUCUUGAGAUUCAAAGUUAGUUCCAAAGAUAUUAUUAUGUGAAAUGGACAUUUCUUUAUCGAAACACACUUGAGAUUCAUCAUUUUCAUCAAAAUGCAACCCAAUUUCACAUACAACAUUCCCACCAUUCAUGCUAGGAUCAUUUUGCAAAUUAUUAGAGGAAAUAACUUCACACAAUGCAUUCAAUUGCUCAUGUAUUUUACUAAAGUGAGAAGCUAAUUCAUCUAUUCUUUCCUCAAUCCUAUCAAAACGGUCGGAAGUUGCAUUUGCUAGCUUUUUUAUUGCUAAAUCAAAUUGAUUAGAAAAAUUUUCUAUAACUAGCUCCCAAGAUACAUUAGAAUCAUUAGCUAAUGAUUCACUUUCUAACUCCCAAGGUAGAGGUGCAUUAGCUAACUUCUCUAUUGCCAACUCCCAAGAUGGUUUUGAUUCAUUUUGGACACUUUCAAGUUAGUAAUCAUAAAAAUACGGAUAAUCACUAUAUGCACAUUGAUUUUCCCAACCAUAAGCAGGAGAAUUAACACUAUAUCGAUCAAAACAAGGAUUGUAAUGCUCUAAUUCAUCAUAAUAAUCCACAUUUUGUACUUGCAUACAUGUAUUAGUAGCAUGAUAACCUCCACACAAGUCACAAAUCACAUGAUAAGAAUUAAAAGCAUUAACAUUCCUCCCUUGCUCAAUUUCAUGCAUAAUUAUAUCCAUUUGAACUUCUAACAUCAUAACAUCAAAUUUAGCUUUUAAACACCUUAAACCAUCUUCAAAAGACAUACAUUCAGUAAAUUCUUGGUUACCUCUAUUGAAAGAGCUUUGCACUUGGUAACCAUCCAUUGUCAAUCUUCCACUUCUCAAGUAUUGUCCUCCAAAUUGAUCUAUCCUCCUUAUCACCUAAAAUUGCUUUUAAACAACUUAAGAGCAAGAUUAGUAAGAAAAAUAGGUGAUAAAAUGCAUACACACAUAAAACACUAAAAUAACAGAAAAUAACCUUCACACAAUAACUAAUAAAAUGUCUAAACUAAUAAAGUUGCUCUUCAAACAGAUAUUACCAAAUCUUCCCCGACAACGGCGCCAAAAACUUGACGGGUAUUUUACAUACGUACAAGUUAAAAAAUCGAAUUACACCCGUUCACUGCAAGUAUAUAGGUCAACUAGUAGUUUAGGGUAUAUAUCGGGUCGAUCCCACAGGAAAGAGUGAACAAUUACCGGUAUUACUAAAGCUUCUCUAUUAUUUAGACUAUCAAUGAAUUAUAACAAAUUUAACCUACUGAAAUUAUACAAAAUAACAAAUAAAAGCUCCUUAGGUUGUGGUAUCCCUAACUACUCAUGCAAGUGUUAUAUUUGGAUCAUUGAGUACUACAUCUAGGCUAGUUAUGGUGUAAUUUCCUUAUGCAUUUGAAUCCUACUUUCGUAGUGAAUCAAUUAUACUUAUAAUUAAUCCAUACAUAUUCUCAUGGUUAUGAAAUUAGCUACAAGUUCAUUUCUUCAGUGAAAUUACAUGAAAUGAAUCACUAAAAACCACAUAGGUGCACCUCUACUUUCAUGAGUGUACUCCCUAUGUUUAGCACUUCUUGAACUAGUGUUAAAUCUCAAUUUUUAUUGCAGAAAUAACAGCUUAGAUAAUCACAAUUAAUGGUACCAGAUUAAUCAUGAUUUAAAGAGCUAAAGUACUAAAUAACUUGCUCAAAUCAUAGCAAUCAAAUAACCAAAUAAUAAACACUAACAAUCAUAGAAAGUUCAACCAAACCCAAGGUAUAAACUUUAAAGACACAUAAUAAACACAAAAUCCAGAACUUGUAUAUUAACUAAACUUGGAAUCAGGUACAAAAGAUAAAGAUUUGGAAGGAAUACAACCCUUGUCACAUGAGCUUUCUUCCUUGCCUUCUUCAUCCUCCAUCUUCUUCUUCAUCUAGCUAAUAACAAGAAUGGAUGAACUAUCUUACUCUACACUAAACUAAACUAACACUAGGAAGAUGAAAAGAGCUACAUUUCUGCAACUUCAAGCUUCUCCCAUAUGUCUUCUCUUCUACAUUUGCUAGCUAGAGAGAAUUUGCUAUCAGAAAUUCUGGCUACGUAAGGAUCUCUUGACCUCUCCCAAUGUCUCUGCAUAAAAACUGCUCAAGAGCUCCCUUUUUCCAAGUCAAAUUCCACCUUUUGAUUCCCAAAUCUCAACUUUGUUAGGAUAGUCAAUAACCAAUGUUUUGACUUGAAAAUAAACCACUUUUCUUGCCCUUUUGUCUUCUGAAGCAUGUGCACCGAAUUCCUUUGCAUCUUAUAGCUGGAAAGUGGUAUGAACACAAGAGAAAUGGCUGAGUCAAAUUGCAGAAUUUCGGCUACAAAACGCGCCUACACAAAACGCGACAUCAACUCGCGUUUUGUCUACUCGCGUUUUCACUCUGGCCUUAUUUCAACUGCAACUUUCUCCAGGAUAAAGGCCGAACUAGCUUUUGUGCAAAACACAAAAGUUGUAGCCCUUUGCGUUAGAUUUCCAAUGCUUCAAGAAUCAUCCAAAUCGGAGCUUUGUAGGCUGAGAUAUGAUGGAAAUACUAUCACCUGGUCAAACCUCUGUUUUAACUUCCGACCACAGAAUGCAGUUUCUGUAUUCCGACUUUUUGUCCAUGAAAAUGGUAGAAUUGGAUUUCGAUGUAUGCAUACGAAUUGUAGAUCUCUUUCUUAGCUUUAAAAUGGUAUAAAGAUCACCUCAAUCCGAUAAGUGUAGCGCCAGAUAUGGUCGAAAUACCGAAAAGUGUCAAAACUGACUUGUAUUGCAUUUCCUCACUUGAACGUUUUUCACUUCAUUCUUCUUGUUACCACUUGAAUUCAUCACCAAUUAUCUACUUUUCACCUCAUUUGACAUCCAUUGGUGAUUGAAUCAUCAUUCCUGCAUAAAAAUGAAGUUUUUACCAUUAAAAUCACUAAAAAUGCAAUAUUAUCCACUUUUACCAAAAAUAUAUAAUUUUACCAAAAACCUCUUUAUUUUAAUUAUAAAACUAAAUAAUCAACUCAAAAUUAACUAAUAAAAUGCACUUAAAAAUACGUAAAAUAAACUCUUAUCAGCACCAUCUAAGAUGGUUCUGGUUCUGGCUCCAGAACCGCCGGUUCUGGUUCUUCAAAGAGGUAGAACCAGAACCGCACCAUCUAAGAUGGUUCUGGUUCCAGAACCGCCGGUUCUGCUUCUUCAAAGAGAUAGAACUAGAACCGCACCAUCUGGUUCUGGUUCCGGUUCUGGUUCCUUAUAGUUUUGAUUUCGAUUCCUUGUUUUUCUGGUUCUAAUUCCGUAUAGUUGUAUACAAUUUUAUUUAAUUUUUAUCUUUACCAAUUUAAAUACGAAUAUAACAAUAUAUUUAAAAUUUUAAAUAGAAUGUAAAAAAUAAAUACAAAAUAAAGAUCAUAUUUUAAUUUUAUUAUUAUUCAACAAAGUACGAAGUAAUAAAUAGAUAAUACAAAUUUUAUGAAAAAUACAUUACAUUGUCAAAUUAAAAAAUACAUAACACUAUCAAAUGGUAAUCAUUUUAAAUGGAAAAGAAAAUACUUGAUUUUUUCAUUGAAAUUGAGAUGAAAUAUCAAAACAAACAUUAAUUAUUUAAUCAUUUUCAUUGCUUGCGACGGCACUAGAAUCAGUUGUAUAAUUGAAAUCUUCUUCUUCAUCUUUUUCCAUUUCUUGUUGUCUAUAUUCUGCUCUAGUCCAAUCAUCCACGUAUGCUUGAAUUUCUAGUGAUUCUGGGCUUAAUCUCGAUCUUGUCUCAUCCAAAAUACUUGCACCGGCACUAAAAGCUUGUUCCACUGCUACUGUUGAUGCUGGAGUUGCUAAUAUUUGCUUAGCAAUAAGGGAGAGGAUAGGAUAAUUCUUUGAUUUUCGCUUCCACCAGUCAAGGACUUUAAACUGUUUCGUUAAGCUACUAUCAUCAUGCUCAAACUUGGUAGUUAGAUAUGAUUCAAGUUCCGUAUUAGUAUUGAGUGAACCCUUUAUUUAUAUUAAUUUUUUUUAACAGUUCUAGAACCGGCAGUUCUGGUUCUAGUUCUAUUUUUUAGAGAACCAGAACCAGAACGUUUAUCCAAGGUUCUACCACGGUUAUGGUUCCACGGUUUUGGUUCCGGUUCUGGUCCGGUUCCAAACAGUCCGGUUUCGAUCCGGUUCCCGGUUCCAAGUGGAACCAUGGCCAUGCCUACUUUGGAGUGUUGGCAGAACUAUGCGUUUUGUUGAAAAAUGAGGAUUGAUGGUUCAGGAAAUGGAUAUUUAAUUUAUAGGCCAAGCUAAUUUGGUGAUCUUUGAGGAUAUUUCCACACUGACCUAGUCACCGAUGUGUCAAAACGUGUUCUACAUUGGUCCUUGUCAAAUUUUCACACGUAUUAAAUUAAUUAUAAGACGGCGCAAAAUUCAAGUUCAUCAUAGUAGCAGCUCCGACCAUGACACUGGAUGACUCCAAUUGCACUGUAUGACUUAAUACUUAGAUUUCUGAGUUACUUCUAUAUGAUUACCUGAUCUUUCAUGUAUUUAUGACUGAUAAGAGUUUAUUUUACGUAUUUUUAAGUGCAUUUUAUUAGUUAAUUUUGAGUUGAUUAUUUAGUUUUAUAAUUAAAAUAAGGAGGUUUUUGGUAAAAUUAUAUAUUUUUGGUAAAAGUGGAUAAUAUUGCAUUUCUAUUGAUUUUAAUGGUAAAAACUUCAUUUUUAUGCAGGAAUGAUGAUUCAAUCACCAAAGGAUGUCAAAUGAGGUAAAAAAUAGAGAUUUGGUGAUGAAUUCAAGUGGCAACAAGAAGAAUGAAGUGAAAAACGAUCAAGUGAGGAAAUGCAAUACAAGUCAGUUUUGACACUCUUCAGUAUUUUGACCAUAUCUGGAGCUACCCUUAUCGGAUUGAGGUGAUCUUUAUACCAUUUUAAAGAUAAGAAAGAGACCUACAAUUCGUAUGAAGACAUCGAAAUCCAUUUCUGCCAUCUUCAUGGGCAAAACGUUGGAAUACAGAAGCUGCAUUCUGUGGUCGGAAGUUAAAACAGAGGUUUGAACAGGUGACAGUAUUUCGAUCAUAUCUCAGGCUACAAAACUCCGAUUUGGAUGAUUCUUAAAGCAUUGGAAAGCUAACUCAAAGGGCUACAACUUUUGUGUUUUGUACAAAAUCUAGUUCGGCCUUUAUGAUAGAUAAAAUCGCAGAUGAAGUAAGGCCAAAGUGAAUACGCGAGUACACAAAACGUGACUUGUAACCGCGUUUUGUGUAGGCGCGUUUUAUAGCCGAAAUUCUGCAAUUUGACUCAGCCAAUUCUCUUGUGUUCAUACCACUUUCCAGCUAUAAGAUGCAAGGGAAUUCGGUGCACAUGCUUCAGAAGACAAAAGGGCAAGAAAAGUGGCUUAUUUUCAAGUCAAAAAUAUUGGUUUUUGACUAUGCUAACAAAGUGGAGAUUUGGGAAUCAAAGGAUAGAAUUUGACUUGGAAAAAUGGAGCUUUUGAGUAGUUUUUAUGCAGAGAUAGAGGGAGAGGUCUGAACAUCCAUUCGUAGCUUAGCUUCUUACAGAAAAACAUAGUCUCUCUAGCUAGGUACUUGCAAGGGACAAUUGAGGUUUCAUCUUGUAAUCAUCUAAGUUCAAGACAAGGAGAUUUUUGGAAGGCUUCACCAUAUCUUGGCUAAGACUUUCUUUACUCUUUUUGUAUUUGUAAAUUCAUGAUGAUUUGCAUUAAUGAAGUUAUGAGUGUUUCAUCAUUCAUGAGUAGCUAAUUUCCUUUAUCUAGGGAGUAGAUGAAGCUUAUGGCCAAAUGAUAUGAAGUGAUUGUGAUUUAUGCUUGUUAUGUCUUGUAUUAACUUAUCUACUUGUGUAUGUUGGAUUACUUGUUGCUUGAUCACCAAUAGCAGGUUUAUAGUUGUUUUUACUCAUUGAGAAAUGGUAAAAAUAAUGGAAUGACAUAAGUAGAGCUUGAGUAGUAUAUUCAUGAGAAUAGAAAUACAUUCAAGUGGAUGAAAUCUGCAUUUCAUGUGUGAAUAAGAACAGAUUUAGUAUUUACCAAGAGAUUAGGAAAAACUAAUCUGUUUUAACCCAUUAUUAUCAUGAGAAUGUGAUUUUGGUAUUUCUGAAAAUGAAUCCUUGGUUAAACAAGAGCAGUAACAAGUGUUGAAUUAAUUCAUUUUAGAUCUUUUGUGUUAUAAGUGGAAUCUACAUCCCUAGAUCUUAAUAUUUAGUGAAUUCUACUCCUAUUGUGAAAUUGCAUUUAUCUAUUUAAGAAUUUUUGUAGUUGAAUUAAAAUCUGAAGUUUCUGCUUAAAUUAAUUGUAAGUCUAAAUAAUAGAGUAAAUUAGUAUCUAAUAAUUGUUUUAAUUGCUCCUCGUGGGAUCGACCCGAUACACAUCUUGUACUACAAUUGCGACCUGUAUACUUGCAGUCCAACGGGUGUAAAAUCGGAAUUAAACUUGCAUUGAUACAAAAAUCCCGUCAAUGACUAUACUAAACUGCAACCAUGACCAUGUCACAAUAGUCUUCCCUCUUCUGUAACUUUUUGAGUAUCAAUAAAAGUGAUAUUUGCAUAAAAUAUUGGUUUAAAAACGGAAUAACAUAUGUUUGCUUCCUUUUAAGAGCAUGGAUAAGACUUGUUUUAAGUGAUGACUUAAAUGCACCUUCCUCAAUUGCACUUAAUGAGUGGAUAAAUAUAUGCAAUCACAAUAAUUGCACACCUUGCAUUUCGAUAUGUUCCAUAAUUAACUAUACAUUUCAAAAAAAGACUAACACCUAGUUAUAUUUUCUAAAAAAUAAAGUAACACCUAGCCAAACUGAAAUUUUAACAUUAAAACAAUGUAUAUUGAAUAGAAAAAAUAACUGUAAGGUGUGAGACAUAAGUUGGUGAAAGGACAGAUUUCAUUUCAAUGCUGCGUCAUUAGAGUCUAACUUUGACCUAAAGUUCUUCUUCUUCUUUUUUUAUCCUUGGAACAUGUUUAAUUGAUCAAUAUUUUCUCCUUAUUCUAUAAUCUUGGAUAAUCUUUGUUUAAAACAUUUUUUUUGUGAAAAACAGUUUGUUGCCUAUUGGGAGGCAACCCAAUAUUUUAGUAUUUUAUUUCAAUUUAGUGUGAUUUUUGGGUUUAGUUAAGUAUUGAUAUUUUGUUAUGUUUGUUUUGUAGCAAUGGGAAAAAGAAGCAAAAGAAGCCAAUUGAGGUGAAAAUGGCGAAUUUCGAUCAUGAAACUUAAUUCCUUGAUUUGAGUAAUUGUUGUUCUUGAUUUGUUAAAGAGGGUUAGAAUGCAUGUUUUGAUCAUUUUACAUAUGCGCGCAUUGAUUAUUUUGACAAAAGAAUGAUCUAGAAUGCAUUUUGAGAAAUUGGGAUAAAGUGUGUAAUUUUUAAAAGGUAAAAAUUUUCUGCAAAAAAUUAUAGCUCGGAAAACGUGGCAUGACCUCACGUUCUCUUCCAAACGUGGCAUGAGCUCACGUUCAAAAUAGUCUUCAUAUACUAAAAUGAACUUAUAGUUAAUUUCAUAACCAUGAAAGUUGGUAUGGUUUGGUUAUAAGUAUAGUUGAUUCACUACGAGAGUAGGCUUUACAAAAUACAGUUAUAAAUAGCAGGUAUAUUUGUCUGGUCUUUUACUUUUUUUGGUUCGUAUAGUUCUUUCAAGAGUCUAUGUAUAUCUGUUCGAGUAAUUGUCAAUCGUCUUCUUUUACAUCAACUCGUUAAUAAAUACAUCAAAUCUUGAAAGAAAUACCAAAAAUAUAACUUAUUAUGUAACUGGAAUAUCAUAUUUAAGCCUAAGGUUUUUUUUUUUAACCCUUCAUCUCCUUUCCACACCCCUUUCCACCCCCAACUGUCAGUCUUGUGAUUCAAACUUUGAACUUGACGGAGGAGGAAGCUCUUAGCCUUGGACCAACCCGGCCCAGGGGCAUGAAGCCAAAAGUUCGAGUGAUGACAAAACAGUAACAUAAAAUUAUAGGCCUAGCAACAGUAAUUAGGUGGCGUUGGUGUAUAUUUCCACACUGACUUCAUCACGGACGUGUAAAAACGUGUUCCAUGCUGGUGGACCAUGAUUUUGGUGAUUAGAUCCAACAAGAAAAAUUAAUUUAUGGACCACAUUUUUAGGCCUAUAAAUACAAGGUGUCUGGUUUGUUAUUUCAAUGUUCUAAACUCAGCUACCAAGUCUUCUCGAGUCACAACCAGUUACACAUCUAUUUUCAUUCUUAUUAAUUAGCUAGCCGGUUCUUUUAAGGAAAAAAUGGCUGCAGCCAAAUCUGCGAUUGGCACUGGACAGGUGAAUAGCGAUUGUAUGCCAAGCUAGACAUAUAUUUCUUUCUUUUUCAAGUUUCUGCAUGGUUUUGGGAAUCAACUCGUAAACAACUUGUAUAGAAACGUUUGAAAAAGUGUAAGGAGUUGCAAAUUAAAGCAAUUUCAACAUUCUUGAAUUGUCUUAAGCAAUAUUUUAUAUUUAUAGCUGUCUACAUGCAUAUGUCAGGAGGCGAUCUCUUGCAUUGUUUCAUUUCCGAGUGAUAUAGUUUCUUUUUAAUUGGUUGGAUUUAGUUUUCUGGUUGUUUGUUUAUUUGAAAGGAUUCUAAUUGAUAUUGGGAACGCAAUUUUUUUGCUUUUUCUUACUGGAAAAUAUGUUUGGGAUUUACAGACCGACAUCAGUUCACUGGAACCAGUGAAGCCGGCUGACCCUCACGUGAUCCAGAUCGGAAAAUUUGUAGAGCAACAACAUCACCACGGCAAGCUGCUUUCUGUCGCCGUGGUUGGCGGAUUCACGUGGAGCGGUGAUGGAGGCAAUUACUACGCACUUAUCAUUGAAAAUCAGGAUAGUGACGGUGCCACAUGUCUGCAUAAGCAUAAAGUACUUGUUCUUGAGACCCCGAGUGAAACAAAACUCAUAUGGCACAAGAAAUAAUCAAGCACUACUGUUGAUCAGCUGAGGAUCAACGACUUUAAGUACUUAAAUUAUCUAGUGUCUUUGGUGUGGUUUUUCAGUUCAUGCAUGGAUGAUGUACUGCUGGCAUGCAUACAUCUCCUCCUGUUGUACUACUAUGUGAGGUGCACUCGUACCAACAAAAAUGCACCAUUAAAUAAAAAAAGGCGUAUGUGUUUGAGUUUGUAUCCUUGAACUAGUAUGUCAAAGGUGUAUUUAUAUGAACAAAAAUGCACCAUUAAAUAAUAAAAACAGCUGUCUGUGUUUGAGUUUGUAUUUGCACAUUUUAUUUCUCUAUUACUUGCAAACAAUUUCCAAUCCUUGAGUUUUGUAUGUCAAUUAGGUACUAUAUUCAUGACUAGUUAUGAAGUCUGAUGACUAGUUAAGUCUUAUGAUAAGUGCAUAUUUUAUAUAAUUUUCAGCGAGUUUUAUUAGUUAGUUUUGGUGUGUUUUAUUUACUUUUAUAGCUAAUUAACUAAGUUUCUAGUGAGAAUAUGCAUUUUGUGGUUUAACCGGUAAAAAUUGCAUUUCUAUGAAUUUUAAUGGUAAAAACUUCAUGUUUUGUAGAUUUUAAUAAUUCAAACAUCAAAUGGCAUGAAUUGAGAAAAUAAUUGGAUGAUUGAUGAUGAUUUGAAGUGAUUUUAAAGAAGACAUGAAGUGCAAAAUACUCAAAGGAUGAAAUGCAAGUUUUCUAGCUUUGAAACCUUUUAGUAUUUCAGCUAUAUGUUGAGCUAAAAAUAUCGGAUGAAGGUGAUUCUUGAACUAUUUUGAAUCUAAGAGGUAGAUCACCAUUUGAAAUGAAGACAUAAAAAUCCAGUUUAGUCAUAUUUCCAGUCAAAAAGUCGAAAUACAGAAAUGCAAUUUCAUUUUCAAAAGUUGAAACAAAGUUUCUGACUAGUUGAGGGUAUUUUGGUCAUUUAUUGAUCCACAGAGCUCCAAAUUGGAUGAUUCUUACUGCAUUGGAGAGCUAACUCAAAGGGCUAUAAGUUUCAUGUUUCACACAAGAGUUAGUUCAACCUCUAUCAUCAAGAAAAUAUCAGUUGACGUUAGAUCAAAAACAGAGCAAGGAUGAAAUCUAUCCAGAAUUGAGCAAACCUACAAAAAGCAAUGCGUGGGAUACAAUACUCGACCUAAGGUCGGGUAUUCAUCAUUUUCAGCUGCAACUUGUUCCUUAUUCACACAACUUUCCAACUCAAUUCCAGCAAGGAAUUUUGACUAUAUCUGACCAAGAAGAGUGUAGAAACUUGGAGAACAACUCUUGGUGAGUUCAAAAGCCAAUUUUGCUAAUGAAGAAAGAACUCAACUUGAGCUUAAAUUCUCUAUAAAUAGUAGCCUUUGGAGACCAUUUUAAAAAUUUUGGAAGGCUAGAAAAACUCCACAAAAAUGUAGUCUUCACUAGAAUUUCCUUAGUUCAUUGGCUAGGUUAGUAUAGUAUAGCAUAGUUUAGGUAGUUAUGUGUGUUAUCCACUCUUGUAUAUUAAUUAGAUUAGGAUGAAAAUGGAGAUGAAGAAGUAGGGGUUGAAACUCAUGUGGUGAGGGUUAUCUCUUCUCCAACUCUUUAUCUGUUGUAUCGAAUUCUUAAGUAUGGUUAAUAUGCAAGUUUUGGAUUUAUGUUUCAAUAUGUGCGUCUAAAGUUUAUGCCUAGAGUUGUGGAUGAACUUUCUACAUCUUGUUAGUAAUAUUUACUUGGUUAUUUGAUGAUAUUAUUUUGAGUAAGUUAUUUAUAAUUUUUUAUUUUCUAAUCAUGAUUAACUGUUGAUUAAUUGUGAUAAUGUUAAGGUAUUAAGUUUGCAAUGAAAAUUGAAAUUUAGCACUAGUUCAAGGAAGUAAUAAACCUAGGAAGUUCACUCACGGGAGUAGAGGUGCACCUUUGCAGCUUUAGUGACUUGUUUCAUAGAAUUUCAUAAAAGAAAUGAACUUGUAGUUAAUUCAUAACCAUGAGAGUAAUUAUGGCUUAGUUACAAGUAUAGUUGAUUUACUACGAGAGUAGGUUUCACAUACAUGAGGAAAUUACGCCAUAACUAGUCAAGAUAAUAGCAUUCACUUAACCGGUAACUUCACUUGCAAGAAUAGUAAGGAAUUCCAUAUCUCUAGGAGUUUUCUAUUGUAUUUUUGUUACUUUUAUAGUGUAGAUUUAAUUUCUUGCACUAGUGAUAGUCUAAAUAAUAAAAAAGUUCGAAAACCACCGGUAAUUGAAACUCUUCCCUGUGGGUUUGACCUUUAAUACCCUAUACUCUCUCUCAACUCACAUACUAGCGAAAAAUCGCAUGUAAGGUAUUUAGAAUGUUAUAAAUAUAAAAUUUGACUGUGGAUAAGCUAAUUGUUAUAUGUAUAUCCUGUGCUCGUCAAGUUUUUAGCGCCGUUAUUGGGGAAGAUUUGGUCAAUAUCGGUGCUAAAAACAACCUUAUUAAUUUAGACAUUUUUUCUUGCUUUUCUUGUUUUUGUUGUGUUUAGUGUCCUUUUGUUAUGUUUAGUGUCUUGUUGAGUCUUUUAUUUUGUGUUUAGUAUUUUAUUUUUAUAUGUGUCAAGUCAUCUAUUCUUUUUUACUGAACUUGUUUUUAAGUUACUUUUAAAGCAUGUUUAGGGAUUCAAGAAGAGUAGGAAACAUGAGCGAACAAUGUGUGAGAAAUGGAAGAUCGACAAUAGAUGGUUAUUACAUCCAAAACUCCAUGGAUAGAGGUAAUCAAGAAAUUACCUCUUGUUCAUGGUUUAACCAGUCAAACCGGUCAAUCUGGCUCGAUUUAAAAACAAUGCACGAUGGCAUUCUUUUAUGUCUCUGGUAAGAUGUCAAAAUCCUUUAAUUUUGGCUUGAGAAAAAUUAAUGUUGUUACUGCUUGUUUACGCAAAAGCCAAAUCAAGUCACAAUACACCGGGAAGACAGAAUUUUAUCCCGUCUCAGAAUAUGCCAUUUAUUAAUGCCAAAGUAAAUUUAUAAGGAAGAAACCAACAAAUACAUAGUUCUAUAGAUUAAACAUUGGUUUCCCAAACUAUAAAUAGAAUGCUAAUGGAUUGAUUCAUAAAACAAUCACUUUCUAGUUCAACGUGUCAAUGAUGAAAGGCGCAUUAGUCAUAUUUCUUACCCUCAUAAGCCAAGUUUCAUUUAUAAAAUGUUACGAGGGAGAAAAUACGAGACCCUUCGAAAAUUCCUCCUCCCUGAGAGCUUAAACAGAUCAAACAAUUACAUAACUGAUGAGGAUUCAGCUCAUCAGUAUUCGCCAGUUUAUAUUGGUCCUCAAGAGGGGUUUAAAGCAGCCAACAAAAUCAUCGCAUUGCCAGGGGAACCAAAAGGAGUAAAGUUUGAUCAAUAUUCAGGGUAUGUCACUGUUGAUCCUACGGUUGGUCGAGCUCUCUUUUACUAUUUUUCCGAGUCCGAAAAUCCUGCCCGCUCACUCGCUAUGUUCUCAUCAUUCUUGGAAGGAAAGCUUCCAUCAUCAAGCUAGGACAAGAUGAAAGGGCCAAAGAGGAAAGGAGUUUGAUUAGUGCCAUGGAGCAAAUUGUUCAUGAUUGUUCAGCUCAUUGGGUUUGUUGUUUCACUCAUGGUUCAACUUUGUUAAACCAAAAUAGGUCUCUGCACGUUGCUUCAAGUUUAUAAUUAUGGAGGGCCUCUGUAAGUUUUAUGUUUUAAUAAAGAACUCUGAAUUGUCUUAAGAUCAAUUUGUGGCUUGGUCACCAUACAACUAUCCUUGACUUGGAAGUUAACCAUAAAUUAAUUUAAUUCAUACCCCAAGUCUGCGCUUAAUUCAGAAGCAUAGAUGUACGUGAAAGCAAAUAUUGGGUGGACCACAGGAGAAACUGUGAAUUUCCAAUUGGAAGAUUGAAGUCAUUGGCACAUUAAAUUUCUCAUUAGAAAUUUCAAAGUUGAUGGAUAUAAUUUCUCUAGGUUUAACUGUUUAAGUACUCAUUCUUCUUUUUCUAAUACUAGGUAUGGCCAAGCUCAUAAAUAUGCCAAAUAGAAAUUUCUAUACGACCUCUUAAAUAAAGUUUGGAUUUUUCUUUGGUAAGUCACAUUCAUCUCUACCAUAUUCCAACUUAAUUUCAACGAGAAUAUGUACAAGAAAUCAUAUUUAAUUCAUCAUCAUUGAAAGUAACACAUCAAUGUGCGAACCAUUUAUUCCCAAACUAAGUAAUUGUCUUUCUUUAUAGCUACCUACUAAGCAUACUUGUGAUGUUAGUCAUGUUUCUCUAAUCUAAAUUAUUUGGCUUUGGCUAUUGCUUUUCUCAAUCUUUCACUAAAAUUGACAAUCAACUGGACUAAAUAUUCUAUAAUAGUGUUUUAUAUGUCUUCGUGAGGGAGAAUUUUGAUAGUAAUAAAACACUUGAAAUAGUUAAACUAAGAAGCUGUCUUUCUUUAUAAAUGCUUGGUACUUACUAAGCAUACUCGUGAUGUUAGUUAUGUUUCUCUAUUCUAAAUUAUUUGGCUAUUGUUUUUCUGAAUUUUUCACUAAAAAUGACACUUAACAGGGCUCACAUAGUAUGAUAGUGUCUUUUGUCUUCUUGGGGAGAAGUUUGAUAGUAAUACAACACUUCAAAUAAUCAACUUUUUAAUUUUAUUAAUCUAAGAAAAAAGAAUUUAGUGAGUAGUUGCUACUAAAGUGAUAUAUACAACAUGCAAUGUCACCUGCUCCUGUACUAGCCUUCAAAAAAAGAGAAAGAGCCUUUAAUAUGCUUGGAGAUGGCAUCGGUUCAUGUGUCAACUUGCUAAAAUAACUAAAUCAACUCAAUUCUGAAGUUGACAGUGAGAGGAGAUCUUAGUCACUGGACCAACCCGGCCUAGUGGUAUGAAGUCAAAGGUUUGAAUGAUGAUAAAACAAUAACAGAAAAAUAUAGGCCUAGCUGUACCAAGUUUUCGACAGUAACCAGUUACAAAUAUCUAUUUUCAUCCUUAUUAAUUAGCAAGCUAGCUCUUUAAGGAAAAAAUGGCUGCAGCCAAAUCUGCUAUUGGCACAGGAAAGGUAAAUAACGUUUGGAAGAGUAUAAGGAGUUGCAAAUUACAGUAACAAUAACAUUCUUGAAUUUUCUUAAGCAAUAUUUUAUGUUUUCUAGUUGUCUACACACAUUAAUUGGUCUCAUGAAUUGUCUAUUAAGCUUCUUCUGAGUGAUACAGUUUGUUAUUAAUUGGUCGGAUUUAGUUUUCUUAUAAGCAGUUUGUUUAUUUGAAAGGAUUCUGAUUGAUUUUGGGAACUCAAUUGUUUGGGUUUCACAGAACGACAUCAGUUCACUAGAACCAGUGAAGCCAGCUGACCCUCACGUGAUCCAGAUCGGACAACAUGUAGUGGAACAAUGUCACCACGGCCAGCUACUUUUCGUCGCCGUGGUUGGCGUAUUCACCUGGAGCGGUGAUGGAGGUUAUUACUACGCACUUAUCAUUGAAAAUCAGGAUAGCGACGGUGCCACAUAUCUCCACAAAGCACUUGUUCUUGAGACCCCAAGUGAAACGAAACUCAUCUGGCACAAGAAAUAAGCAAGCACUGCUGUUGAUCAACUGAGGAUCAACGACAUUAAGUACUCUAAUUAUAUAGUGUCUUUGGUGUGGUUUUCAGUUUCUGCAUGGAUGAUGUACUGCUGGCAUGAAUACAUCUCCCUGCUAUUGUACUAGUAUGUAAGGUGCAGUUCUACCAACAAAAAUGCACCGUUAAAUAAAAAAAAUCCGUCGGUGUUUGAGUUUGUGUCAUUGUACUAGUAUGUCAAAGCACUACAACAAAAAUGACCUUUAAUGGCAUUUAAAGGUGUCAGUAUGGAUUAUCUAAACUGACAUUUUACCUUUCCUCACACCUCGGAUGAGUGUUGUCCCUUCCAAUGUGGGGAUAGGCUUGAAACAUUCAAAUGUGUCAGGAAAAUUAUGCUAUUAUACAUCCCAUCUACCAACAAAAUUCCCUUUUCUUGACAAUCGAAAGUGUCAGGAUAUUGUCGAAAUUGCUGAGCUAUGCUGACACUUUUAACUGCCACGAGUUUUUUUAAAAAAAAUAAAGAAGCAACCUGGUUGUGCUUCCUGCUAUACAUUCCGUCAAUCAGAUACCCAAAGGACUUGUAAAAUUAUUCCAAAGAACAGAAUGCAUGUAAUAAUUUAAAAGCAAAAGUCAAAGCUCAAAUAUCAUUUGUUGAACUAAAAGUCAGCAACAAGUACUAACAUAGCUAAUCGAAAAAGUUGUUUAAAGUAGAAUAGCAAUGUUAAACAAUGCCACUAGCUAAAAUAAAAAUAAAAGACUCUUCUAAUGUAAAAAGUUGAAAGAACUUGUAGUAGCUUCCAAACUUUCCAACCAAAUGAGAGCCUUCAGUCAUAACCACAAAGACACCAUCAAUCUUUAGUUGGUACCACCUGUGCACAAAGUACUUUGGUAUAAGAAAUAGACCUAACCAUAAAUAUUUUAGUUUGAGCAACAAGCAGAAACGAAGCUUCAAAAAUAGGAAUCAAAGAUCCAACAAGUACAAGAAUCAAAGUCAUGCUAAAGUUGCAAGCAACUCUAAAGUUAUAGCUAGAAAGCCAAAUAAUUAUUUGUUACAAACAUUCCUAGAUUCCACUUGAUGAGAAUAAUCUAAUGUCCUGAGCUCCACUUCCCUUUUUUUUGUUUAAUUAUCAGACAGUUUUAUUGGAAAUGAAAGUAAACAUCUAAUGAAGUAAAAGCCAAGAAGCAAAAUUCUGUACACAAGUAUGAAGCAAAUUUAGAUAGAUAGAAAAUGAAUGCCUAAUCCUUUUGUCAUCUCCCAUUUUGUCAUCAAGAAUGAAUGUAUCCUUGUCAAAAACUUGCUGCAUCGCACACCAUUAAGAGCGAGGCUAAGUAUCUAUGCUGACUGAAUUAGCUUUAACAUGGUAAGAAAAUUAAGUAAAUAAUGCAUCAGCAUAAAUUUGGACCUUGACCACCCAGAUGACAGGAACCCAAUUAUCUAACUGGAGCUAUGCAUCCGGGGAUAGAAUCAAUCAAUGAUCAAUAUGCCUUAAUCCUUUGCAGAACAUAAUGUAGAUUUUAUUUUUCAGCCUUCGCAACAAGAAACUAAACUUUUCAAGGACCGCAAACACUAAUCCAACAUAAGUUAUUUUCAAACAGAAGACUUUGUUCCUACUUGAGCAUCAGUGGUGCAACAACUCUCAUCUUACAAUUCAUUUUGUAUUGAGAACGAACCUAAUGUUUCUCAAUUUCCAAAAAGGCAAAAAACUUUACAGUUCAUAACUGCACCUUAUUCAAAAAGCACCACUAUAAUAUACUUAAAAAAAAGUAUGAUACUUACUAGCUUGAUUGGGAUGCUUGGAUCUGCAAUUGACAGUGUAAGGUCUUCAUUCCACUCAGGAUUUACAUUUUUCCUCACCACACGCGUCUUCAAUUUCUGCUUCACAUAUACAGUUAAGAAAAAAUUAGUAGAAAGUUCGACCUACGUGUAAGUUGAAAUAAUAAUCUAUUAUAUAAACUGAAAGUCAUAUCCAGAAAUUUAGUCCUCGUAUACAGUUGGUCUGCUUCCUUUUGUCAAGAAAUUAAACACCUUCAGUGCUCAAACAGGACCAAAAGUAGUAGUACACUCUAGAAUGGAAUUAAUGACACCAUGCACAUUGCAUGAGAUUACCAUCAUCACAAAAUGCAAGGACAAUAUCCACAAUGCAAAAGGAAUUGCAAGCUUUCACUGUGCAGAGUCCAGGAGCCUGUCAUACAACCAAAAAUUACAACAUAGCAUGUAAUGCUAAAGAAAAAGUGUAAGGGGAAAGAUUGAUAAAAUUCUAAAGUACAGAGAAUAGUAUACCACUGACAGUAGAAAAUCAGUAACAAGACUUAUUUCUAACUUCCGACUCAUUGGUGCACAUAGAAAUUAGAAAUCAAGAAUCUUUGAUGAUAUUUUCACCUAAAUAUCACUUCUCGUGACAACCUUCAGACCUUCAAUUUCCUCUCCAAAUUCUUUAGCAGAAUCCUCUGCAGAUUUGCUACAGUAGUGCUCCUCAAGUAGUGAAAGGGUAGGAAGUUCCCCAAUACCAUAAGGGAUCUCCUCUAAGGAUUUGCAAGACCUCAGAAGCAGGUGUUCAAGGCAUGGAAAAUUAUCAGUGCUUGUGGCCUCCUAGUGUACUAGAUCUGUACUUUCUAUUAGCAACGACUUUAGACAACCAAAUACCCCUUCAUUUAGGUCCCAUCUAGGUCCUUGAAAAGCAAAGUUUUUCAGUUUGAGUACUGUAAGGUGGCCUAAAUUGGCAAAAAUGGCCAUAUCCCCCCAUGGAAGAUAGCUCCAACUCAAAGUCAAUUUUUUGAGCUUGUAGGGUAAAAUUUUUUAAGUUCAAAAUAGAAGUCAUCUCUAAGAAAUCCCCACAAGCAGCUUGAUAUGAUAAAAGGGAAACAAUCCAAGAAAACGAUUAAGAAAUGUAGGCCACUAACUCUCCUCAGUCCUCCUCGGCUAUUCGCCCCUUCUCACUGACAUAGAUACCAUCAAGGAACUUCCGGAUAUCUUUGUUCUUCACAUGGCAUUUUUGGUUUCAAAUUGGAGGCUCACAAGCAUCUGACGAUAAACCCAGAAAUGAACAAACACAAAGCACUGGUAGUCCAGCCCAAAAACUCUACUCAAAUACACACUCAAAAGGGAGGGGGAAGAGGAAGAAUUCUUCCGCACAAGCCAAGUUCUCUCACAGUAUUACUAAAUCAAAUCAACAAUUCGGAUGCAUGAAAAUGUAAAAGAAAUCAGAAAAAUGACAAAUCUAAAGAGAAAAGAAAAGGCCCAAAUGUUUCAUCAUGCGAGCAGAUACCUUCUUCUCACCAAGGAAGUUUCGGAUCUCAAUAGAACGAUUGGAGUUGGUGAUGGAGGCGUUGAUUGGGAAGUGAGCGUAGACGAAUCUCAUCUUGUAGCGGUAACCCUUGGUAACGCCAGUGAUGAGGUUCUUAAUGUGGCUGAGGGUAGUGCGAAUGGCGGCGGUAGUCUUGCGGGAGCCGAACCAAGCGUCAACCUUGAGCUUCCUCUUUCCGGUGGCCUCAUCGGUGAUGAGCUGGAAUUCGUGGUUGAGAUGCUUGAAGUUGCGAGUAAGCUUCCCGCGGGGUCCUUCCACCUAGAGUUGCUUGGCUUUCACCUUAAUCUUAACACUGCUGGGAAUAACCAUAGUCUCCGAUGACAGAAUCGUCUUUAUCUUGGACAAUCGCUCACAGUAAUUUUGCCUCCUCUUCUUUUCUAGAGAAGUGCAAAAGAUUGGCAGCCAAAAAACCCUUACAAAUCCAUAAAGUUGAACAGGGAAAUCUAGCAAAAAAAUAUGAUAUUAGAUUCAGCAAAAAACGUUAUAUCAGAUUCAAGUAGACAACCGAGAGAAAUCAAUUUUAGGGCAAAAAUUUAUCAUGCAAUUACAUACCUUCGAUAAGAAAGCAAGGGUAGUUUGAUUGUGGAGAGAUUCAAUAGCAAAACUCUUGGGGAAAGCAAAAUUUUGGCCAAGAGUUUUGAGAGAUAGUUUGCAGAGAGAGAGUUUGUGAGAGAGAUAAGAAGAAGCAAAAUUUCACUGGCAAGCAAAAUGAAGUUUUGAGAUUUCACAGGUGUUUUGGCAAAGAAUCUUCCGCCAAAAUCAAAGUACGUCGUUUUGUGUUUUAAUUUUUUUUUUUUUGUAUCUCACAUUUUUUCAAGUGUCAUAAUAGGGAGUCUAAAGGUACAUUAUUGUUUUUAUAUCAAAUAAAAUAAAAAAAAUUAGAGUAUAUAUUAUUGAGUUGAUAACAAGUGUAAUGAUAGAAGUGCUAUAAUGACACAAACCAGUAAGUGUCCUUAUAGACAUGUCAGAAAAGACCAUUUUUGUUGUAGUGAAGGUGCACUUAUACGAACAAAAAUGCACCAUUAAAUAAAUAAAAACAGCCGUCUGUGUUUGAAUUUAUAUCAAUGUAUUUUGUUUCUCUGUUACUUGCAAGCAGGUUCCAAUCACUAAGUUUUAUAUGUCAACUAGAUACUAUAUUCAUGACUUGUUAUAAAAGCUUACUAGUUAAAUAUUACUUAAAAUGAAUCCAAACCUUAAAAGGAAAUGAAAGAUUAACUGAUAUAUUGAGAGAAAAACAUAUAACUCAAAAACUAGAGUUCAAAUAUGAGAUUUUCUGCUUUCUACAACCAUUCUUUUGGUCAUCUCUAAACAAUGUGCAUCUUACCAUGUGCUAAAUAGGUUUAGAAUGCAUAGGUAUGAGCAAAGAACGAUAUGCUCUCUUUAAAAUGUGACAACAAAAUUAAUAGAUCUACAUACUUAUCCCCAUUUUUUGUUUGAAAUUCAAUGAAUUAGAGAUCAUGAAAUUCAACACAAAAUCAUUCAAGCAAUCAAGAAGAAAAUAACAUCUUACGGUUAAUAUUAAGGAAAAAAAAAUAGACUUUCCUCCCCCUUCAGUUUUAGAACUAUGUUUAGUUUUCCUUUUAGUCCAAAACUCUCUCUUGAUUUCACUGUAGCUAAAUGCUUAGGCACUUGACAUAUGGUAAGAUACACACAUAUUUAUAUGUACGUACACACACACACACCCACACACACAGAUAUAUAUAUAUACAUAACACAUAGACACACACACACAUAUGCACACUAAUAACAGAGAAGGUGUUUUCCACGUGAAUAUGAUGCGUUUCGAUUUUCCUUUUCUUCUCAAAAAUUUAAAAAAAAUCAAUGAAAUUGAGAUAAAAUUAAUGUGAUAUUAAACGUUUAUAUUUUUUAUAUUUUUUGAAACUUGAUUUAUCCUAACCAACACAAAUGCGCAAGAAGCAAAGUAUCCUUUAUCCCAAGAGCACUUUUGUUUUGUAAUAAUAUCAAUAUUUUCGUCUUUUGGUUGAAUUUGAAUGACUUGAAUGUUGUUCUCUUUUAUGCCAUUUGGGUUAAAGUUUUUAUCUUCCUAAAUAAUUUAUUGUUCCCCUUUACGUCAUUCUAUGAAUUUUUUAUUAGUUUUAGUGAGUUUUUCCUUUAUUAUUUCUAUUAAUGGUGGAAUGUAAAAUGAUUGAAAGUGCUAUUGUAAUUAUAAAAUAAAUUUAAUGCAUUUAAGGUAAUGACUAGUGUUAUAGCUGUAUACCAAUUUGAAUAGAUGUACCUUUGGAGUAAGCAUGGCCACGGUUCCAGAACCGCCGGUUCUGGUUUUUUAAAGAGGUAGAACCAGAACCGCACCAUCUAAGAUGGUUCUGGUUCUGGUUCCACAACCGCCGAUUCUGGUUCUUCUGGUUCUUCAAAGAGGUAGAAAGAUGGUUCUGGUUCUGGUUCUAGAAUCGCCGGUUGUGGUUCUUCAAAGAGAUAGAACCAGAACCGCACUAUCUGGUUCUGGUUCCGGUUCCGAUUUUGGUUCUGGUUCUGGUUCCUUAUAGUUUUGAUUUCGAUUCCUUGUGGUUCUGGUUCUGAUUCUGUAUAGUUGUAUACAAUUUUAUUUAAUUUUUUAUCCUUACCAAUUUUAAUACGAAUAUAACAAUAUAUUUAAAAUUUUAAAUAGAAUGUAAAAAAUAAAUACAAAAUAAAGAUCAUAUUUUAAUUUUAUUAUUAUUCAACAAAGUACGAAGUAAUAAAUGGAUAAUACAAAUUUUAUGAAAAAUACGUUACAUUGUCAAAUUAAAAAAUACAUAACACUAUCAAAUGGUAAUCAUUUUAAAUGGAAAAGAAAAUACUUGAUUUUUUCAUUGAAAUUGAGAUGAAAUAUCAAAACAAACAUUAAUUAUUUAAUCAUCUUCAUUGCUUGCGACGGCACUAGAAUCAGUUGUAUAAUUGAAAUCUUCUUCUUCAUCUUUUUCCAUUUCUUCUUGUCUAUAUUUUGCUCUAGUCCAAUCAUCCACGUAUGCUUGAAUUUCUAGUGAUUCUGGGCUUAAUCUCGAUCUUGUCUCAUCCAAAAUGCUUGCACCGGCACUAAAAGCUUGUUCCACUGCUACUGUUGAUGCUGGAGUUGCUAAUAUUUGCUUAGCAAUAAGGGAGAGGAUAGGAUAAUUCUCUGAUUUUCGCUUCCACCAGUCAAGGACUUUAAACUGUUUUGUUAAGCUACUAUUAUCAUGCUCAAACUUGGUAGUUAGAUAUGAUUCAAGUUCCGUAUUAGUAUUAAGUGAACCAUUUAUUUAUAUUAAUUUUUUUUAACAGUUCUGGAACUGGCGGUUUUGGUUCUGGUUCUAUUUUUUAGAGAACCAGAACCAGAACGUUUAUCCAAGGUUCUACCACGGUUAUGGUUCCACGGUUUUGGUUCCGAUUCUGGUCCGGUUCCAAACGGUCCGAUUUCGGUCCGAUUCCCGGUUCCAAGUGGAACCAUGGCCAUGCCUACUUUGGAGUGUUGGCAGAACUAUACGUUUUGUUGAAAAAUGAGGAUUGAAGGUUCAGGAAAUGGAUAUUUAAUUUAUAGGCCUCGCUAAUUUGGUGAUCUUUGAGGAUAUUUCCAUACUGAUCUAGACAACGAUGUGUGAAAACGUGUUCCACAUUGGUCCUUGUCAAAUUUUCACACGUAUUAAAUUAAUUAUAAGCAUUGUUUUCAAGAGCGGAUCGGACUGGCUGGUUUGACCGGUUGGACCGCGAACCGGUCUUGGCUUCGGUCCGGUUCAUGCUUUGGGUUGAUUAUACUUAAAAAUCGGAUUGAACCGUGCGAACUGGAUUGAACUGUUGAAUCGGCAAUUUUUUUUGUUUUUGUCUAUUAAAUUGAAAUUUUUUUAAAAAAGAAUAUGUUUUCCUUAACCCUAAAAUCUAAUUAUUAAAUGCUACAUUCACUCACUUUCUUCUCAUUUUUUGUCUCUUAUCAAGUUUGUAUUUUUAUUUUCUGUUUUCUUGACUUUCUCCAAACUUAAAACUUCUUUUUUUUUUUAAGUUGCAAUAUCUAAAUAUCAAAAACUUGAAUUAAAAUUUAAACUCACAAUGUCUAAUUCUCAUAGACGUGAAUUUUGUGUAAUUUCAAAAUAUUGUGGUAUUUUUUAGUUCGAUUUAAUAUUACUUUUGGUAAAUUCAAUUAAGAUUAAGAUGAAAUUUAUUUAUUUCAACUUAUAAUUUUAAAAAUUUAUUUGUGAAAAUCCAACUUCUUUGAAAAUAUUAAAAUUUUCAUCAUGUAAAGCCUUAAAUUAGUCCAAUUAUUUUGUGCAUAUAUAUUUAUAUAAAUUAUUUUUAAAAAAAUUCAUUGAACCAGGAUUGAACCGGUCCGACCGGUGCAUUAAUUGAAGUGGUGCAUUAAUUGGCCCUUUUCAACAAGUGGAAGAAUUCGAACACUUCAAGUUGGAACAAAUUGGCCCUUUUUAAAUAAACUUGCAAAAAUUUGAAGAAUUAUUUUGGGCCAUAGUGAAAUAUUGGAAAAGAUUUUGAUAAAAAUUUGACAGAGUUUCCCAUUAUAACUGGACGAAACUCCCUGCCAACAAACCAAUUUUUCAAGAAAAAGUUCAACAUGGCAAUAUUUCCAAGCACAAUUCCAACAUUUCUAAUACGUUUAAAUCCACAAAAUAUCAUUGAAUGGCAUAAAAUAGCAAGCCAAUUAUUCCCCUUCCCCACACUUAAAUUCCACAUUGUCCUCAAUGUGAGAAAGGAAAAUUAACGAAAGUAAGGGUCUGUUUGGUUCGACAGAAAAUAUUUUCCCUAGUGAAAAUAUUUUCAAUCGAAGUCAUUUUCCUGAAAAAUCACUUCCUUCUCCAUAAUUUUCCGGUGUUUGGUUAUUUAGUGAAAAUAUUUUCCAAAUUCCUUUUUUCAUAAUUUUUCGGUGUUUGGUUUGUCAGUGAAAAUAUUUUUUGACUUCCUUUUUUAAUGUUUGUUGAUAUGUUGCAAAUGUUUUUCUAUUCUCAAAACAUUCAUCUUGUUUUUUAGCUUCUAUCCAUUAUAAUCAUAUUAUCAUUUUUAUAAAAUAUUUAUUCAAAUUACACCAUGAAUUCUUAAAUGAAAUUAUUAAUGACACUAAUGAAUUGGUUUUUGAUCUUCCUUUAAAAAAAAAAUCAUUAAGGGGGUGAAGUGGAUUCACUACAAUUCAUUGUGUAAGAAAAUGGACGAUUUUGAUUGGACAUGGGAAAAGGACGCUUGCUUGUCCUAUUCAUACCGCUAGAAAGUAACCAUCGAGACCCAGAUUGUAGCUGUCUAGUAUCAAUUAACAUGCCCCUACCAUUUGGCUCAACAUUAAACUGUUUUGCUAUUGACACUGAUAAGCAGACACUUUGUUAACUCGUCUGAGCAUCAAGCAACCAUACUAGCAGUCAAGAUGCUACGGUAUUGAGUUCACAACACAGAAAGGCAAGGAUCAUAGCGUACAAUACUGCAGCAAGUAUCAAUCAGUUUUAUAUGUAGAUCACAACAUGAAGACCUAUAAGAAGGAUAUAGAAUGGGUAGAAAAGCUCUGUUCUGUUCACUAUGUGACGAGGUAGCCAAAUUAACCGGGAUUGUGUAAGGAAAAGAGAAUUGGGACGUUAUAAACCAGCAAAGAGGAAGAAAGGGCCAAAAACUAUGUAUUAGAAAGGAGCCUUUCUGCAGUUUCAAGCACAAUGAAAUACCAUAAACAACCAGAAGGCGUUAGCUAAUAUGGACAAGAACUAACAAGGCAGCAAUAGUUCCAACCACCAAACAUAUAUUUACAACAAUCAUGUAUACAGGAUUUGUUUUUGCAAAUAUAAGCAAGGUUGUGCUUUGAAUUCCCUAAGCAAAGGUUACAAAUCUGUGGAGCCUUUUCUGGAAAGGGCAAGACUUGCUUGGGCAAGCUGACUGAAGCAUGAGAACUACCAAGAUGUAGGUGCACUGACACCCUCCCUGAAGAUGAUGUUUGCCACUUGGGGUGGGGUGGAAGCCAGCCCGUGUUGCCAGCAGUGUGGCCUUCCAAAGAUUGAGCUUCACCUGGUAUGACAUUAGUCCGUCCCUUCCUUAUCUUUGACCUGCUAAUCUUUUUGCCAACAAAAAGGCCCAGCUUCAUAGCAGUAAAUAGACCCAAAGCAAUCAGAAGUGGCCGGACUGCCCAGUGAAAAUCCUCAGGGUGCUGAUACUUUUUCACCACUCCAGGAGAAGUACUAAAAGAAACACACUGAACUUCAGAAGGAUCAGCUAAAAAGCUGCUAUUUUCAUUACCAAAUGUCAACCUACCAGGAAACCUAACAACAAGGCACCCAUUUGGUAAGACUUGACAAAUUCUCCCAGUUGCCCACUCGCCACCUCUUUUUCGGGGCCAUUCAAAUCGAGGAUUAAAUGUAUCAGACUUCAGCCUAACAAAUUGCCCAACACAGUAAGUUUCUGCCAUCUGGAGCUCUGAAUAUCUUCCCUUCCAAAGUGUCUCCAUUCCUAUAAAUCCAGCAGCUACACUUCCAUCACGGUUGAUUAGAUGAAGGAUACCUACUGGUGAAUGUUUCUUUCCUUCAGCCUUCAAUCACACCCAAUCUCCAGCAGCAAAUCCAUAACUAACACGUUCUAGUGGGCAUCUGCUGACGAGUCUUCAAUCGAUGGUCUUCAAUCGUUGAGAAUGGGCGUCUGCCGUGGUGGAAGAAUGCCUUUAGCCCGUGCUUUCAAGAAAGGAAAAUAACUUCAGAGUAACAGGUAAGGAAGUUAUUUUCCUUCCCUCGGCGUAAGUUAUUUUCCAUCAGAAAUCAUUUUCCCAAAUUAAAUUGUGUCCAAACAGUGGAAAAUUAGGAAAACAUUUUCGGGAAAAUAUUUUCCAUCCAACCAAACAGACCCUAAGAGAAAGUAGUACUUCCCUAUUGAACUUACGCAAUCCAAAUCCAUGGUCAUGCGAUGACUUUCCAACCUUAUUUGCAAAGAAAGGAGAAUUCAAUUAAUGCACCACUUCAAAUGACAAAAUCAAAAUAAAACAAUUGAGUAAAGCUUGCAACGAUCAAGAAGUAAACAUGCAAAUCAAGGAAAAAGGGGAAAGUGAUCAAGCAUGUGGAACCAUACAAGCAUAUGCAUUAGUAUCCAAGGCAAAAGGAAGCUAAUUUCACAAAUAAGCCCAUCAUCAUGAACAAAGUAAGUUCCAUUUAUACAUUUUGUCAUCAAUGAUCAAGUUCUCUCAAGUACAAAAAUAAUCUCAAAAUGGAGGCAAACUGUGUGGAGUUGAAGGAGGAAGAGAGGGAAGAAUGAGCAAAAGUGAAUCGAACCUUCGUUUUUGAAUUAUUUUUGAAUGGAUUCGAGGUCCGAUCGUGAUGAUUGAAUUCAGAUCAAAAAGCUCGAACUAUUUUCUGAUUGCAGAAGUAGAGACAGAUCCGAGCUCGGAUCCAUUGAAUAUGCACUUAUUGCACAAUUUUCUGCAAUAAUGUAGUUAGAGUAGUGUACUAGUAUGUAAGGUGCAGUUCUAACAAUAAAAAUGCACCGUUUAAUAAAAAAUCCGCUGUGUGUUUGAGUUUGUGUCAUUGUACUAGUAUGUCAAAGAUGCACUUAUACGAACGAAAAUACACCAUUAAAUAAAUAAAAACAGCCGUCUGUGUUUUUCUCGAUUGCUUGGAAGCAGGUUCCAAUCACUGAGUUUUGUAUGUCAAUUAGGUGCUAUAUUCAUGACUAGUUAUAAAAUCUUAUUAGUUAAGUAUUACUUAAAAUGAAUCCAAAUCUGGAAAGGAAAUGAAAGAUGAGUUGAUAAAUUGAGAGAAAGGCAUGUAACUGAGUUCAAAGAUGAGAGUUUCUGCUUUCUACAACCAUUCAUUUGGACAUCUCUAAACAACGUGUAUCCUACCCUGUGUCAAAUAAGUUUAAAAUGCAUAGAUAUGAGCAAAGAAUCAUCUGCUCUUUAAAAUGUGACAACAAAACUAAUAGAUCUACAUGCUGUUGGAUAUUAAUACUUAUCCCCAUAUUUUGUUUAACAUUCAAUGAAUUAGAGAUUGUGAAAUUCAACAGAAAAUCAUUCAAGAAAUUAAGAAGAAAAUAACAUCUUAUGGUUAAUAUUAAGGAAAAAAAGACUUUCCUCCCUUUUUAGUUUUAAAACUAUGCUUUUUUUUCCUUUUGGUCCAGCACUCUCUCUUGAUUCACUGUAGCUAAAUGCUUUAGGCACUUGACAUAUAGUAGGAUACACACACAUUUACGUACAUACAUACAUGCACACAAUAUAUAUAUAUAUAUAUAUGUAUAACAAAUAUAUACACACACAAACACAUACUGGUAACAGAGUAGGUGCCUUCCACAUGAAUAUGACGCUUUUCGAUUUUCCUUUUCUUCUCAAGAAUUUUAAAAAGCUAAUGAAAUUGAGAUAAAAACAAAGUGAUAUUAAACAUUUAUAUUUUUAUAUUUUUUGAAACUUUAUUUAUCCUAACCAACACAAAUGUGAAAGUAACAAAUUAUCCUUUAUCACAAAAGUACUUUUGUUUCGUAACAAAUUAUCCUUUUGUUUCGUCUUUUGGUUGAAUUUGGAUGACUUGAAUGUUGUUCUCUUUUAUGCCACUUGAACUAAAAUUUUUAUCUUCCUGAAUAAUUUAUUGUUCCCCUUUGCAUCAUUCUAUGAAUUUUUUAUUAGUUUUAGUGAGUUUUUUCCUUUAUUAUUUCUAUUAAUGGUGGAAUGUAAAAUGCUCCAUAGUGCUAUUGCAAUUAUUAAUAAAAAUUUUAAUGCAUUUAAGGUGACAGGUGUUAUAGCUAUAUACCAAUAUGAAUAGCUGUAGCUUUGUAGUGUUGGUAGAACUGUACGUUUUGUUUAAAAACGGGGAUUGAAGAUUGAGUAUAUGAAUAUUUAAUUUAUAGGCCAAGCUAAUUAAUAUUUAAUUUGAGGAUUGACCCACUACAAGAAAUUUGACCUUUUGUGACAACAUUCUCUGCGACAAGAGAGAAAGUUGUCACAAUUGAAAACUUUAGUGACGACUUUUAAUAUCGUCAUACUUGAUCGUGGGUUCACCCGUCAACAGUGACAACACAAGAUAAGUCGUCACAAUAUGGAUGACGCGCAACUAUCUAGUGUGGCGGGAGAUCACCGUUGUGACGACUAGAAAAUAUGUUGUCACUGAAACUCGUCCUACAGUGACAACUUAAAAUAUCAUCACAAUAUGGUUGUCAGUUCUAAAUUAGUGACAACAACUAGUCGUCACUGUCCAAAUCAUUUAUUCCCAUCUCACUUUCGCUAAUUCUACUAUGUCACCCUAAUAUUUUCAAUAUGGCCCAUAUGUUGUAAAUAAGUUUUAUUAAUUCUACCAUGCCACCCUAACUUUUACAUUUUGACCCCAUAUACCACCUUAAUUUUUUUAAUAUGGCCCAUGUGUUGUAAAUAAAUUUUAUUAAUUUUGCUAUGACACCCUAACUUUUACAUUUUAACCCCAUAUACCAUCUUAAUUUUUUGAAUAUGGCCCAUGUGUUGUAAAUAAAUUUUAUUAAUUCAACUAUGACACCCUAACUUUUACAUUUUGACCCCAUAUACCACCUUAAUUUUUUCAAUAUGACCCAUGUGUUGUAAACAAAUUUUAUUAAUUUUACUAUGACACCCUAACUUUUAUAUUUUAACCCCAUAUACCACCUUAAUUUUUUCUAUAUGGCCCAUACGCUGCAAGUAAAUUUAAUUAAUUAUAUUAUGACACUCGAACUUUUACAUUUUAGCCCCGUAUUUGGUAAACUAAUCUCAUUAACUCUAACAUGACACCUUAUCUUUUGCAAUUUAGUCUCGUAUGUGAUAAAGAAAAUUUUUAUUAAUUUUAUUAUGCCACCCUAUGCUUUUACACUUUAAGUUGUGUUUAUCAUUAGCAAAAUGAGGUAUAUAUUGUAAAAAACAAUGUUUACCUAUUUUUCAAUUAUUCCAAACAUAACUAAUACCUUGUUAUAAAGUUAAAAAAUAUCUUGAAUUCUUUAUUUAGUUCUCUAGACAAAUGGGAAAUUACUGAUUAACAUAGUGUGAAAAUAAUGGAACAGAAUAUUAAAAUUUAAUAUGAAAUUAAGUAAAAAUCUUGACAAUUCCAUAACUGGAGUUUGUUAUGUAUUACAAUUUACAAUAAUCAAAUUGUUUAUGGUUUAUGAAUCAGUACAUGUAUCAAAUAGAUUUAGUGUUUCAUGCAUGUAUUAGUAAACCAUUUUGGUUAUUUGAUCAACUAGUUUAUUAUUAACUAGUAAACCAAUUGGAUGACUGGAGUUUAUUAUUAAUUACAAUAGUCACAUUGUUUAUGGUUUAUGAAUCGAUACUUGUACCAAAAACAUUUAGUGUGUCAUGCAUGUAUUAGCAAACUAUUUUGGUUAUUUGAUCAACUAAAUAGUAUUGUUAGGUCUUGUCAAACCAUAAUUCGUACAUAAUUCAUAAAAUUAUUAAAAUAAUACCAAAAAUAUUUACAUCAAAAGAUUUUUUUUGAAUCAUAAACAUAUUUUUAAUAAGCUUUUUAGUUUUUGGACAUUAAUUUUUUGUAGAGAUAAAAAAAACCUGUGUUAGUAGACAACAUUAUCAAAAAACACUAAAUUUUCAUAUUCUAAAGUUUUAAUGCAACAAAUAAAGUUUUAAUACAACUUAUGAGCUAAAAACUCAAAAUAAUAAACAACUUUAAUUACACAAAGAUAGAGAAAAGAAAAAGAGAUAUACUAGAGAAGGCGUUGUUUUUGUAAAGAAAGGUCCAAAUAGUUAGUACAAAAGUCACUUGAAAGCGUUAUUUUUUGGCUGAAGCAAAUAGUUAGUACAAAAGUCACUUGAAAGCGUUAUUUUUUGGCUGAAGCUAAAAUGGAAGGGGGAAGCUCAAAAUUGGAGUAGAGGCGGGGGAAGCUGAAAUUUGGUGUACAGGCGGGGGAAACUAAAAAUUGAACAAAAUUGAACGAGUAGAGACGGGUUAACAAAAGAAGCAGAAACGACGUCAUUUUAGCGAGAGUUAAACAAAAACACUCAUAACACUUAGCUAGUUUGGGAGUUCAGAUUUCAAAGGAAUAGAAAAGAAAGGAAGGGAAAGGUGGACUUUUCUACGUUUGGGACAUAUAAGUCGGACGGAAAAGAAAAGAAACGAACGGAUCUUGAAGAGAAGCCAAGCGUUGCUACAGUGCAAAAUUUUUUCUGACCAAAACGGGCGGAAAGCGAAGGAAAACUGAUGAAAGCUUACCAAAUUUUUUUUUAGGGUUAAUCACAUUUUAUCCCCUUAAAAAAUAUCUCAUUUCUCAAUUUACCCACUAACAUUUAAUUUUGCUCACUUAACCCCCUUUAGGACAAAAUUGUCCUUGCAUUAUUUUGACUUUUCAUUUACCUUGUUUUCCUUUCUUUUAUUUCUUUUUCUCUUUCUUCUUUAUUUAAUUCUUCCUCUUUCCCACAAAAAUCUUCACCUUAAUGAUUGAAAUUAAAAAGAGGAAUUGCAGAGAUCUAUCUUCUCCUUAAAUGAUUAAAAAAAAUAUUCAAAUCACUUUCCUAAAAUACAAUUUUUUUAGCCUUUCAAUUCUUUUAAUUUUGGAUUUUCCUCUUUCCUUUCUAGUUUCUCAUUUUAUUCCCAAGAAAAUAUCUUAAGAUGAAAUUGUGACCUGAUUAAUAAUCAUUAAUUGAAAUUUGUGACACGUGGCAUCAUACAAAAAAUCAAAAUUAGUUUUUUAUGUCUUUUAAACCUUCACCCAGAAAUAUGCAAUUACAAACUCAAAACAAAAAUUUUCGUUGAAAUGGAAUUUCUAUUGGGAAGGAUGAAAGAGAGAAGAAAUAGAAAAAGAAAUAAAAGAAAGGAAAAUAAUUUCAUCUUAUGAUAUUUUCUUGAAAAUAAAAUGAGAAACUAGAAAACAAAGAGGAAAAACCAAAAUUAAAAGAAUUGAAAGGCUAAAAAAUUGUAUUUUAGGAAAGUGAUUUGAAUAUUUUUUUAAUCAUUUAAGGAGAAGAUAGAUGUCUGCAAUUUCUUUUUUUUAAUUUCAAUCAUUAAGGUGAAAAUUUUUGUGAGAAAGAGAAAGAAUUAAAAGAAGAAAGAGAAAAAGAAAUAAAAGAAAGGAAGACAAGGUAAAUCAAAAGUCAAACUAAUGCAAGGGCAAUUUUGUCCUAAAGGGGAUUAACUGAGCAAAAUUAAAGGUUAGGGGGUAAACUGAAAAAUGGGAUAUUCUUUAAGGGGAUAAAAUGUGAUUAAUCCUAUUUUUUUUUUAUCCUUUCUUGUCUCUCAUGAGUUAUCCUUUCUGUUCUUUUCUUUUCUAUCCUCAACUCACAAACUAGCUUCUAGAAAAAUUUCGGACAUCAUUUUAGCAAGACAUUCAUCGCGACAUCUCAAGAACUCUCGCCAACCCUACGCUGUCUCUAGGUCCGCCGGCCACCAAACCUCCGCCGAGUCUUGGGGUGCUGGUCUCGCUGUUUCCCGUAUCUCUCGUGUUCCUGGCGGUGGCACUCACCGUGCCGGCCAGAGUGUCUAUGGCAACAUGUGCUGCGGCGGCCGCAUGUUUGCUCCGACCAAGAUCUGGCACCGUUGGCACCGCAGGUCCCAGUUAACAAGAAAUGGUAUGCCGUGGUUUCUGCCAUCGCCGCCUCUGCAGUGCCUUCCCUUGUCAUGGCCCGCAGCCACCGGAUCGAGUCUGUCCUGCAAAUCCCCUGUGUGAUCUCCGAUUCUGCUGAGGCCAUGGAGAAAACCUCCAAUGCUAUCAGUCUUCUCAAGAAAAUUGGGGCUUGCCUUGAUGCUGAGAAGGCUAAGGACAGCCAGGGUUGUCUGAUUUUGCGGAGGAGCCGGAGAGGGCUGUUUCUGCGGUGGCGGAGCUGGUGGAGUUUGGGAGGAAAAGGGUACCUCGGGAGUAUUGGAGGGAGACUGAAAUUAGGCUAAUGGCAACUGCUGGUUUGAGGAUGUUGGAGAAAGGAGUUCAAGAUAGGAUUUUGGAGGCUUGCCGAACCGUGUUGAGGGGCUCGGGUUUCAGGUUUUACGAUGAUUGGGCUUCCGUUAUUUCCGGUAUGAUGCCAUUUGGCUUGUGGAUUUCUUUUAAUUUUGGUUCUCUGAUCUGCAUUUUGAAGCAUGUUUUGUAUAAUCAAUGGUAAGAGUGUUGGAAAUUCUAGUGUUUUGCUCUAGUUAGUAUGCUAGUGACGUAUCUGGACAUUGAGAAUGUGAACUUUUACAACCCUGUCUGAGUGGAUAUAACUUCUUUGUUAGGUGUUUGUUAUUGCUUAUCUUUUUGGUUUAUUCAACUUCAAGUGACAAUGUGCUUGCUAAGGAGUCAAAAUUUGAACUUUAAGUAAGUAAGGCUAGAUUAUAGGUAGAUUCAGAUUUUUGAAUUCUGGGUAAAAUGUACUUGGAUGUUGGUCUCAUGCUAACUGCUGCAUUUCCUAUCUAAUAGCUUGGCAAUGCUAUAUGGGCUUUUAUUUAGUCAUAUUAAUUCUUAUAAACUGGUUUUGUUAGCAUUUAAUUCUUGUUAUAUUUUGAAAGUCUAAAGUUGGAUGAUCCAUUGUUUAGGUUCUGAUGAAGGUGUAUAUGCCUGGGUCGUUGCUAAUUAUGCCCUUGGCACUCUAGGAGGUGAUCCUAAGCAAACAACUGGUAUUAUUGAACUUGGAGGUGCUUCAGCUCAGGUUGUGAAUUUAUUUUCAAUUGUUAGGUUCUUCUAUAGUUAAGACAUGCUCAUAUUCACUGACUUAUGUGGAACUCAUGUCUGAAUUUUUUCUAGUUAGUUGAGUAUUUCUUCUACUCAUAGGUGAAGCUUUUAGUGUAAUGAAUGGUGACUUCUUAUACAUUUGUAAUGCCAACUGAAACUGCAAACUAAGUAUUGUUAUUUUGGUUCUAAAUAUGAUGGGGCUCAAAUCUUUCCUUGUCGAAACUGCUAUAGUUAUUAUGAUUUUCUUCUAUAUUUGUUCAAGGAGUUGACAUGUAAAAUUUUUUUAAAAAAGGUGUUGACAUGUAUGAUGAAUCUUGUUAACAGAUGCUGAGGAAGUUAAGUAAACAGCUGAAUGGUGAGGAUUGGAUGUGGAACAACCUAAAUACCUUGCUGGGCAAUAGGAUCUAUAUCAGGAUCAAUGAUGGAGGAACAAGUGUACUGCUUUAUGCUGUAUAUUUUUCCUGUUUUUUAGUCUUUCUUCGCUGAGUGACUAUUUUCUAGCUUCUUUCUACUCAGAAUGAGACCUUGUGUUUGGAUAACUUUCAGUUUUGUGGUUCUUUUUCUUUUUCACCAUUUUCUUACUUUUAUUUUUUGCAUCAACUGUGGCAGGAAAACAAGUUUCUUGUGAUGGUGAUACGUGAUUUGUUAAACCUUUGUGAGAUUACAAAAGGCAAAGACAACAAAGUAGUUAUUGCAAGUAAUAUAAUGUGAGAUGUUAAACUGCAUUUUCAUUCUGAUAGGGUAGGUAGCAGUAACUAGGCAUUCUUAUGUGAUAACUUUAUCUCAGUUAACUAUUUGCAAAUGAAAUGUAUUCAGGCAAAUGACCGUGAACUCCAGUUUUCGAUGGUUGAUGGUGAUUUCAAGAAGUUUGAAGGAAAAUGGUCUGUCAAAUCUGGUGAAAGGUAAAUUCUGGUGUAACAUAUUUUGCAUCUCCUUCCUGGUGAUGUGUGUUUCUGAGGAUGAUUAUAGAUUCAAGUAUCAUUUGGUUGUUAACAUUUUUGGCAAUCCAUGCUGGUUAUCCAUCUCAACUGUUGCAUGAAAAUGUAGCCUCUUUAGUUUUGGAGUCUUUAUUCAACUAAAAUGAUAUUGUUUACCUUUACAUAGCACUGGUAAACAUCUUUAGUAUGCUUAUAGAAGGAAUCAGCUACAACCUAAACGGCUAAGUAAUGAGUACUAAUAUUCUCUUUCAUUUAGCAAUUGUGUUUAGACAUCAUUUAACAUGUGCAGUUAAUUGUUCAUGUCUGAUCUGCUACAAGAUAAGUUAAUGGCUAAGUCAGAGGAGUUGGUCUAAAAUUUAGUUCUUGUAUCUCUUGCCAUUGAUAUUUCUUGAGACAAAUUGGAGCACUAUAUUGAGAAAAUUGAGUUGUGACUACAUCUAAUAACCUUGCCUCAAGGGAUUCUCUCCAAGUUUGGAAAAUUCUUUAUGCCGCCUCAGUUAUAUCUGAUGUUGCAUCUCCCACAUAGAGAUGAAACAAUUGAAUGUACAAACAAUGGUUAUGGACUGUAAUCCUAUUUAGAUGUAUUCCUCUGGUUUCUAUGGACAAGUUUUGGUUAGUUUCCGAACUGGUAUCUUUUGCAGUAGCCUUCCUUUUAUUUGGCUUUGUAAGCACUGUAAGCAUAGUUUUAGAAGACUAUCCUGUUAGAUCAAAUAUUUGUCUGAUUUUUUUUUUUUUUUAUCGAUACACUAAGGAAGAAGUAUUUUUUUUAAUCUUUAGUGAUUUUAGUGAAGCUUAAUUGAAAUUUUCACUUUACUUUUUCAUUUAUCCUUAUUUGUGCACUCUUAACUUGUCGAUGACUUAGAUGGUAAUAGCUUACUAAUAUAUGAUACUACACAAAAAGUGCUGCUAAAGUGUAUCUAAAAAGGAGAGAGGAUUUUCAGAAUUUGUCAAACUUUGACUUAUGAAUAUCUGAAAAAUGAAAAGUUACACAACGAAGCCUUUAAUUCUACCAAAUCUUGUGCUCUGAUUGUUAUCUUCACAAAAAGUGUAUAGCUGUUUAAUCAACUACCAAAAACAAAAAAAGAAAAAGAAAAGUGAUGGACCUUGUCUCCGUUUCUAAGAAACAAAAAACAGAUAAAUCCAAAGAUUGAAGUUGGAGCUUCAAUCCAAGUUUAUAACAAAGUCCAAAUUCCACCUUCAUACAUCAACAGAUAAACCAGAUGCAAAGUAGAUGAAGAUCAAAGGCAAUAGUUAAGUAGAACAAUUUCUAAGAUACAAAGUCUCAAACUGUAUGCGGGCCGGUUAUCAUGAAGCACCUAACUUAGUAGGAAAGAAGAGUCAGCCAAAGCUGCCAAAGGAUCACUUGUACUGUUUCUUCUAAAUCAGCAAUAUGGCCCUUGUCUCAAGUAUCUUGUAAACUUUGUGCUAGUGGUUAUGCUUGUUCAGUUCAUUUCUUCCUGCUUAACAGGCAUGCACUGCUGCCUAGUUUCUGCUCAUUAAAUAGUUUUGUCUCAAGAAGGUCUUCAUUCAUUUUGUAAUUGCUGUCUAUUUUCUAGAUUGCGGAUGUAUGGUCCUAUGGUGUGACAUUGUACGUGAUGUUGGUGGGAGCUUAUCAUAUUUGACUUAAUUGGAUUUUUGUUCAGUAUGACUAUUCAUUCAAAUUCAAUAGUGUAUGCUUGUAAUGGCAUUUUUUUGACUGAAAUCGAUUCUAAUGCAUAUGAUACUUUUCUUUCAAUGCAGUACAAUGCUAUUAAAUGCUCUUGAGGAGAUGAAAAAGGUUGGCUUUUGGAUAUGCUCAUGAAGAUGACUUCAGUUUGACACAAAUUGCUGCUUUAGUCUAUGUUUUUGUUUGGAAAGAGUACUUUGUUUUUUUGGAUGCGUAAUGGCUGUUACUAGUUGAACUGAUGUGAAUUUAGUACUCUAUUGUUUGGAUGGAUAAUGGCUGUUAGUACUUGAACUAAUGUGGGCUUUGGAACCCAUUUUGGUUAAUGUGUGUUUUGAUGAAUUUAGAGAUGUUUAUAACCAUAUAUAUAUAUAUAUAUAUAUAUAUAUAUAUAUUUGAGGGUUCAUUGUACAUUAAUUACUAUCGUUUUUUGCAUUAGUCGAGCCACAAUUUUCUGCUAUGGUUGUUGAAAAUGCAAUAGAAAUGCAGCUCUUGUACACAAAGUUGUAAGUUCACUAAGUGACGACUAUUCUUGUCACAGAAUACUAGGAAUGAGAGUGACAAGUUCAAGUCGUCACUGUGCACGUUCAAAUUUGUGAUGACUUCUGCUAUUUUUUAUGACAAAAAAAUUUUGGAAACAGUGAUAAGAUACUUCGUCACAGAAUACUAUUUUUUAGUGACGACUUAGUCUUCGUCAUUAAAUAAUAAUAUUUAGUGACGACUUUGUAAAGGUUGUCACACAUAUUCAUUUGUGACAUAGAAUUGGUGACAAUAAUGUGACAAUGGAAAAAGUCGUCAUUAUAUUCAUAUAAUGAUGACUUUCUAAUUUUUAGUGAUAACUUUCUAUUGUCACAAAAGGUCGAAUUUCUUGUAGUGACCAAAUCACCGAUGUGUAAAAACGUGUUCCACAUUGGUCCUUGUCAAAUUUUCACACGUAUUAAAAUAAUUAUAAGAUGGCGCAAAAUUCAAGUUCAUCAUGGUAGUAGCUCCGACCAUGACACUGGAUAACACCAAAUGCACUGUAUGAUUUAAUACUCAGAUUUCUGAAUUACUACUAUAAGAUUACCUGAUCUUCCAUGUAUUUAUGACUAUACUAAACUGCAACCAUGAUCAUGUCACAAUAGUCUUGCCUCUUCCAUAACUUUUUGAGCAUCAAUAAAAGUGAUAUUUGCAUAAAAUAUUGGAUUAGAAACAGAAUAGCUAUUUUUGUCCUUUUUUGAGUUUUGUUUUGUUAGAUGUAUUGUUAUAAUGUUAUAUAAUAUAAAUUUUAUAUAAUGUAUAUUAUAAAAAAAUAAUAUAUUAUAUAUAAAUAUUAUAAAACAAAUUUGAAAUUGAAUACCGAUUUCGAUUCCUGAUUUCGAAUUGUGAAUUUGAAAUCGAAAAUUUUGAUUUCAAAAAUUUCAUUAUCGAAUUUGAACUGAUUUCGCAUAAUUUGAAAUAGGAAAAACCGAUUUCCAUUCCAAAUUUCGAAUUACCGAUUUUGAAAAUUUCGAAUUAAAUUCGAAUUCGGUCGAUAAAUCAUUAUUUUUCGAUUUUGCACAAUCCUAAUUCUUCAACUCAGAAUUUCGGCUGCAGCCGUAAAGAAAAGUGUAGAGGCUUCAAGAAACAACUUUUGUUGAUUUUAAGAGAUAAAAUUGCCAACUAAAAACAACUCACGUGGACUUUUAAUUCCUUUAUAAAUAAGGACUUUGUUGAGCUUGUUUCAUAACUUUGGAAAGCUAGAAACAGUACUAAAAUAUAGUCUUCGGUAGUUUUUUUUUUUUUAGUUUAUUAGUAUGGUAUAGUUAGUAUAAUUUAUCCGUCUUGUACUUGUAGCUAGAUUUGCAUGAAGAAUUGAGGAGUAAAGAUGGAGAGUUGGAGCUCAUGUGACAAGCAGUGUUUUCAGAACCGGACCGGACCGGCAGGUUCGACCGGUUGGACCGCGAACCGGCCAUGUCACCGGUCCGGUCUAAUGCUAAAGCCGGAAGUUCAUGGAGAACCGUUGAAACCCGGACGAACCGUGUGAACCGUUAAGAACCAUGAACCGGCGGUUUUUUAAAUUUUUCAACAAAAUACCAAGAAUGGUGUAGCCAUGAUUCGAAUCUGGGUCUCCCAGUUUGCAUAUGACAAUCUUACUGCUAGACUGUAGUUAAGUUUGUUGAGAAUUCUACUUGACUAAAAAAUAUAUUAAAACAUCAAGUUCUUCUCUUAUUUUUUUUUUCAAUUUUUUCUUCUUAACCAUUUUUAACCCAAAUAUCCACAACAAGAUUUUCUCAAGUCUUCACCAUUAUUAUCAGGUCAUUAUCUUUAACAGAUUGUAAACAAGUUGAAAAUUUCAACUUUUCUUGUUUUCCAACAUCUUGGUAAGUUUAAUUUUUUUCUUUUCAAGGCUUUUUUUUUCUAUAUUAUUAUCUUUAGUUGAUUUUUUUGCAUUUUCUUCUUUUUCCCCUCAAUUUUCAUAUGUUUCCCUCAUUUUUUGUUUUAUUUUUAUUUGAUUAAUUAAGGAUGAAAUUUUUGCAAAAGUAGUGCACAUCCAUGUAGGAAUUGGGUAGGAAUUACAAAUAAUAACAUUGGGUUGGUAAAAAAUAUGGUAGUUGGCACAUAAUCGAAGCUAUUGAUAAUUGAAUUUAAAAUAAUUAAUGGUAUAGGAUCAUUGAAUUUAAUAUAACAUGUUAAUUAGUAAUGUUUAGUAGCAAUUAAUUUUUUAUGUGUUUAACUGUAUAUUUGUUUUUCAAAAAUUUUUAGUUUUUUUUUUAGUUUGAGCAAUUAGAUUUAUAUUUUUAUAAUAAAAUUUUAACUUUUUCAGCUUAAGUUGAUUAAAUUGUGAAGGUGGUGUGGUUGCUUAUCAUGCCACUCAUAAAAGUUUGCUAUUCAAAUGGUUUGUCUUAACUUGAACUCUUUUAUGGAUUUUUUUAAGGGUUGUAAAAGAAUUUCAAUAUUUAAUUUAUUUAUUUUUUUUGUUUUUAUUUGUGAUAAUUGGUGAACAUUUGGAUUGUAUCUAUUUAUGUUUAUAAUGAAUUUAUGAAAACUUGUGGUGAAUUAUGAUAUUUUAAUUAUAUUUAUCAUUCCAUGUUUUAUGUAUAACUUUUACUAAAUUUAUUAUUAUCAUAACUUAAAUUAAGUUAUGUUGGCAAAGUUCAAGUGUAGAAUGAAACCUGCUUAGUACUUAAAAAAAAAAAAAAAAAAAACAGUGAACCUAUGAACCGGCCGGUUGGACCGGUCGGACCGAUCGAACCGCGAACCGGCAACCUCUCCAGUUCACUGACCGGUCCGAGUUUAAAAACAUUGGUAACAAGGGUGACCUCUUUCCUAUCACUUUCUCUUUUGUAUUUGAUUUCAUGUUUAGUUAUAAUACAAGUUUGGAUUUUAUUAGGUUUUACUAAAAUUUAUACCUAAAGUUAUGGAUGAACUUUCUAUAUCUUGUUAGUGAAUUUACUUGGUUAUUUGGUGAUAGUAUUUUGAACAAGUUAUUUAUCACUUUUACUUAUCUAAUCAUGAUUAACUGGUCAUUAAUUGUGAUAAUUUUAAGGUGUUAAGUUUGUGAUGAGAAUUGAGAUUUGACAGUAGUUCAGAAAAGUGUUAAACUUAGGAAGUACACUCACGAUAGUAGAAAUGCACUUUUGUGAUUUUAGUAAUUUGUUUCAUAAAAUAUUAUAGAAAGAAUGAGUUUGUAGUUAAUUUUAUAACCACAAGAGUAGAUAUGGUUUAGUUAUAAGUAUAAUAGAUUCACUACGAGAGUAGGUUUCACAUACAUGAAAAAAUUCCAUUAUAACUAGUCAAGAUAAUAACAUUCAAUUAACCGGUGAUUUCACUUGCAAGACUAGUGAGGAAUUCCAUACCUUUGUUGACUUUCUAUUAUUAUUUGUAUUACUUUUAUUUCAUAUUCGUAAUGUAGAUAUAAUUUUUUACACUUGUGAUAGUCGAAAUAAUAAAGGAGUUCGAAAAUCACAGGUAAUUGACAAUGUUCCUGUGAGAUCGACACCUAAUAUUCUUGUACUCGAUAAACUAUAUGCAUACUCACAGAAAAUGAGAUGUUUAGGUUUUAUUAAAAUUUGAUACAUGGUAGAAUCUCGUCAGCAUCGUCUAUCAUUAGUCAUCCACCCCAAUGACAUUAGAUGCAUUUCCAAGGACUUUCUUGAAUAGUUAAACUAAUUUAGGUCGAGACUCGAAUCUUUGAGAGUUGAAUCGGUUAGUUCAUACAGUGAAUAGGAAAAACUCUAAAACACAAAAUGCAGUUAUAAAUUGCGGGUAUAUUUGUCUGGUCUUUUAUUUUUGCGUUGGUUCCAAUAGUUCUUUCAAGAGUCUAUGUAUCUAUUCGUGUAAUUGUCAAUGUCUUCUUUUACAUCAACUCAUUAAGAAAUACAUCAAAUCUUGAAAGAAAUACCAAAAAUAUAACCUAUUACUCAACUAGAAUUAUCAGAUUUAAGCCUAAGGUUUUUUUUUAACCCUCCAUCUCCUCUCCACAUCUCUUCCCAUCCCCAACCAUCAGUCUUGUGAUUCAAACUUUGAGCCUUACAGAGGAGGAAGCUCUUAGUCAUUGGACCAGUCGAGUGAUGACAAAACGGUAACAUAAAAUUAUAGGCCUAGCAACCGUAAUUAGUAUAUUUCCACACUGACCUCAUCAUGGACGUGUAAAAACGUGUUCCAUGCUGGUGGACCCUGAUUUUGGUGAUUAGGUCCAACAAGACAAACUAAUUUAUGGGGUAAUUACCUCAUUUUUAGGCCUAUAAAUACAAGGAGUCUGGUUUGUUAUUUCAAUGUGCUAAACUCAGCUACCAAGUUUUCGAGAGUCACAACCAAUUACAAUAUCUAAGGAGAAAAUGGCUGCAGCCAAAUCUGCUAUUGGCACUGGACAGGUGAAUAGUGAUUGUAUUCUUUUCCAAGUUUGUGUGUGGUUUUGGCAAUCAACACAUAAACAACUUGUAUAGAAACGUUUGGAAAAGUAUAAGGAGUUGCAAAUUAAAGCAAUUUCCAACAUUCUUGAAUUGUCUUAAGCAAUUUUUUAUAUUUCCAGCUGUCUACAUGCAUCUGUGGGUAGGCGGUCCCUUGCAUUGUUUCAUUAACUGUCUUCCGAGUGAUGUAGUUUCUUAUUAAUUGGUUGGAUUUAAUUUCUGGUCGUUUGUUUAUUUGAAGGAUUCUAAUUGAUUUUGGGAACUCAAUUGUUUUUCGUUUUCUUACUGGAAAAAAUGUUUGGGAUUUACAGACCGACAUCAGUUCACUAGAACCAGUGAAGCCGGCUGACCCUCACGUGAUCCAGAUCGGACAAUUUGUAGUGGAACAAGCUCACCACGGCAAGCUGCUUUUCGUCGCCGUGGUUGGCGGAUUCACGUGGAGCGUCAUUGGAGGCAAUUACUACGCACUUAUCAUUGAAAACCAGGAUUAUGAGGGCGCCACAUAUCUGCACAAAGCACUUGUUUUUGAGACCCCAGAUGGAGUCUUGACACUCAUCUGGCACAAGAAAUAAUCAAACACUGCCGUUGAUCAACUGACUAUCAACGUCUUGAAGUACUUUAAUUAUCUAUCACUGUCUUUGGUGUGGUUUUCAAUUUAUGCAUGGAUGAUGUACUGCUGGCACGCAUACAUCUCCCCACUGUUGUACUAGCAUGUAAGGUGCAGCUGUACCAGCAAAAAUGCACCAUUAAAUAAAAAAUGCCGUCUGCAUUUGUGUUUGUAUCCUUGUUUUAGUAUGUCAAAGGUGCACUUAUGAGAACAAAAAUGCACCAUUAAAUAAAUAAAAACAGCAGUCUGUGUUUGAAUUUGUAUCUGUAUAUUUUGUUUCUCUGUUGCUUGCAAGCGGAUUCCAAUCACUGAGUUUUGUAUGUCAACUAGGUACUAUAUUCAUGACUAGUUAUGAAGUUUGAUAACUAGUCAAGUCUUAUUUAAAAUGAAUCCAAACCUGAAAAGGAAAUGAAAGAUUAGUUGCUAUAUCAAGAGAAAGAUGUGUUGCUCGAAAAGUUCAAAGAUGAGAGCUUCUACUUUCUACGACCAUUCUUUCGGUCAUUUCGGAACAAUGCGUAUCCUACCACAUGCUAAUCAAGUUUAGAAUGCAUAGGUAUGAGCAAAGAACGGUCUGUUAUCUAAAAAAAUGCGACAACAGAUUUCAUCGAUUUACGUACAAUUAAUAUUUAUCCCUACACUUCUGUUAGAAAUUCAAUGAAGUUGAGAUCAUGAGAUUCAACACAAAAUCAUUCAAGCAAUCAAGAAGAGAAUAAUAUCAUAUUGUCAAUGCUAAGGAAAAAAUGUAAAUUGGACUUUCCUCUCCAAUUUCAAUUUUUGAAAAUUUUUUUUCUUUUUUGUGCAACACUGUCUCUGGAUUUCAUUAUAGCUAAAAUGCUUAGGUGCUUGAUAUAUGGUAGGACACGUACCUACAGACAAUAUAAAAGAUAUAUACACAUACUUGUGGUGUUAUAGCUAUAUACCAUUUUGAAUUGAUGUAUCUAUAGAGAGUGUUGGCUGAACUAUACGUUUCAUUGAUUGAUGAUUGAAGAUUGAGGAAAUGGAUAUUUGUAGGCCCAAGCUAAUUAAAUGACCUUUGAGAAUAUUUCCACACUAUCCUAAUCGUGAAUGUGUAAAAUGGUGUUCCACAUCCUUGUCCAUUUUUUCACACGUGUUAAGUUAAUUACAAGACUUGGCAAAAUUCAAAAGGUACGUACCACUAGAUAAUACCAAUUGCUCAAUAUGAGUUAAACCUACUUCUACAUGUGAUUCUAGGUUUGAGUGUUGACCAAGAAGUGAAUGUUCCAAUUAGUUCAAUUAUGAAGGGCUCAUGCGAAGGUCAAAGGUUCGCUUCAAACAUUGGUACGCGCUAUUUAAGACCAAGUUAGGUCUCAAAAACCAAUUGAAGGAAUUGAUGAUACACAAGCGAGCCUCAACAUGCUGAUUCGCGUUCCAUUCAAGAGGAAUUGUAAAUAGUGACUAGAAGACUUGGAAUCAGUAAGAUAUGGACACGCCAGAGUAGCUGUUUGCUAGUUCGCAACUCAAGAAGAAAUGGAUUGUGUCGGACUUUUGAUAUGUGCAUAUUUUAUAUAUUUUUAGUGUGUUUUAUUAUCUAGUUUUGGUGUAUUUUAACUACUUUUAUAGUUAAUCAACUAAGUUUCUAGUGAAAAUAUGCAUUUUAUGGUUUAAAGUGUAAAAAUUGUAUUUUUAUGGAUUUUAAUGGUGAAAACUUCAUGUUUUUAUUGGUUUAAUGAUUCAAUCAUCAAAUGCAGUGAGUUGAGAACAUUUUUGGAUGAUUAUUGAUGAUUUGAAGUAGUUUAAAGAAGACAUGAAGUGUAAAGAUGAAAUGCAAGAGAGAACAAAAGAAAGGAAGUUUUCCAACUUUGACAGCUUGUGAUAUUUCGACUAUAUAUUGAGCUACAAGUAUUGGAUUGAUGUGAUUCUUAAACCAUUUUGAAAUAAGAGAUAGAUCUACAUUUGGUAUGAAACAUCGAAGUCCAGUUCAGUUGUUUUCAUUGUCAAAAAGUCAAAAUACAGAAGUGCAAUUUCAUUGUCGAAAGCUAAAACAGAGUUCUUAAUAGUCGAGGGUAUUUUGGUCAUUUUUUGGUCAUUUUUUGGUCCACAGAGCUCCACGUUAGAUGAUUCUUCAUGCAUUGGAAAGUAACUCAAAGAGCUACAACUUUUAAGUUUUCAUAAGAGCUAGUUCAGCUUCUAUCAUCAACAAAAGAUCAGUUGAAAUAGGAAUAAAAACAGAGCAUGGAUGAAUUCUGCCCAGAAAGUGCAAACCUGCAAAGGAGAAAACGUGGGGUGCAAUAUGCGACCUAAGGUCAUACAUUCGAGGUCGUGUAUUCUAGUUUUUCUGCUGCAACUUGCUCUGCAACUUUUUCUUUGUUCACACAACUUUCCAGCUCAAUUCCAGCAAGCAAAUUCAGCUGUAUCUGACCAAGAAAAGUGUGGAACUUGGAAAACAACUCUUGAUGAGUUCAAAAGCCAACUUUUCCAAUCAAGAAACAGCUCACCUUGAUCUUGAAUCAUCUAUAAAUAGCAGCCUUUGGAGACCAUUUUCAUAACUUUGGAAAGCUAUAGAAACUCCACAAAAAAUGUAAUCUUCAUUAGAAUUUCCUUAUUUCAUUAGUUAGAGUAGAUUAGUAUAGUUAGAGUAGUUUAUUCCUCUUGUAUUUAUAGUUGGAUUUGGAUGAAGAUUAAGGAGCAAGAUGGAGAGAUUGAUCUCAUGUGACAAGGGUGAUAUCUCUUCUACUACUUUCUUUCUUGUAUUUGAUUUCAUGUUUAACUGUAAUACAAGUUUGGAUUUGUGUUUUUAUCAUUUUUAGUUAAAGUUUAUACCUAGAGUUAUGGAUGAACUUGCUAUAUCUCGCUAGUGAUGUUUACUUGGUUAUUUAAUUAUGUUAUUUUGAGUAAGUUAUUUAUCACUUUUGCUUAUCUAAUCAUGAUUAACCAGCCAUUAAUUGUAAUAAUCUUAAAGUGUUAAAUUUGCAAUGAGAAUUGGGAUUUUACACUACUCCAAUAAAGUAAUAAACCUAGGGAGUACACUCAAGAGAGUAGAGGUGCACCUAUGUGAUUUUAGUGACUUGUUUCAUGUAAUUUCAUAGAAGAAAUGAACUUGUAAUUAAUUUCAUAACCACGAGAAUAGGUAUGGCUUAGUUACAAGUAUAGUUGAUUCACUACGAGAGUAGAUUUCACAUACAUUAGGAAAUUAUGCCAUAACUAGCCGGUAACUUCACUUGCAAUAGUAAGGAAUUCCCUACCUCUAGGAGCUCUUUAUUGUUACUUUUAUUACUUUUAUUUCAUAUUUGUAGCAUAGAUUGCAUUUGUAAUAGUCUAAAUAAUAAAUAUGACGGGUUUUUUAUAUCAAUGCAAGUUUAAAUCCGAUUUUACACCCGUUGGACUGCAAGUAUACAGGUCACAAUUGUAGUACAAGGUGUGUAUCGGGUCGAUCCCACGAGGAGCAAAUUAACCAAUUACUAGGUCCUUAUUUUCUCUAUUAUUUAAACUAUUGAAUGAAUUUGAGCAAAGAAAUGUAAUGCAAAUGUCUACAAAUCUGAUCUGCAAUUCUAUUUUAACAAAUGCUAAAUGCAAAUGGAGAAAUUUCACUCAAGAAAGAAUCUAGGGAUGUAGAUUCCACUUAUGGCAUAAACAACACAAAUGAAUGGAUUUACUUCUUGUUAUUAUUCUUGUUUAACCAGAGAUUCAUUUCUAAAAUUACCAAGUCUCAUUUUCAUGAUGAAAUGGCCUAGAGCAAUAUAGUUUUCCCUAUUUUCAUGGUGAAAUACUACUACUACUCUGUUUUAUUUCAUGAAAUGCUAAAUAAUCCACCUAAGUGUAUCUCUAUUUUCAUGAACAUACAACUCAAGCUCUACUCACGUGUUUCCAUUGUUAUUACCAAUUUUCAUUGCAUAAUAACAACUAUAAACAUGCUAUUGGUGAUCAAUCAAUAACAAGUAAUCACAGCUACACAAGUAGACAAGUUAAUACAAGAUAUAACAAGUGUAAAUCACAUUCAAUUCAUAUUAUUUAGCCAUAAGUUUCAUCUACUCCCUAGAUAAAGAAAAUUAGCUACUCAUGAAUGAUUUAACAAUCAAACUCACAAGUUUAUUAAUAAAAAACAUCAUCAAGUACAAGUACAAGAAAGAUAAAAGAAAGCUUAGCCAAUUGAAGGUGAAGCUCUCCAAUUCCUGCUAUGCUCUUGCACAAUAUGAUUACAAGUGAAAAUUCCAAAUACUUCUCCAAGAACUCUUAGCUAGAGAGAAAAAUGUUACAAGAAGGAAAACUAGCUACGUAUGGUCAUCUCUUCACCUCUCUCCUAUGUUUCUGCAUAAAAAGUGGUAGAAAGUCUACUCUUCUCUCUUCAUAAUUUCCUCCACUCAGAUUUUGUAAAAAGAAGUCAAAGAUAUGAUGUUUCCUUUUGUCUACACUCAUUUGGUCUUCUCUUUUGUUGCAGAAGCAUGUGCCACCGAUUUCUGUCCCUCAAAAUAGCUGGAAAAGUGGUAAGAAAGGUAAAGAAAAACGGCUGUGUAACUUGCUGAGGAGAGAGACAGAUCUGAGCCUCAGAUCCGAGGGUUGAAUAUUGAUCCGAGCUCGGAUCAGUGGAUCCGAGGACUUCCCAUGAUGGAUCCGAGGUCAGAAUGGAUCCGAGGUCGGAUCGUUCUGACCUCGGAUACGCUCCUCCAGAAGUACAGAUGAGAGCUCGGAUCUCCCCUUAUUCUCACAGAUCCAAGCUCGGAUCCGUGCUGGUAUUUUCCAGUUUUUCAUUUCUUUUCCUUUUUCUUCACUUUUGCUCCUAAUUUCUUGUGUAGUUUAUCCUCUGGACAAUCCUUAUACUUCUUUCAGCUUGUGCAUGAAUUUCAUACAUCGAUAUCCUUCACAAUUUCACAAAAUUAACGAAUUAAUCCACUCAUUUAUCAAGUUUUGAACACUUAAACAAUAUUUAAGCAAUUAUCACCAAAAGAGUUCAAAUAUGGCUUUAAUCUCCUCAAAACAUACCAAAAGUUCAUGCCAAAUUUGUACAAAAUGUACGUUAAAUAUUCACUUAUCAAAUUCCCCCACACUUAAAUCAUUACUUGUCCUCAAGCAAUUGCACACAUAACUUACCACAAUGAUCCAAGAGAUAAAACAAUAUAUAUACUUUUGUCAAAUUUAAUUCCUCAAAACCUAGAAACCAAUCAUUGUGCCAUUUCUCAGAUUACAUUAAAUACUUAUAAUAUUCAAUUAAGUAAAAAUAAUUAUGCCUUCAUUUCAACAAAUUCAACUCAAUCUCUCAUUCUAUCCUAAUUCCACAAAUAAGUAAAUCACAUAGUCAAUUCUAUGGCCUUCCUCAUCCCAUGACCAUCAAAACUUAACAGUUGAGAGGGAUUUAUUCACACUUCAUUUUAUUUAAAUAGUGAAAACGUCUUUUUACGCAAAAAUCAACACUUUUAGGUGAAAAUUCCCGAUUACUCAACAUUUCACUUAUUCAAAUUGCUAAGCAUACUCUUAAUUCUAAUACCUUUUUACGCGAAUGUCGACAUUUGUAAAUGCCAACCCCCGGUUACUCAGUAUGCGAAUCAUUGGAAUAGAAAAUAUUAUUAUUAUUAUUAUUAUUAUUUUUAAUUUUUUUGAUAUAUAUUUUUUUCUUCUUUUUUAUAUAUAUAUAUAUAUUUUAACAAUCUUUUCCCUCUAAGCAUAAUUAAAGGAAGAAUCUGGCCUUGUCUUGACUAUAUCAAUCACUUACUUAUAAAAUUAAGUAAAAAUGAGAAAUAUCAUUAAACAUGCAAAAUUCUAAGCAUAAUUUUUCUCAAUUAACCGAAUAUACUUUCUAAAAUGUAAAAAUCCUAAUUGCAUAAUGACUAAUUCCAAGUCAAAUAAGGACUAAACUUUCCCAAAAUACAUAUAAAAUUUUAUCCAAUGGAAGAAUUAGACACUUAAAAUUGAACAUUUUGGCCAUUAUUUGAAAAAAAAAAUUGCAAUGAAAUAUUGGAAAAUAUUUUUAAAAAAUUUUGACAGAGUUUCCCCAUAUAAUUGGACAAAACUCCCUGCCAAUAGCCUCAAGUUCAAGAAAAUUAUCCUUAUAACAAUAUUUCCAAAUAUAAUUCCAAUAGUUUUAAGCCAUAGACAACUAAAAUCAUGCAUUUCAAGACAUAAUCAUCCAUAAGAUAAAGUAAUGCCUCCCCCACACUUAAAUGUAACAAUGUCCUCAUUGUAAGGAAGGUAAUAGAAACUGAAACUUCCCUCAAAAUAAAUGGUGAUUCAAUUUGAAGCCAUAAUUCCUCGCGAUCAUCCAAAUUUUGUCCACAAUGAAACAAAAGGGUACGAAAAACCAUAAGUAGCGCAAGAGAAUCCAAUAUGAAAACUACAAAGUUUAAACCGAACACAAUAAAAGAAAAAUAAAGCAAUCAAUGAAAAUGAAGAUCUUCAUGGCUGCUCGAAACGAGGGUCUACUGCCUCCUCAGUUCCUUGAGGACCCUGUGAUGUACCAAUAUGCCCCUCCUCCUGCUGAGGCGUCGGAGUAGGUGACCGGCGGAUAUGAAAAUGAUCCUCGAUCGCACGAAGACGGCGAUCAUGUCGGUCGAGGCGCUCAGUCAUCAUCCGCUCUGUCUGGUCAAUGCGCUCGACGACUCGCGUCUUCAUACAAGAAAUGGCAUUGAGAAGCUCUUGCCACUUGGAGCGCGGUGGAGGAGGUGGUCACGGAACGGGAGGAGGAAGAGUCUGCUGCGCCUCCGUCUCUUGAGUUUCCGCUUGUGAUUCAGUGUGAGGUGGAGACUGAGUGGAGGUCGAUGCUCCUCCAGUGUCCCGAACCAUAACAGCUCCAAAGUCCGUAGGAAUGCCCAAAGCUUUGAGUAUAGAGGCAUUGACCUCCUCGACAAAUUUAGUGACGAUAGCUCGCUCGGUUCCAAGAGGGACUUUUAGCUUCUCAAACAAGAGGGAUAGUAGUCGAGGGAACCCGAAGCAAGUCUCAUCGGCUCUCAUGCGAGCUGUGGUCUGCAUGUAGCUGAUGAUGAUGCUAGGUAGAGGAAUACCGAUCAACUGCCUACCCACUCCAUGUAUCAUCUUAUCCAGAAAAUAGAGAUCGCUAUUUCGGAGCUCCCGUUUGCCACUCCGUUUUGGCACCACAUUAAAGGCGAAAAGAUAGAAAAUCAAGUGGUACCUAUGCUCGAAGGAGUCGGCGUAAACUGUAAGCUUUUUCGCACUUCCUCUCUCUCUAUACUGGCCCUUGAGGCGUCCAACCGCCUCUCCCACCUGCCAAGGGUCUCGAGCAUUGAACUCCUUGGUCAAUUUGAUAUCUUCUCCUUCGUCUUUGAGUUUGACGAAGUGUCUCAGUGUAUCCCGAUUGAAAGUCACUCUCUUCCCUCGAACCCACGAGACGAUGAGAUUGCCACUGUGGCUCUGUUUCUUUUCUACAUUGGCGUAGAACUCCCGGACCAGAUUGGGGUAGUAGUGCUUGGGCAAUUGAAGGAUGUUCUCCAAUCCGAGUCUCUUGAAUGCCGUAGAAAUGUGGUAGUGCGCAUCCACCUCCGGUGCCAAGUGUUUCUCAAUUAUGAUUUCCUUAUCCAAUCCAGCUUCGUACCACUGUUGAUUCUCGAGUGAUGUGAAUCGUGUGGUAUCAUAGUCCGAAGGUGGCUCGUCACGGCUAGUAGACGCGGUCUUCCGGCGAGAGCGAGGUGGCGGCUCUGGUGAGGGAGAUUCCUCUUCAGGCGACUCCUCUUGCAAGGAAGGUGUGUGUUUCUCACUCGACAAUAACGAAGGUGUGGGAGUCCUAGUCCUUCUUGUGUGAGUCAUGAUGCCUGGAUCAAAGACAAGGUUCAACACAAAUUAGAAGCGAUAUAAACAGUAUCAAACACGUUGUGAAGUGAUUUAAGACAAUUUCGGCAGAGUUUUCCUUUAUAAAAGGGCUAAACUCCCUGCCAAAAUACACCACAAUUCAAGCAAAUAAUCUUCCUAACACCUCACAAAUCCAAUUUGACAGGUGUCGAGCCUAUGCAAUAAUAAAUACCUACUCGAGAAAAAUAAAUUUUCUGUGUAUAGUAGUGAGUAGGGUCGAAUCCACAGGGAUUGGGAAAAAUUCGAUUCUUUUCAAGUUCGGGACACGGGGGAUUUUUAUCAGAAAUAAACUAAAAAUAAUUAAACAAUUUAACUAAAAAUAAUUAAAUAAUUUAACCAAAAAUAAAUAAUUAAUUAAUACAAUUGUAAAUAGCAAUUAAAUAAAUGAUAAAUAAAUUCUAGCCAAGGAUACAACUACGCAGACACAGUCCAUUCAUCCGAUCAUUGAUGCACAGGGGUUCACUUAAUUUAAUUAAUAGGCUAGUUGUAGUCGCCGAUAAUCUCUAACGACCAGCUUUUCCUUAAUUUAUUGAUAACCAAGGUACGACCGUUGAUUACCCCUAACCAGGAAAUACUCCUAGGUACGACCAUAGGAAUUAAUUUCCUAAUUGCUUUAAAAACUAGAAAAGCCUAACCAAAAUUAAUAACACACUACGAGGGUUAUUUAAAUCAGAUUGCAUGUUCCCCUAGUAUGUGCAAAUACUAGUUGCCACUUAUAUUAACCAAUUAAACAAUUACGGAUUUAAUUGAUUAAUUUGACAGGAGAUUAAUAAGUCAAAUUGCACAUCGGGCCCUUGAUAUCCAAUUAACAAAAUAAUCCCAUGGAAAUUGAAAUAGAAAACAUGCAAAUAUUAACAAAUUAAGGAACACGUAAAAACUAAUUAGAUCUCACAGAUAUUUGGGACUGCGUCUUCGCGUUGAUCCUUGACUAGAUGAGAAAAUUAGCCACGCCUCAUAAGAAAAUUCCCACGCAAUUUAAUUGAAUUCGAAGACAUAAAUAACUCUUGCUAGUAACUGAAAAUGAAAAUUUGAUUCUCCGUAAUCUAAUGCAAUAGAACUAGUUUCAUGGAAGAAACUAGUUGAGUGAAAGAGACCGAAGAAACAUAGAACAAACUUCUGAAUAAAACUUCAUACCCAAAAUCCAACAAACCAAUCAACUACCUAUUCUACCUACGGAGCUUCUUGGAGAGAAAACUAAAAACUAGUCUAAUGUCUUAUGAAGCUCUCGUCUAAUUCUCCUCUGCACUCGUUUCAUAAGAGAACUAGUUACGUAGGAAGCAAAUAGAAAAGCUACUUUCAUCAUCAAAGUCCACCUAUGGCUAAUGAGUACAUCUCCCAAAAGAAGAACACAUUUUCUAAAUCAAUGUUACGUGGUCCCCGUAGAAUUCUCUCCUUUUGAUUUCUUAUUGCUAGUGGACUUGCCAGGACUUAAUAAUAGGAAGGCAACUCUUCAUCAGCAAUUCCGUUGGUUUGCACAAUUUGGGCUGAUUGUGGAAAGCUUUUAGAAGCUUUCACGUGUGGAGAAAUCUUCUCAAGAAGGUCCCCUUUUAGCACUUUUCUGCUCCACUUUCUGAAAUUAUAUCCAAAUACCAAAUAUAAAUAUAUAUUGACAAUUAAAGCAAUAUUUGGCAAGGAUAAAGAGGAGAAUUAACAAUAAAAUUACUAACAAUUAACACCCUAUCACAAUUCUCACAUUUAGAAUGAAUAUUACAAACAGGGUUGUCAUGAUAUGCAAAAUAUGUCCAAUACUUUGAGAAUUAAAACCAUUUGUAAGAAUGGAAUAAAAUUUCAAAGUAAAGUAAACUAUCAAUGACAAUGUGCUAUAACAUUAAGCUUUAAACAUCAAUUGAACACAACAUCUCCUUAUGCCUUACGAAAAACAUCAUCAAUUCAAACAAUUCUCAGCUUUUGGCACUUUCCUUCAAAGCAAUACAUAACAACCCACUAUACAUACUACAAUUUAUCAUCAAUUUGCAUAAAGAUGAGCUUAUUUCAAACAAACAAAUGCAAAUUAUACAAAGAAACAAGAAAUUGCAAACAAAAGUAUAAUGUACUUUCAUGAGAAAAAUUAUACAAAAUUUAUCACCAUAUUAACAAAUUUCUCAAUUCUAAGCAAACAACCAUUACUAAUGAUAUAUAUUAUUACAAUGUAGAACAAUUAUAGCAAUAAAAUCCAAAAUAUAUGCAUUUCCAAAUUCAUGUGCAUUGACCUAAAAAAAAAUCGAUAAAAUAAUAUCAAAUCUAGAAUUCUCUCAAAAACAAGAUUGAAAAUUGUUAUAACAAUCUAUUUAAGCACAAUGUAACACAAUUGUAUCAAGAAAUUUCAACAAUUAUGCAUUUAUUACAAUAUACCCAAAAACUAGAAAAAUGCAAAAUUAGAAGUUAUGAAAUCUCAAAGAGAAUUGCAAAUUGUUACCUCAAAUGUGUAGAUUGAUGACGGAGGAUGAAAAUGAUGUAAAAUUUGACACAGAAACAUGCCAAAAUACCCCCCAAAUUGAAGAAAUCAGGUGCGGCCCUAACUUAAGUUUUGAUGAUCAAAACCCUCGAAAGUGAUGUUUUUUAUUUGAAUUUGAUGAGGUUUAAUGCUCACAAGAGGUCAGAGAAGGCGUUUAUUGGGAAGAAUUGGAAAUUUUAUGGAUGAAAUGGAAGAUUGGAGGAAAGGGGAAGGGUUUCGGGGAGAGAGAAUGAGAGAAUGAGAGGAAAGCUGGAAAAUGAGGAACCGAGGCUGCGGUUCUACCUUAUCCGCAGCCGAUCCAAGGUCGGAUCGUUUCUUAACGCCCUCGGAUCCGACAGGAUUCGGAUCUGUCUCACCAGAAACACAGACGAGCCCUCGGAUUUAUCUGGGUUGACUUAGAUCCGAGCACGUAUCACAUGGAUCCGGGGUCGGAUCCUUCUGAGUUGAAUUGGAUCCGAGCUCGGAUCUGUCUUUCUCUGCACUAAUUGUAAAAACUGCAAAUUUUUAAACUUUUUCUCCCUUUUUCCGUCAAUUCCAAAUUACACAUUGGACAUACUUUUUAUCAAUUCCAAACCUCCCACGCACAUGUAAUAUACCAUAAACACAGUAUCCAACCUCUCAAAUCACAUCAAACAUAUCUAUAUUGCAAAUCGAGGGGUGAGGUUCUUUGAUUAUUUUUACACUUUUACACCAAAAUGGCACUUUUGGGCAUUAAAUGCACAUCAAAUGAGUCCAUGAGCAUUUAUAACAUGUUAUCACCAAAACUCACUUGAAAAUACUUGAAAUGCACAAUGUAUAUAUGCAUGGGAAUUUUAAACACUUAAAACACAAUUCGGUAAGAAAGCCUCCCUUUUUACACUUGUUCUUCAAAUGCACCUCCGAAAUGGAUGAUGAAACUCCGGUACCUCCUACAAACAAGUGAAAUAUAUCUUAUUAGUCAAUUAAAUCACACCAAAAUGUAAGAAGCACAUAAAUACACUAUUAUUAUUGGGUUGCCUCCCAACAAGCGCUUUUGUUUAUAGUCGUUGGCUCGACUCAAAAAAUUGAAUCAUUUUAGAACAUAAGGGAGCGAUUUUCUCCCUAUGGGUCGAAACUCCCGAGCCAAUCUACCAUGUGGUGAGCCAUGUAUUGAUCUCCAUAGUCCAAUUUCCUCAAAUGCCAAAGAGGAGUAUUAGACUUAUCAUAUAAAGGCUCGACUUCACCUUGGAGUGGAAUUUGCUUGUCUUUUUCUAGUUGGCUCAACUUUUCUCCACUUCCUUCAUGGAAUGGCGAAUUUAUUAAAUCAACUUCCAUCCUUAUCUUCUCCUCCCUUGCUCCUACACCAUGAAAGUUAGUACUAAGGAUAUUUAUAUAUUUAACUUUUUCGUUCCUUUCUUGGUUAACCUUUUCAUCACAUGGCAUAUUAGAAACAAGAGUAGUAGGCUCUAUACUCCCUUUUUUAUUAUCCAAAUUGAAUUCCAAUUCCUCACCAUUAACCUGUAAUAUAAUCUUACCUUUUUUCACAUCAAUUAUAGUUCAUGCGGUGGCUAAAAACGGUCGUCCUAGAAUAAUUGGCAUUCUCACAUCUUUCUCAAUAUCUAGGACAACAAAAUUCAUAGGUAUUAUAGAUUGUCUCACCUUUAUGAGCACAUUUUUCAAAAUACCCAUUGGAUGUGUGAUUGACCGAUCCGCCAAUUGCAAUGUGAUAUUGGUAGCUUUUAGCUCUUGAAGUCCCAGCCUCCGGGCAACUGAUAGUGGCAAGAGUGACACACUUGCACCUAAAUCACAUAAAGCAUUAGAAAAAUGCAAUUGACCUAUUGUACAAGGAAUAGAAAAGCUUCCCGGAUCUUUCAAUUUAGGAGGGAGUUUGUUUUUAAUCAAUGCACUACACUCUUCCGUUAAUGCUAUCAUCUCAUUAUCUACAAUUUUUCUGUUCCUUGACAUAAUGUCUUUCAAGAAACGUGCAUAAGAGGGAAUCUGUGUUAUAGCAUCAAUGAAAGGAAUGUUAAUGUGCAAUUGUUUAAACAUUUUGAAGAACUUUUCAAACUCCCGAUCCUGUCCAUCUUUCUUCAACCUGUGAGGAAAAGGAAUCACAUUAGAAUUUAACUGAGAAUUUGAUUUAGGAGGAAGUGCAUCAAUAUCAAUGACAACAUGAUCAUUUCGGCUUUCUUUCUCCCCUUCGAUUGAUUGCUCCUUGUCUUUUUCACCACAUGAAUUUCCAAAAUUAGGUCCUUCAACCGUUUUACCACUUCUAAGAGUGAUUGCAUUUACAUGCUUUCUCGGAUUCACUUCAGUCUUGCUAGGUAAAUUCCCUUGGUUGCGAUUGUUAAAUGUAUUUGCUAUUUGUCCUAAUUGGACCUCAACAUUCCUGUACAUAUUGGUGAGUUGGUCUAUCCUUCCUUCAAUUCUUUCAAACCGUUGAGUAGUGGCAUUGGCUGAUUUUUCAAUUUUAUCAUUUGAUAUAUUUGCCAGCUUCUCAAUUGCCAAUUUCCAAGCUGGUUUGGACUCCUGCAGUGGUUGCUUUGGUUGAAAACCCGGUGGAUUAACUGGUCUUUGUUGGUUCCCUUGAUCCUUCCAUCCAAAAUUCGGGUGAUUACGCCAUCCUGGAUUAUAAGUAUUGGAGUAUGGAUUGUUUUGGGGUGGACGAUUGUAAUUGUUGAGAUAUUGAACCUGUUCACUGCUAGAACACAUAAAAUCAUCAUGAUCUCCGCCGCAAGUGGUACAACAUGCAACAACUACUCCUUGAUUAGAACUAGAACCAACUUGCCUAUUAAGUAUCUUAACCACAUUAUCCAUUUUUGCACUUAACGUAUUCAAGGUAUCUACUUCGACCAUACCUGCAGUUCUCCUUGUAUUACCUCUUUCGUUUGCCCAUUGGUAGUUGUUAGCAGCCAUUUUUUCAAUCAAUUGUUGAGCUUCCUCAGCUGUCUUUCCCAUCAAUGCUCCUCCCGCUGCCGCAUCUACAUACGUCUUUGUUGGAUAGGUGAGACCAUUGUAAAAUGUUUGGACUACUAGCCAAUCAAGUAGACCAUGAUGAGGACAUUUUCGUUGCAAUUUCCGAUAGCGCUCCCAAGCUUUAUACAAUGUCUCUCCUUCCUGUUGAGAGAAACUAGAUAUAUCCAUUCUGAGUUUAGCAAUUUUUUCAGGUGGAAAGAAUUUAUUAAGAAAAGCCUUAGCUAAUUCAUCCCAAGUUAUCAAAGUAUUUGGAGGCUGAGAUUGUAACCAAACAUUGGCCUUGUCCUUUAGUGAAAAUGGAAAUAAUCGAAAUUUAAUUGCAUCAUCACUAACACCAUUAAAUUUAAUUGUAUCACAUAUUUCAAGAAAUGUUGACAAGUGAGAAUUUGGAUCUUCGGUAGCAUUACCUCCAUAUUGAGACCAUUUGAAUAAAUGAUGGUUUAAUCUCAAAAUUAUUGGCGUUUAUCGUUGGCCUUACAAUGCUAGUUUGAGAACCUUGUGUUCCCGGUAAAGCAAAAUCUCGUAGGAUUCGCCUAUUUGGGUCAUUUUCCGUCAUUUCUUCCUCAAAUGGCAAUUCUAUCAAGAUUUCUUCUAUCGGCCGCCAAACCUGUUCCUCUUAAUGCAAUGUAUUCCUCCUUUGUCUUCGUAGUGUUCUUUCAAUUUCAGGAUCGAAAUAUGCAACUUCUCGAUUUGAUCGGUGCAUACACUACAAACAAAAACAAGAGAGAUUUUUGCAGAUUUAAUUCAACAACUUGAAUAAAAAUAAUGAAAAUAUCUAAAUUAAUAGAGAUGAUUAGACCCUAAUAUUGCCGCUUCCCGGCAACGGCGCCAAAAACUUGACGGGUUUUUUAUAUCAAUGCAAGUUUAAAUCCGAUUUUACACCCGUUGGACUGCAAGUAUACAGGUCGCAAUUGUAGUACAAGGUGUGUAUCGGGUCGAUCCCACGAGGAGCAAAUUAACCAAUUAUUAGGUCCUUAUUUUCUCUAUUAUUUAGACUAUUGAAUGAAUUUGAGCAAAGAAAUGUAAUGCAAAUGUCUACAAAUCUGAUUUGCAAUUCUAUUUUAACAAAUGCUAAAUGCAAAUGGAGAAAUUUCACUCAAGAAAAAAUCUAGGGAUGUAGAUUUCACUUAUGGCAUAAACAAUACAAAUGAAUGGAUUUACUUCUUGUUAUUAUUUUUGUUUAACCAGAGAUUCAUUUCCAAAAUUACCAAGUCUCAUUUUCAUGUUGAAAUGGCCUAGAGCAAUAUAGUUUUCCCUAUUUUCAUGGUGAAAUACUACUACUACUCUGUUUUAUUUCAUGAAAUGAUAAAUAAUCCACCUAAGCGUAUCUCUAUUUUCAUGAACAUACAACUCAAGCUCUACUCACGUGUUUCCAUUAUUAUUAUCAAUUUUCAUUGCAUAAUAACAACUAUAAACAUGCUAUUGGUGAUCAAUCAAUAACAAGUAAUCACAGCUACACAAGUAGACAAGUUAAUACAAGAUAUAACAAGUGUAAAUCACAUUCAAUUCAUAUUAUUUAGCCAUAAGUUUCAUCUACUCCCUAGAUAAAGAAAAUUAGCUACUCAUGAAUGAUUUAACAAUCAAACUCACAAGUUUAUUAAUGAAAAACAUCAUCAAGUACAAGUACAAGAAAGAUAAAAGAAAACUUAGCCAAUUGAAGGUGAAACUCUCCAAUUCCUGCUUUGCUCUUGCACAAUAUGAUUACAAGUGAAAACUCCAAAUGCUUCUCCAAGAACUCUUAGCUAAAGAGAAAAAUGUUACAAGAAGAAAAACUAGCUACGUAUGGUCAUCUCUUCACCUCUCCCCUGUGUUUCUGCAUAAAAAGUGGUAGAAAGUCUACUCUUCUCUCUUCAUAAUUUUCUCCACUCAGAUUUUGUAGAAAGAAGUCAAAGAUAUGAUGUUUUCUUUUGUCUACACUUAUUUGGUCUUCUCUUUUGUUGCAGAAGCAUGUGCCACCGAUUUCUGUCCCUCAAAAUAGCUAGAAAAAUUGUGAGAAAGGUAAAGAAAAAUGGUUGUGCAACUUGCUGAGGAGAGAGACAGAUCCGAGGGUUGAAUAUUGAUCCGAGCUCGAAUCAGUGGAUCCGAGGACUUCCCAUGAUGGAUCCGAGGUCGGAUCGUUCUGACCUCAGAUACGCUCCUCCAGAAGUACAGACGAGGGUUCAGAUCUCCCCUUAUUCUCACAGAUCCGAGCUCGGAUCCGUGCUGGUAUUUUCCAAUUUUUCAUUUCUUUUCCUUUUUCUUCAUUUUUGCUCCUAAUUUCUUGUGUAGUUUAUCCUCUGGACAAUCCUUACACUUCUUUCAGCUCGUGCAUGAAUUUCAUACAUCGAUAUCCUUCACAAUUUCACAAAAUUAACGCAUUAAUUCACUCAUUUAUCAAGUUUUGAACACUUAAAUAAUAUUUAAGCAAUUAUCACCAAAAGAGUUCAAAUAUGACUUUAAUCUUCUCAAAACAUACCAAAAGUUCAUGCCAAAUUUGUACAAAAUGUACGUUAAAUAUUCACUUAUCAAAAGAAAUUUAAAAAUCGUCAGUAAUUGAUAAUCUUCUUUAUGGGAUCGACUCUGAAUACCCUAUACUUAAUCACGACUCGUAUACUUGCAGAAAAUCGUAUGUGGGGUAUUUUAAAUAUUAUAAAUGUAAAAUUGAUUGUGGAAUGAGCUUAUUAUUAUAUGUAUAACCCACGCACGUCAAGUUUUUAGCGCCAUUACCGAGAAAGAUUUGUUCAAUAUCGGUGCUAAGAGCAACUUUAUUAAUUUAGACAAUUUUACUUCUUGUUGUUGUUAUUGUUGUGUCUAGUGUCUUAUUUAUUGUAUUUAGUGACUUGUUGAGUCUUUAUUUGUAUGUUUUUAUAUGUGUCAGGAAACGCUUGUUGGGAAGCAACCCAAUGUUGGGAAGCGCUUGUUGGGAAGCAACCCAAUAUUUUUGUCAUUUAUGUUAAUUUUAUGUGAUCUUAUGUUUAAAUUAUGUGUUUGAGUUAUCUUGUUGUUUUUCUAGGUUCGGAGAAAUAUGAUAAGUGCAUAUUUUACGUGUUUUAAAUGUAUUUUAUUAGUUAGUUUUGGUGUGUUUUAAUUAGUUUUAUAGCUAAUUAAUUAAGAUUCCAGUGAAUAUAUGCAUUUUAUGGUUUAAGUGGUAAAAAUUAAAUUUCUUUGAAUUUUUCUAGUGAAAACUUCAUGUUUUUGUAGGUUUGAGAAUUCAAUCAUCAAAUGGAAUGUAUUGAGAAGAUAAUUGGAUAAUUGAUGAUGGAUUAAAGUGAUAAAAAGAGAAUAUGAAAUGCAAGCAAGAACAAAAGAAGCAAGUUUUCACAGCUUUGACACAUUUUAGUAUUUCGGAAAUAUCUUGAGUUACAAGUAUCGGAUUGAGGUGAUUAUUGAACCAUUUUGAAAUUAAAAGAUAGUAUACAUUUAGUAUGAAAACAUCGAAGUCCAUUUUGUUAUUUUCAAAGUCAAAAAGUCAAAAUACAGAAGUGUAUUUUCAUUGUCGAAAGCUGAAAUAGAGUUCUGACCAGUCGAGGGUAUUUUGGUCAUUUCUUAGUCUAUGGAGCUCCAAAUUGGAUGAUUCUUGAUGCAUUGGAAGCUAACUCAAAGGGCUACAACUUUCAUGUUUUACGCAAGAACUAGUUCAACCUCGAACAUCAAGAAAAUAUCAGUUAAAUUUGGACAAAAAAUAGAGCAAGUAAAUCCGAGUUCGGAUGUGUACUAAACACUCGAAUAAACUUCUGUAAUCAGAGGCUACAUCCCAGAUGAGGAUCCGAGCUCUGAUCCCCAUGUUAUAGGCCUCGGAUCCUAAUGUGCAGUGAACACAAAAAUGAAAAAAAAUGAGAUCCGAGGAGUAUUUUGAGCAAUCCGACCUCGGAUCUUGCCCUCGGAUCCCCAAUUGCCGCUCUGUAACUUACUAUGCAACUUGUGCUCUAUUCAAUCAAGCUUUUAGACCAAUUUAUCUGCAAGAAAUCUGGUUGGAACUAAGCAAGCAAGUAUAGAGAAUUCAAGACGCAUCUUUUGGUGAUUCCCAGGAGCAAUUUACAUCAACUUUAAUAACUCACCAUAAGCUUGAAUUCCUCUAUAAAUAGAGGCCUUGGAAAACAUUUUCACAACUUUGAAAAGCUAAAGAAACUAAUCAAAAAUUUAGUCUUUACUAGAAUUUUCUUAGUUCAUUAGUUUAGUUUAGUAGUUUAGUAUAGAGUAGUAUAGUUUUUAUCCACUCUUGUAUAUUGGCUAGAUUAGGAUGAAGAUGGAGAUGAAGAAUGAGGGGUUGAAACUCAUGUGACAAGGGUUAUCUCUUCUUCAACUCUUUAUCUUUUGUAUUGGAUUCUUAAGUAUGGUUAAUAUGCAAGUUUUGGAUUUGUGUUUUAAUAUGGAGUUCUAAGUUUAUGCCUAGAGUUAUGAAUGAACUUGCUAUAUCUUAUUAGUGAUAUUUACUUGGUUAUUUGAUGAUGUUAUUUUUCGCAAGUUAUUUAUCGCUUUUGCUUAUCUAAUCAUUAUUAACUGGCUACUAAUUAUGAUAAUUUUAAGGUAUUAAAUUUGCAAUGAAAAUUAGAAUUUAGCACUAGUUCAAGGUAGUGAUAAACCUAGGGAGUACACUCACGAAAAUAGAUGUGUACCUUUGUGGCUUUAGUGACUUGUUUCAUGUAAUUUUAUAGAAGAAAUGAGCUUGUAACUAGUUUCAUAACCACGAAAGUAGGUAUGAAUUAACUAUAAGUAUAGUUGGUAUACUGGCGAAAGCUGUAUCAUGAAUAUUAGGAAAUUAUGCCAUAACUGGUCAAGAUAAUAACAUUCGAUUAACCGGUAAUUUCAUUUGCAAGAGUAGUUAGGAAUGCUAUAUCUCUAGGAGAUUUCUAUUAUUAUUUUUAUUACUUUUAUCUCAUGUUUAUAUUGUAGAUUUAAUAUCCAGUACUUGUGACAGUCUAAAUAAUAAAUAAAUUCGAAAAACAUCAGUAAUUGACAGUCUUCCUUAUGGGAUCGACCAUUAAUACUCUAUACUCGCUCACGACCUAUAUUGAUGUGAAACCCCGAUCUAGACAACCAAAACACCAUGGCUUAGGCAGCGGAAAUUUGACCCAACUAAUCCCUAGAAGUCACGAACAAUUUUGAUAUUAUCUCAACCCGUAACUACUCGAAUUAACGAACCAAAUUGGAGGUAAUAGAACGCCACAAUCAAGGAGAUACUCGAUUGAUAAGUUUGGGUGAAUAACUUGAGAAGAUUCUCAAGUAUUCAAAGAAAACUCUCUUGCCAAAGAGAAAGUGAAAACUCACUAAUUGUAUUUAAUAGCCAAAAAACUGAUCCCAAAACAAAGAGGAAGUGGGGCUAUUUAUAGCCCUUACAAGCAUUAACCCUAAUCCAAAAAUUGACCAAACUACCCUACAUACUUAAGGAAGAUUUUGGGCCUCACUUACUAACAAAUGGGCCGCAAUUAAAUUAGCUUAAUUACCUAGACUUUCUAAAGCGAGAAAUAACCAAAAUCAACGAGAAAAAUCAAAUAAUCCUACUAAACUCAAGUAUUCGUGCAAUCAACUGGUCUUCACUUGAAUAUUCUAAUUCCCCAUGUGUUUGAAUGGGCCUUGGUCUUUAUAUUCUCAUCAUUCCCCUCCUCUUAAAGGCGAUUUGUCCCCAAAUCAUGACUCUCUUAUAAAACAAAAGUGAUGAGAGCAUGUGUAUAGUCACCAAGCAGCCUGCAUGUCGCCUUCUUAAGCGAAGAAUGAUCAUGACAUUCUUGUGUGGAACAAGGACAACUCGUGGUGGUGGUAGAUACAUGUUGCGAACAGCAAGAUUUCCAUGACAAUGGUCACACAAGCGACGUCUCAACCCUAUGGGUGGAUCGUGAGCGGACGCCCGGUGAACCAAGGUUUGGUUGGGCUGAGAGUUGUACGCAUCAAGACGUGCAAACACUGCAUCAAAGGCCAAUGUAACUCGACUAGUGUUGGUUGGAAUUACUUGACCAGCACUCUCUUCGCAGAUCUCUAUGGUUGCGGGUAUUGCACACUGCAAGAUGAAGGAUAUCUGACCACGAACAACCUGCACAAAUGAAAACACGUUAAACACCACCAAGGUGGAACGAUCCAGCUCCCAGUGCCCGAUGUUGUCCUCAGGCUUAGCGAGCAGGAUCAAUGUUCGCCCUUUCUUUUCCUUGCCUUCUAAUCGAUCCAACUCCCAUUCCCUGUGUAAAACAUUUUGGUCCUCUCGAACUUGUGUAGGUGAGAGUGGAACAAGUAUGAUCCUUAUCCCUUUAUGCAUGAACAAGUAUUUGUUGGAAUGACCUUCAUAAGUAACCGCGCGAUCAAAUUGCCAAGGUCUUCCAAGAAUAAGAUGGGCAGCUUGCAUAAGAACCACGUCACACACCAACUCAUCCUCAUAUCUCCCAAUGUUAAACUUCACAGAAACCUGCUUGGACACUCGCACUUCGCCGCAAUCACUAAACCAUUGAAGCUUAUAUGGUGUAGGGUGAUCUUGGACAGGUAGGUGUAACUUCUUGACAAAUAAGACACUGGCGACAUUGGUACAACUUCCUCCGUCGAUAAUCAAGCUACACACUUUCCCGUUAACUAGACAUCGGGUAUAGAAGAUGUUGAUACGCUACUCUUCUUCAUUUGUGCGUUGAGCACUCAAUGCCAACCUUGUAACAAGGCCUAGUCCAACUGGUUGGUCAGGGGCAAUUAUCUCUUCUUCCUCAACCAAUGGUGGCAUGCCUUCAUACUCAUCCUCCUCAUCCGUUAGCACUUCACCGCUUAGAAGCAUGAGCAUGGUCCUUCGGUUUGGGCAUUGGGACGCGAUGUGACCGAAACCUUGACACUUAAAGCACUUAGUGUCGCGGUUUCUAGGUUUAGAUGCCCCUAGAUCAGCCUUAAAUUCGGCCCUUUGGGUCGGUGUUGAAGAUGACGAACCAGGCACCCAUGCUCCAUUCGAAACCCCACUUGCCUUAACGGACUUUUGCUCGCUCGUGUGGGUAAUCUAGCCUUUAUACUGCGGAGUUCUCCAAUUUCCAGAUUGGGCGUUGGAGCUUUGGUGAGGGAUAACCCUCCUCUUGAGCCUCCUUUCCACCUUGAUAGCUUUGUCCAAUAAUUCAUCCAUGUCAAGGUAAUGUUGGAGCUCCACAACAUCUGCAAUUUCAGCAUGUAGUUCUCUCAAAAAAUGUGCCAUAGUUGCCUCUAUAUCCUCCCGAACAUCAGCCCGCAGCAUGGCCAUCUCCAUCUCCUUGAAGUAAUCCUCAACCGUCAUACUACCUUGGGUGAGAGUUUGCAAUUUAUGGUGCAAAUCCCUGUGGUAAUACGCUGGUAUGAAGCGCUUCCUCAUGAUCCUUUUGAGUUCUUCCCAGGUGCGAAUGAGUGGUGCUUCAUUUCUCCUUUGUCUGGUGCGAAUCUGAUCCCACCAAACGGCUGCGUAUUCAGUGAACUCAAUGGUUGCCAACUUUACUUUUUGGGACUCUGAGUAGUGGUUACAGUCAAAGAGCAUCUCAAUCUUCCUCUCCCAUUCCAAAUAUGCUUCAGGGUCCGACUUGCCUGCGAAGGUAGGAAUUUUGAGCUUGAUUCCCUUUAGUUCAUCAUUCCCUUGAUUAGGGAUGCGUUUAUAAUUUCGGAAUCGGUUUCCAUCUGCCAUGUCCUCCUCAUUGCUCGAAUCACCUAACUCCUCCACGUAUGGUUGUCUCUUGGAGGCAUUCUUGCCUAGGGUUGAUUUCUCCACCUUAUCCUCCAGUGUAUCAAUUCUCUGAGCCAUACGAUCAAUGGCGCCUGUUAAUGCUUCAAGAACAUGUUUCAUGUCAUAAGGGUCACUUGUCGCAUGAGUUUGAGACAUGUUUAUAGAGUACCUGCAAGGCUCAACAAACAGUUAGUAGAAACUGCCUCAUUCACUCCCUUAGUGUAUCACUCACUCUCGUGUAUGUCACUCAAAGCACUCCAAUGGACUUACCAAACACCUUUACCUGUUGGGUUAGGUAGUUUGAGAAAUGCUGCUCAAGCCCAAAUAAUCGUCACCAACUUCUUCCUCAAGAGUAAUCACGGAGAUGUAGGAGAAAGUGUAGGGAAGUGUUUCUAAAAAUUAGGAGAAAAUAUAGCAGAAAAUAUAGGAGAGAGUGUAGGAGAGUGUUCCUAAAAUCUAGGAAGAGAAUAUAGGAGAGUUUCCUAAAGUGGAUGAGAGAAUAUAGGAAAGGUCCUAAAAAUGUAUGAGAGAAUUUAGGAAAGUUUCCUAAAAAUAGAUGGGAGACUUUUGGAAAGUUUCCAAAAUAAAUGGAUGAAAGAGUUUGGAAAUGUUUCCUAAAAAGGUAGAAGAGAGAGUGUCCAAGUGAGUACAAAGAGUUAUCCAAGUGCUUUACUUAGUUUCCUAAUUGAUUUUGGAAACAAGUUAGUUUUUGGAAACCCUUUGAAAAUCCUUUUCCUCUUGAACAACUUUUGGUAACCUUCUUGAAACAACCUUUGGUAAUCUUCUUGAAACAACUUUUGGUAACCUUCUUGAAACAACCUUUGGUAAUCUUCUUGAAACAACUUUUGGUAACUUCCAAAUUCUACUCCAAGAAAGAUUGCACAAAUUAGAUUUGGUUCCCUAUUCAAAACAAUUCGGUUGCCACUUUCUUUCCUUUCCUUUUUUUUUUCUUGCCAACCGAUUCCUCUUUUCUUUCUUUUUCUUUUCGUUUUUGUUUUCUGUUUUUUUUUCUUGACUACAACUAUCAACCACGACACAAAACAAGGAAGUCCACAAAUAAUAACUACCAAGAACUCCAAAAUCUUUCAAGAACUUUCAAGGAAGUUGUCAGGAACUUCAGAAAUUUCAAGAUUGUGAUCAAGAAUGCAAGAAACUCAAGAUUAUUGUAAGUUCUCUUCAAGAUUCACAAAAUUUCAACAAGUUUUGCCAAAAUCCAGAUUUGAAAACCAAAUAAAUAAGUUGGAUAACACAAACAACAAGGCUGGACAGAUUUGUAUUCGGAUGAACAGUAACUAUGAACAGUGUCAGUGAACAGUAACGAUGAACAGUGUCGUUGAACAGUACGGUGAACAAUAACGAUGAACAGUGACUCUUUUUUUUUUUUUUUGGUUCUAAACAAACGAACAGAUUGGGAUAAACAUAUAUGACUCGAAAUAAACGAAAAAAAAAGAUAUAACCUGGUGGUUGUCGACUAGUUCUGGUACCAACUGAUGUGAAACACCGAUCUAGACAACCAAAACACCAUGGCUUAGGCAGCGGAAAUUUGACCCAACUAAUUCCUAGAAGUCACGAACAAUUUUGAUAUUAUCUCAACCCGUAACUACUCGAAUUAAUGAACCAAAUUGGAGGUAGUAGAACGCCACAAUUAAGGAGAUACUCGAUUGAUAAGUUCGGGUGAAUAACUUGAGAAGAUUCUCAAGUAUUCAAAGGAAACUCUCUUGCCAAAGAGAAAGUGAAAACUCACUAAUUGUAUUUAAUAGCCAAAAAACUGAUCCCAAAACAAAGAGGAAGUGGGGCUAUUUAUAGCCCUUGCAAGCAUUAACCCUAAUCCAAAAAUUGACCAAACUACCCUACAUACUUAAGGAAGAUUUUGGGCCUCACUUACUAACAAAUGGGCCGCAAUUAAACUAGCUUAAUUACCUAGACUUUCUAAAGCGAGAAAUAACCAAAAUCAACGAGGAAAAUCAAAUAAUCCUACUAAACUCAAGUAUUCGUGCAAUCAACUGGUCUUCACUUGAAUCUUCCAAUUCCCCAUGUGCUUGAAUGGGCCUUGGUCUUUAUAAUCUCAUCAUAUAUACUUGCAGAAAAAUCGCAUGUAGGGUAUAUAAAAUUGGUAAAUGUAAAGUUUGACUGUGGAAUGAGUUCAAUUGUUAUAUGUAUUCCCCGCACUCGUCAAAAUAGAAGCAAAAGUGACCAAAUGAGGUGAAAAAGACGAAGUUCGAUCAAGGAACUCGACCCCUCAAUUUGAGUAAAUAUUGUUUUUGAUUCAUUAAAAAGGAGUAAAAUAUAUGUUUUGAUCAUUUUACAUGUGUGUGCAUUGGUUAUUGUGACAAAAGAAUGAUCUAGAAUAUAUUUUGAGCAAUUGAGGUACAGAGUGUAAUUUUUAGAAAGUUAAAAAUUUCUACAAAAAUUUGCAGAAAAAAAUGCGAGCUCAGGAAACAGGACUUUAUGUCGCGUAUUCAAGAACUUGCAUAUUGAGUUCUAAAUGAUUAAAGCAGAAUACAUGGCCUUGAUAUUAUGGAUGAACUUGCUAUAUCAUGCUAGUAAUGUUUACUUGGUUAUUUGAUGAUAUUAUUUUGAGCAAGUUAUUUAUCACUUUUGCUUAUCUAAUCAUGAUUAACCGGCCAAUAAUUGUGAUAAUCUUAAGGUGUUAAAUUUGCAAUGAAAAUUGGGAUUUAACACUAGUUCAAGGAAUUGAUAAACCUAGAGAGUACACUUACGAGAGUAGAAGUGCACCUAUGUGGCUUUAGUGACUUGUUUCAUGUAAUUUCAUAGAAAAAAUGAACUUGUAGUUAAUUUCAUAACCGCGAGAGUAUGGUUUAGGUACAAGUAUAGUUGAUUCAUUGCGAUAAUAGGUUUCACAUACAUUAAAAAAUUACUUCAUAACUAGCCAAGAUAAUAGCAUUCACUUAGCUAGUAACUUCAUUUGUAGGAGUAGUAAGGAAUUUCAUAUCUUUAGGGGCUUUUUAUUGUUACUUUUAUUACUUUUAUUUCAUAUUUGUAGCAUAGAUUGCAUUUGUGAUAGUCUAAAUAAUAAAGGAGUUCAAAAAUCAUUAGUAAUUGAUAAUUUUCUCUGUGCGAUCGAUCCUGAAUACCCUAUAUUCAAUCACGACUCGUAUACUUGUGAAAAAUUGAGUGUGGGGUAUUUAGGAUGUUAUAAAUGUAAAAUAUGACUAUGGAAUGAGUUUAUUAUUAUAUGUAUACCCCGCGCUCGUCAACUUUCUUUGAAGCAUCUUUGGGUUGUAUUGUUGCUCAACAUCAUGUUGGAACCCACAAAAGCAUUGAAGGAAUCAAACUUAGGGACCAUGCAUUACAAACCCCAGUUUGAGUUCGACUAGAGGAGGUUGAUUAAGGACUUACAGCUUGGGGCUGAUUGAUAUUCUUGAUUGAGUCAAGUUUUGGCCAAAGCUUUAGCCAUUUGUUACUUGUUCCAUUAAUCGUUUGUUUAAUUUGCGUAGACAAUAAAAAUGACCAGCUCAUGUUGAGUUUUGGUUAGCUAGAUUGUUAGGGUUGAGUCCAAAUUCUGCCAACUAGAUGUUUGUUGGGCCAUGAGUCUUGUUAGUUUAUAGAUGAAAUAAUCAGCCAGUUUGUUUGAUUGAUGGGUCAAGUAGUUAAUUUAGUUAAACUAGGAUGAAGUGCAGUAAUCUUAGUUCCAUUUGGAUUAGUCUAAGUUGGAUUGGUGCCUAUAAAUAGGCAAGUCUUUUCUUUGUAAUAGGAAGUCGAAAAUUCCCAACAAAUAACAUUGAGGGUGAAAAUUUUCUUGGCUUCUUGUAAGCUUUCUUUGAAUUUCUUAAAGCUGUCCUAAAUGUUCAUUCGAUAUAUCAAUAAAAAAUCGCACUUGAUUGUAAUAUCGUUCUACCCAAACUUGAUUCAUCUUAUGCUAUCCAAGAUCAAAUUAGGUUUUCUGCUUCCAAUCUUGGAUACCACCAAUUCUAGAUCAUGUGGUUCGUCAUGUCACAAAUUGCAUUUGAAAUAGGGCGUGAGUCGUAUCAGCGUCACAAUAUUCUUGCCUUUUCUGUGAACUUUUUGAGUAUCAACAAAAGUGAUAUUAGCAUAAAAUAUUGGUUAAAAAUUGGAGUGGCGUAUUUUUCUUUCUCUUUAAGAGCAUGGAUAAGAUGUGUUUUAAGUGAUGAGCAACGAUCCUGACCAAAGUUUCUUCAAACUACCUUGAUUUUAGUACAUUGUAAACAAAUGUUUUAAGUAAUACAGUGAUUCACAAUAAUGAUAUCUUCACUAGAUCUAUUGAGUGCAAUUGAGCAAUAAAAUUACUAAAUUUUCCAGCCUAUUAACGCAAUAACGUUUUAAGUAAAAACAAAACCUAAUUGAAAAUGUUCAAUGAAAAUGUCCCUUCAGUCAUAAUGUACUUCCAAGUUUGGUUAUGACAUAUUUCAACAGAUUCUCUAAAUGCGUGAGAGGUUUACAUAGAAUUUCACCCGGUAUCUAGCACAAAUUGCCAUCAUCAAAUCUAUUUUAAAAUAACUUUUGUAGAUUUUUUUAUAUUUCUAAAUUCAGAAAGGUACAAAUUUAACAACAAGAGCCAGAGGUGCAAAUUUUUGAGCAAAGAAUAGGAAAUGCCUUUACCUUUGGUGUUUCUAAAAGUAAAGGGCAAUAAACAUAUUAUAAAUGAUCAUUUUUUCAAGAUAUGGAAGAAUAAAUGAUUUAAAAUGGAUUUAUGCCUCCUCUAUGAAAUUUUGAGUAUCAAUAAAAGUGAUAUAUGCAUUAAAACAUGGUCUAGAAUUAGAGCAACAUAUUUUUCUUUCUUUCUUAAAAGGAGGAAGUAAGAUGUUUGAAGUGAGAAACAACCUUUAUCAGAGUUUCUUCAACUUUCUUGAUCCUAUGUGCAUUAUAAAAAAAAUUUUAAGUUAUACAAUUACUAUCUCUACUCAAAAAUAUUAUAUCCACUCUAUAUCUUUCUCAAUAUCUUUCCUAGUGAUGCGAGUAGAAUUAAUUUGUAAGGUACACUUCUACCAACAAAACUGCACCGUUAAAUAAAAAAAUCCAUCUGUGUUUGAGUUAGUGUCCUUGUACUAGUAUGUCAAAGGUGUACUUAUACGAACAAAUAUGCAUCAUUAAAUAAAUAAAAACAGCCGUCUACUGACUUCACUCUCCUAUUCAACCGAAGCCAAAAAAAGUAGGAAGUCUCCUAAUUGGCCCGUUUCCUAUUUUUACUAAACUACCUUUUCCAAUUCAAAUCUAACAAUCAGCUAAUGGAAUAUUUGCAGUCCUACGUUGUACUUCCAAUUGGCAAUUGGUGUCUCGCGCUUGUCCCGCAUUUUCUGGACAUGUUAAGGUCUGACUUGACGCGCCUAUGCCAAAUAGUAAUUGUAGUGGAGAAUUUGCACGUUUUUAUCCCAUUUUGUUCCAACUCCCCGCAAUCAAUACAAAUUUUCAAAAGUGAGUAGAAUCCGUCAAUUAAUGCACACUUGGUAAUAUAAUAGGAGGGAUUUAAUUACAAAAUAAAUGACACAAUUACGACUUAUCAAUUCCCCCCACACCUAAAUUAUGCUUGUCCUCAAGCAUGAGAACAACAAACAAACACCAAUUCCAGACAAUGGUUAUUGCUCCAUCUACCUUAUUGCCGAGUUAUCAAGAAAAACACAUAUCAAGCAUCAAUGGUCAAGAUCCAAGAAACAUCACCCUGGUUAGCUUCUAAAUCGCAGACUCCUCCAAUUUAGGGCUAACUAUUCUAAGAAAAAGGAAUGAUCGAUCAACAUUUAUCAACAAAUGAUCCAACUAUUAACCAAAAUAUCAACAUUAAAUCCACAAAUCGGGGAGCUGGCUUUAAUCACAUAUUGACACAAUCUUCACUUUUAUCACGCUUUUCUAUUUUUCUAUUUUUUCAGUUUUAAUAGUAAUAAUAGACUUAGUGUCUAGCCAUUAGAGUCUUUUGACGCGAACUCUAAUAUUUGCCAGAUGAUGGAGCCCGGUUACUCAGCUCCUAUCGCUACGCGACCACGUACUCAUAGCAAUUACUACCGUUUGACGCGAGAAUUGAUACUUUAGUUGAAGAUCCCCGGUUAUUCAGUAGUAACAACUAGCGGAGUACAAUCAACUCUUAUUUACAACCAGAUAACACAAUAACUCAAAAUAUCACAAAGAAAAUAGCAGCAGCUAGCCUUAUUUUUCAAAUAUGGAGAACUAAAGUUAAUAACUGGAUCAAUUCACAUGAAAAUGCCAACAAUCAUUCCCAAUGCCUAGAAAAGUUAACCAAAAAUUAGAAGAGCCAAACAAUCACCGAUAUUCACCAAAGAGAUGAUCUUGGACUCAACCAUAUUAACUAGAUAUACUUUUAUUACUAAAACUUGGCAAUAGCAGAAUUAGAGUCAACAAUCCAACAUCAAACCUUGGUAUUCACAUGAGAGCUAAUCACUAAAAAGAAACAAAGAGAAUGAACGAAAGAUAAACAAAUAACAAACUAAAAAAAAAAGAAAAAACAUCUAAAAACUAAAAACUAGAAAUACUAGCAUCACAGCUGUCCAAUCCCCCCGCCCCACACUUAAAUCCGACAUUGUCCCUAAUGGAGAGUAGAAAACAAGUAAAGCGAAGAGGACAACGAAACUUCCCUCGUGAGUGGUUAACAGGUAGGCGGGAACGGUGCAGGGAAACCGAUGUGAUAGAAGUACGCGGCCAAGUUCUGAGACAUCUCAACUCAAUUCAACUAGCAAAUGCAAAACUCUGUCCACCCAAAAUCUCAACAAAGUCUCCAAUUAGACAGUGAAUAUCUCAACUUAAAAUCGCCAAUUCAGCAAUAGCAGUUUAGAAAUUUGACAAUAACCACAUAAUUACAAGUUCUUCCUUUUCAAUCAGGCAGCUAACCAAUUAUGAAUAACAAAUGCUAGUCAAAAUACCCCAACCAGUACCACUGGUGCACCCCACAGUAAUGAAACGAGUCAAUCGGCCACAGAAUCUAAAUCACUGGUAAACCCAACAGCACCAGACAAUACCAAAAAGAAAUUGGAAAGCGAUUGUCAAGUACCUCCAACGUAGACAAUGGCCAAACAAUAUCUCCGAGAGAGAAUGAUGGUUAUCAAGAGAAGGAGACAGAGGUAGUGGCGCGCGACCCGUGACUGCGGAGGCGUCGAGAGGCAGAGAGAAGAGUGAAUCCAACAAUCAAACCCAGCAACUUAUGCUUCAAUUAAUCAGGUGGGAGUUAAGAAGAGUGAAUACCUCUACCAUUGUGUGAAAGAGGGGGAUGCGAGGGAAGGGAGAAAUACGGACAGUCGCGAGGCGAGGAAUGGCGGCGAAUAGCAGCAGUGCGAGAGGUGGCGAAAGUGGAAGGUCGCGAUGCGCAGCAGUGGUUGGUUGCAACAAGGAGAGAGAGGGAGAGCGAGGUGGUGGCACGGCGCACGACGGUGGAAACGUUGGCUUCGGACAGUGGCGGUGCGGGAGGUGGAUGUGCGCGGAGAAGAGACAGAGGGGUAAUGGGGUGGCGUCCAUGCCGCCUGGCGACGGCGAGAUCGACAGUGGCGGCAGCGUUGUUCGUCGAUUGCGGAGAGGGGCGGCGAGCGUAGGUGCGAAGCGAAGAGGCGGCGACAGCUCUAGUUUGAGUCGCGACCAAAAGAGAACCAGGGAAGAAGAAGGAAAGAAGAGAGAAAGAAAGAAAAAGAAAGGAGAUGGAGAAAGAAAAAAAAAAGAAAAGAAAGAAAUAGUUUUGGAUUUUUUUUGUAAAUUUAAAAAGUUGUAAUUUGAAAAUUAGAAGCUAUAGUUAAACGGAAAUUUUUUUUAAUUAAAAAAUUUAAUUUUUUUAUCAUUAACAAAAUUUAUUUUCGAAAUUCAAAAUUAGAGAUUAAAAGAAAAUCAAAAUUUUCUUCAAGGUUUCAAUACUUACCUUUCCCACGAACAUGACGCGGGCACAUCAUGAGGGUAAGAACCCUUCUGACGCAGAGCUCUCCAUGUGACUCAACGCGGGCACGUCAUGAGGGUGGAAACCCUCCUGACCAAUAUCAAGAAGUUGCACCUUGCCACGCGUCCAGUUGACGCAGGUGCGUCAAGUCAGAGAGAUACCUAUGCAUCAUCAAAAACGAAAAUGGAAACCAGAAAUCUGUCAAACUCAAGAAAAAUAUAUUUAAACUAUCAAACAAAACUGAACAAAUAACUAAAAGAAAUUGGGUUGCCUCCCAAUGAGUGUCUUUCUUUAAUGUUUUUGACUAGACGUUAAACACCACUCUUCAAUUUGGAUGUAAUUUAAUUUUUCUUGUAAUCGGUGGCCCUCCUCCGGGAUCUAAAUAGUCAUUGAGUGCAGCCUUCUUUCUUAAUUUUCUAUUCAUUUUUACUUCAUAAAUUACUUUCAUCCCCUGAUACUUGUUCGCAGCAAUUUUGAAUUUAUCGCUACAAACAAACUCAAAAAAUUCUUGUACAGAGGGAUUAAUAGCAUGAAUAGUAAAUAUAGAGUGAGAAUCAAUAGGAUGUUUUAUUGUAUCAAAAAUAUUAAAGUGGACUAUUUCUCCAUCAAAUUUCAUUGUGAAAGUACCCUUACUAACAUUAAUCUUAAUUUGGGCAGUACUUAAGAAUGACCUUUAUAAUAUAAUGGGUGAUGGAUUUAGAACACUUCCAUCAUCCAUGUAAAGCACAUAAAAUUUAGUAGGAAAAAUUAAUCCAUCUACUUGCACUAAAACAUCCUCAACUACCCCAUCCGGAUAAGCAAAUGUACUAUCAGCCAAUUGAAUUAUUAUCUAUGUUUCUUUUAAAGGUCCUAAAUUUAGGGAAUCAUAGAUUGAUUUAAGUAUCACAUUAAUAGAAGCCCUUAAAUCUAGCAUGGCAUUUUUAAUUUUAGAAUGUCCAAUCUUACAGGGGAUAGUAAAUAUAUCUGGAUUUUCGCAUUUAGGUGGUAGUUUCCUUUGUAAAAUCGCUGAAACGUUUUCACCUACCACAAUAUGCUCAUGCCCCCUCAACUUCUUCUUGUUGAUGCACAAGUUCUUCAAGAAUUUCAUGUACUUUGGCACUUGUUUGAUUGUAUCUAGUAGGGGAAUGUUGAUCUCUACCUUGCGAAAUACCUCCAAUAUCUCUUUCUCCUUGUCCUGCUUCUUCGAGCUCUCUAACCUGCUAGGAAAAAAAGGUGGAUUAGUUUUAAUUUCAAUGAUUGGGUCAGGGAGUACCACUAGAUUUUUACGAUUUUUGUCCUCCUCCUCAAGUUCUUUCUCGAUCUUUUCCUCAUCCUUGUCUUUUGGAGUAACAAGUUCAGGCCCUUGAAUCUCUUUCCCAUUCCUGAAGGUCAUUGUACUUACAUUCUUCAGGUUUAGUUCAUGUUGAGAUGGCAAUUUUUCGUAAACUUGGGAUUCCAGGCGAUUAAUUGCUAUCGCCAUCUGACUCAUUUGACUUUGCAUUGCUUGCAUCUGUUCCAAUUAAUUCCUAAUACUUUGUAGAUCAGAAUCUGUCUUUUGUUGAUUAGUAAUUAAUUGCUUCAUCAUCUCCUCUAUAGACGGACUUGAGUUUGAAGGGGGUGGUGGCGAGUGAGGUUAAUACUAUUGUUGAUACCCUUGCGACCUAUUUGGUGCGAAAUUUGAUUGCCUAUUUCCUCCAUAACUGAAGUUAGGAUGAUCUCUCCAACCCGGAUUGUACGUAUUCGAGUACGGGUCAUAUUGUUUUUUUGGCGCAGGCGCGUGACCAGCCAUGUUCACUUGCUCCGCAUUUUCUUCUUGAAUCAUUGGGCACAUCUCUGUAGAAUGACCCAUAACAGUGCAAAUCCCACACACUUUGGCUUGUGAUACAGUUCCUACAGCCAAUUACCUAACAAACGAUGUUAACUCAGUCAAUUGCUGCUGGAUAGAAGAUGUCUCUAUCUCAUUCACUUUGUGUGUCAGGACAUCCCCCAUCGUACCAAACUGCUGCGAAUUCUCAGCCAUUCCUUCAAUUAGUUCCCACGUUUCUCGAGAAGUUUUGUUCACGAAUAUCCCUCCACUUGCAGUAUCAAUUAUACUCCCGUUUCUGAAAAGUAGCCCCUCGUAAAAAUAUUAGAUGAGCAAUUGCUCACUUAUACGCAGGAAAAUAUUUGUUUAAAAAUUUUUUCUUCAGUUGAUUUCAUGUGGUGAUGCUACCUGGUGGAAGGUAGUACAACCAAUCUUUUAUGGAAUCCUUCAAGGAGAAGGGGAAUGCCCUCAUUUUUAUCUGUUCUUCUGUAAUUCUCGAGGGUUUCAUGCUAUUGCAAACGACAUCAAACUCUUGCAAGUGCUUGUAAGACUCCUCACCUAGUAAACCAUAAAAAGAUGGUAAGAGAUGAAUUAGACUAAAUUUUAAUUCAAAACACGUGUUAUCAUUUAAAUGCAAAAAAGUAAUGCAUAAGGGCUGCUGAUUUAAAUCAGGUGCAGCCAACUCCCUUAGUGUUUGUGCAUUAGCCAUAGUCACUUCUUCUCGAUCCGAAUCACUCGAAGUAUCACCAAACGGACUUGUUACUUCAACUUCCAGAUCAAGUCUAUGAGAUGCAACACUAGAUUGCUCCUCUCUGAGCUGUCUAGUCUCUUUUCACGUUCUCCGCGCAGUCUUCUCUACCUCAGGGUCAAAAAUCAAUUCACCUGUACGAGAAGAAAGAGCCAUACACUAGAAAAAUAUUAGAAAAUUAAAACAAAAAUGAAUUUAAAAAGAAACAAAUACUAACGUCAGUCCCUGGCAACGGCGCCAAAAAUUGACAGGUGUCGAACCUGUGCAAUAAUAAAAAAUAAACCAAGUUGCUAAUUAAAAUAAUCAAAACCCGAUUCUAAGUAUUGGAAUAGGGACUUUAGGUGUGCAAUGGGUUACUUGAUUCACCCUGUUCCCGAAGAGUUUGCUUAAUACAAUAUAUCCGAAUGGGAUGGCUCAUUCACAAAUAAUUAUUUUUUUGUAAAUAGGGCAAGUAAGGUCGUAUUCUCAGGGAUUGGAAAUAUUUGUCUCUUUUUGACGUUCAAAGUGACAAUGGGGCAUUUUUUAUAGCAAUGGCAAUGAGUAAACGAUUUGAAUAAAAAUAAAUAACCAAUAAAAGAUUAAAUGACAAAUUACUAAAAUCAGAGUAAUAAUAACUAAAGGUCUAGCCAAGAAAUAAUUUCAGUAAUAGUUCACCUAAUUGAUCAUCCAUGCAAAAGGCAAUUUCAAUUAUUUUACUAAUAAAUAGGUUAUAACUGCCAAAUAAGCGAUGACAGUCAACCCCUCUUUACUGUGUCGGUGAUUAAGGUACGCCCGUUAAUCAUUGCUCUAAUUGAAAAAUAAUCUUAGGUACGCCCGUAAGAUUUAAUUUCCCAAUUGCCUUACGUAUUAGAGGAGCCCUAUUCUAACCAAAUAAUGCACUACCAGGGUUAUUUUAGAUUAGCCAGCGUAUUUCACUGACACAAACCCAAUCAUGCCAGUUGUCACUAUAUAAUUACGGAUUUAACGCUCUAAUUGACAUCAAGUUGCUAAAUUGAUUCAACGUCCGGGCCCAAGAUAUUUAAUUAACAAAACAACCAUAAACAUUACAAACAGAAAAUUUGCAAAUACCAGUAAAUAAGAUGAAUAAAUAAAAUUAAUUCGAUCUCACAAAUUUUAGAUGAACCAAAACCUCUAUUGUUCCUUGACUAGAAGAAGGGAUUUAGUUCAUCCCUGAUGAGGAAAACCCACGCGAAAUUGUAAAAGUAAUUGUUGCGUACAUUGCCUCUCAAUUGAGAGUAGCAAUCCGAUGGAAUAAGUCACAAGAAUAAUAUGCCAAAAGUCAAAAUCCAAAGUAGUCAAGAAUGUCUGCUACUUUUUCUCCAAUUCCCCUCUAUUUCCUACCUAAUUGUCCACUCCUAUACGGUUAUGACAGGUGUCGAGUCUGUACAAUAAUAAUUACUUACUCAAGAGAAAUACAGAUUUUGUAUAUAGCGGUGAGUAGGGUCGAAUCCACAGGGACUGGGGAUAAUUUGUUUCUUCUAGAGUUCAAAGUAUGUGGGGUUUUAGGAUUAAAUGCUAACGAGCUAAAUAAAUCACAUGCAAAAAAAUAAUAAUAAUUAAUUGACAGAAAUAAAUGGGAAAAAUCUAGCCAAGGGUACACUUCAGAAAUGGUUCAUGCACUGAUUAUCGAUUCACAGAUAAUUCCACAUUUAUUAAUAGAUUGGUUAUAACUGUCAUACACGCGAUAAACAAUCAACCUUUCCUUAAUUUCUCGAUAGUUAAGGUACGACCGUUAACUAUUUCUCUAACCCAGAAACAACCCUAAGUACGACCGUAGGAUUUAAUUGCUAGAUUGCAUUAAGAAUUAGAAAUGCUCAAUCCUAACUAACAAACACGCUACGAGGGUUUAUUUAAGUUAGAUCGUAUGUUUCCCUGACAUAAAACCAAUUACGCCAGUUGCUACUGGGAUAAAGAUAACGAACAAUUACGGAUUCAAUUACCCCUAUUUAGUAAAAUAGCCUAUAUGAAUAAUUAAUUAUUGCGCACUAAUCAAUCAUACACAAGAGUUAUAACAAUUAAAAGCAGGAAUCAUAUAAAUACCAAUAAAUGAGGAAACGAUUAAAAUAAAUUCGAUCUCACAGUAAUUACAGAACCAAAUUUUCAGUUGUCCCUUGACUAGAAUUAAGAAGCUAGUUCAUCUUCAUGGAUGAAAUUCCAUGCAAAAUUGCAAAAGUCAUUCUCUCCCCAAAACAAAGCUAUGUUUUCCCUCGUACUAAUAGAAGAGGCGGACCUAGAGAAACAACCCAAAAAAUGGCAAAACAAGGCCAACCCGCUAAAAAAAAGGAAUCAAUCUCCUAAGCUAAGUCUACCUCCUUUUUCUCUUAAUUGUUUCCUUGUCUUACACGGCCAUAUGAAGACUAGAGGAAAGAGCCCCACUUUGACUCCACUUUGCUAUUCAUCCGCACCAAUCAAGCUAGGAAAUCUCCUAAUUGAAAAGAAAAAGCUGCCGAAGAUAAUGUGAAUCGUUUCCUAAAAAUAUAAAAAUAACUAUUAAAGAAAUUUUCCCAAUCUUCAACCUCGUGCUCUCGUUGACUUCUACUCGGACUUGGAAACUUCCACGCUCGAAUCCCAAAUCUUCUGAACUUGAAUGUGCCACCACCAAAUUAGCUGGAAAUUAUCCCUUUUAAUCAUGUUUUGGUUAUUUUCCUACAAUUAGCACCAUUAACCAAAUAUAAGUAGAAUUCGUCAAUUAAUACAAUAUUUGGCUAAAAUCAAGGAAAAAAAUAAUUAUAAAUGUAGUAACAAUUUAUAACCUAUCAGGCUACUCCAGUGAGUAUUAGGAAAAGAGAGUCCCAAUCUCAAUUAACUUCACUCUCCUAUUCAAUCGAAGCCAAAAAAUGUAGAAAGUCUCCUAAUUGGCCCGUUUCCUAUUUUUGCUAAACUACCUUUUCCAAUUCAAAUCUAACAAUCAGCUAAUGGAAUAUUUGCAGUCCCACGUUGUACUUCCAAUUGGCAAUUGGUGUCUCGCACUUGUCCCGCAUUUUCUGGACACGUUAAAGUUUGACUUGACGCGCCUACGCCAAAUAGUAAUUGUAGUGGAGAAUUUGCACGUUUUUACCCCAUUUUGUUCCAACUCCCUGCAAUCAAUACAAAUUUCCAAAAGUGAGUGGAAUCUGCCAAUUAAUGCACACUUGGUAAUAUAAUAGGAGGGAUUUAAUUACAAAAUAAUUGACACAAUUGCGACUUAUCAGUUUCUUUGUUGAUUGCAAGCAAGUUCCAAUCACUAAGUUUUAUAUAUCAACUAGAUACUAUAUUCAUGACUAGUUAUAAAAUCUUACUAGUUAAGUAUUACUUAAAAUGAAUUCAAACCUUAAAAGGAAAUGAAAGAUUAGUUGAUAUAUUGGGUGUAAGACAUGCCGAUGACGCUUUGGUUUUCUCAAGUGGUACUCAUUCUUCUUUGAAGUAUAUUUUGGAUGUUCUUCAUAAAUAUGAAAACUGUUCAGGCCAGCAAGUUAACAUAAGUAAUAGUUGUUUCUUGACCCAUCAACGGUUGUAUGUGGCAAGACGGCGAGUAAUCAAAAGCGUCACUGGGUAUUCUUAUCAAGAUUUUCCAGUGAGAUUGCUUCAAAAAAAAAUAUUUUCCAGUGAGAUGUUUGGGUUGUCCGCCAUAUGCAGGCCGUAGCAAAAUUUCCUUUUUUGGAACGUCAUGUCAGGCCAUUGUGACUCUGUAAAUUCAUUUGUCAUGGUGACAGGCCGCUCUUGAUCAGGGACGUGCUUUCAUCCUUUCCUAUUCAAGUCCUAGCUGCAGCUACUUCUCCUAAGUCUGUUUUUAAUAUGAUAGUAUCUAUUUUUCCUAGAUUUUUUGUGGGUUUCCUCAGAGGAGCAGAGGAACACUCCAGUUUCGAUUAGAGUUGGUCCUUGUUCGUUCACUCUCACUAAUUCACGAGCUGUACCCUCUCACCAAUUCAUGCAUUAGUAGUAUAUUAUCAGCUAUACUUCUUCCUAUUAUAAAAGUACUCUAAUAUUCACCAAUGAUUCGAGGAAUUACAGCUUUCAACCUAUUAGUUUGCCCUUUUGAAUAGCAUUUAUAUAGUAAACUACAACAGGCUAUAGGCUUGAAAUCCCUCAUUUGUGUUGUAUUCUGCACCGUUGGGAUCGGUGUAAUUAUACUGCUACUCAAAGGAUAAUACAUAUACUUCUUAUCAAAACAAAAUUGAACACAGCUCGAAUUACUUUUUCACCAAUUACAUGCCAAUUCUUUUUUUUAAAAAAAAAAAAAAAAAAAAAGUGCAUUAAAGCCAUCUUGGCUUGUAGCUUUGCCAGCUUUCAUGGUAAACAUAGCAUGUUUAAUCUCUUCAGCCGACACACUAGCUUGGAGAAAGCGAUCGAAUUGAUCACUAGUGACGGUUUUAAUGUUUAUUUGUUGCAGCUUGCCCUUCAAAUCAGGGUACUGAGAGUUAGAUUUACUGAACAGAGUCUUACAAAAUUCCACUGCAAUUUCUUGAACUUGCUCAUAGUCCUUAACAAUAUCACCUUCAUCAUUUCUAAGUGAAAGUAUCUUAUUCCUGGCAGCAUGACCCUUCACCUUUAUGUGGAAAAAGCAAUAUUUUGAUAGGGCGUGAAUUGUAUUAUCUUUAUAUGUACAAAUUACUAGUUAAUGGUGAUAGUUGAGCUACAAUUUGAAUAGAAACAUCUUAAUUUUGAUCACAUGUUGUUUUAAUAUGUGGAGAGCUCAAUUGAAGAGAAAAUGGACUAAUCUUGGCAAGACGAAUCAAGCAAAGAAGCAAUAAAAGAAGAAGAAGAAUGAACGAACAAGGGCUGUUGCAUUACUAAGGCUUUGCAGGCAGAUCCAUAGUGAUCUGUGUGUGGAUCCUCAAUAACUGCGUCAGAUAUCAAAAUGGUCUUCACGCCAGACUUUUUCUGGUUGUUAUGGUUUUGAGCUUCAUCCAAUGACCGGCCCAAACUUGGGGCCAGUAUUCAUUCCAAAUCGGUUCCUUAGCAAUUUUUUUUUAGCUCCAAGAAGUCUAAUCCUACCAUAUUUGGGUUAGAGCAUUAACAAACUAUAAAUAGGGGUUAUCUAGGUCAUUAUUAGGGGGAGAAACACACUAUACUAACAUUAGUUCAUCAUAUAAAACUCUUUCUUAGGAGAUCAAGGAUGGGUUCAAGGCAUGGAAUCAAAGAGAAAUCAAGACGGAGUUCGGAGCAAGAAAAAUUAAAAAGUUUUCUUUACUUUUAUCUUCGUACAUGUAUUUACUCUUUGAAUUCUUGAUUGUACAAUGACCAUGUCGAACUAAUUUGUAUCUAGGGUGAGGAUUUUGUGAAAGAGUAUUGGUUAUUUAUUUUAAUUAAAUUCUUUAUAUUUGUCUUGAUUUAUCUAUCUUGAUUUAAUUACGUGCUAUGUUUGAUCACCAUAGAUAUGCUCUUAGAGUUUGUAUUGAACUGAGAAGGGACGUACAACUAUACACUAGAUAGAUAAAUAUAUUUAAUUUAAUUACAUGAGUAGGCUAGGGUUUGUAUGAUGUAAUUGAAAUCACAUAAGAUCUUAAAAGAUUUAAUUAAAUACUUAUAAUCUUGAGAGAGAUGUAGGAUAUGAUUGGGCACAAUUUAGUUGUAUCAAGAGAUAAUCUAAAACACCUUUACAUAAUACGUUCUUGGCAUGUUAAGAAAUUAGCUGGAUAAUUAAUUCAAAUUCUAGCUCAAAAUUUGAAACUUUAGCCUCUUGCUAAUUGUUAUCUCGCAUCUAUUUUAUUUGACUUGAUAAUUUACUUUACCUCUUAAUUAUAAAUCAAAUCCUUUGAAUUUAAAUUUCAUUGCCUUCUCAUAAUAAUUAAAGUAGAGAAAAUUAAUUCGUCCUUGUGAGUUUGACCUCUAGAAUACUCCUGAUGAUUUUGUUACUACGAUCGGCUCUGGGCACUUGUAGAAAUACCCGAUCAAUUUUUAUCUCCGGAUUGUAGCCACUGCAUUCUGGACUAAUCCUUAUAGAAUUCCUCUUCAGCUAGAAUCAAUCUAGCGUAUUCCUAGAUUAGAACUUUCUCUUCAGCAAUUAACUCAGGAUCAAAAGAUUGCUAUUGCAUAUGCUGCUGCACUAUUAUCAGUUGCUCUUUUUUGCUUUGAACUCCACUAGAGAUGUGGUUAUAAUGUCGUUUAUUCAGCUCUUGAAGCCUACCCUUAAGCUGUUUUAGUCGAAAACUGAUAAGCUGCAUAGGAUUCAUUAACGCUCCAGGAUCAGCUUGCCAAGAAUCCAACAAGAGACAUCAAAAAACUCAUUAUGCUGCAUCCAAAAGCUACGGAAUUUAAAACACUUUGGCCCAAAUUUAACUUGAUCUAGCUAUUUAUUCGGAUUGGUAAUGAUACAACAAAAAAUUGUUAGCCUUAAUGUUUGGAAAGUGCUAUUCUUUCUAUAAUCAUAUCUAUAGGAUUACAAAGGAAUAAAGUUCUCUCAGUCAAAGCUUGAUUCGAAUUUAGUCAGCAUUGAAGUCAAGUCGAGAUUGAGUUGACCAAGUUGAGGUGCCGUGCUCGUAUCUAGCAUACCAUAAUCCUUUCUCAUUUUUUCCUUUUCUUUAAAGAUUAAUCUUUUCACAUACAUAUGCAUAUAUAUAUACAUACAUGCAUACAUAUAUAUAUACACAUACACAGAUAUAUAUGUAUGUAUACAUACAGAUAUAUAUACAUACAUGCAUACAUGCAUAUACAUAUAUAUAUGCACACACAGAUAUAUAUAUAUAUCUGUUUACAUAUAUAUAUGCAUACAUAUGUAUGUAUGCAUACAAAUAUAUAUGUAUGUAUACAUGCAUGUAUGUAUGUUAACGAGGUUGCAUGCAUGUCACAUGUACGUUCAAAUUUAAAUUAAGAUGAUGCGCUAUAUAUCCAAAUCUACUAAUGUAUAUACUGACAAUGUGGGAAAUAUUUUAAAUCAAAAAAGCAUUUUUCUUGAGAUAUAAAGUAUGCAGCCUUCUUUAUCUUGACAGUAAGAUCACCAUUUUCUGGAUUUGGGCCGUUCAAAUGGGCGGGUCAAGUGGUUGCUUGAGUUUAAUGAGGUACUAGGUGCAGAUAGGUGGACCGCAUAACCCCAUUUAAUUAAUGGGUUUGGUAGGGUUGUGUAAAUGGUUUUUCAGUCACUGAAAGCUUGACUAUGACCCAUUCAUAAUUUUUUGGUUUCUGUCACUCGACCCGUUUACUUUUGUCCAAGCACAGGCUGCAUUUUUUAGACACCCAGCUUAAAACCCCAAAUUAAACAUUAAAGACCACCUGGUAAUUUCCCUUUGGGUCUCAAAUCUCAAUAUAGGUGGAUGUAAAUAUUUUAACUUUUAAUUUUGGAUAUUUUAACAUUUAAUGUCUCCAAAACCCAGCACAGUUGCAAAGAACAUUAAAUAUGUAAUUUUGAUGUCUGUAAUUUGACUAUCAAGCAUUUCUUUCAUUCCUUACUCAAAUACGACCUAUGUCAUAUUUGAUAAUUUAGUUCAGCAUUUAAAGUUAAUGGAUUCAAAUGUUUAACAUAUUCAGAUCAUUUGAUAAUAAAAAAUUAAACAUCUAAAUUAAUUAAGUGGCGUUGAAUUUUCUAGACAAAACUUGCUCUCAAAAUUAAGUGAUAAGCAAUUCACUUAUCAUUGAAUGUGAUGUGUACUCAAAUGUAUUAAAUUUAAUACUUAACAAUUCAAUAAUUUAAUGGAUUCAAAUUUCAAUUUUGUCAAACGUACCCUUAUAGUCCUCUUUAAAUUGGGGAAAAAAAAGAAAAAUAGUAACAUACACGGGAAUGAAAUUGAAAAUGAAAGUAACGAGGGAAAGCCCCACGAUGACUUCCGAUGGAGAAGUCAGGUUUACGUCUGAUCAUCAGUUGUCGGUGAAGAGAUAAGGCUCAGCUCAUCCAAGCAAAAAGAAUCGUGAUUGGAGAAGUCAUCGUAGAAUUGGCAGCAAUGUUCAAUACAAAUGGGUAAAUGAAGAGAUAAGGCUCAGCUUAUCCAAGCAAAAAGGACUUGUGAUUGGAAAAGUCAUCGUACAAUUGACGACAAUGUUCAAUAGAAAUUGGUAAGCGAAGAGACAAAGAGACAGCUUACCCAAGCAAGAAAGACCCGUGAUUGGAAAAAUCAUCAUGGAAUCAAGUACAAUGUCAAUACAGAUUGAUUCAGUUAAUAAGAAACAGAAUAUGUUAAAAACAUACUAUCUACAAAGAUUGUAUUAAUAAAUUAUCUGUAGUAUUCUUAUAAACGACUCAUAAUUUUAGAAUCCACGAUCUCAGAAACAUGUCUUAUCCCAUGAUCAUAGUGACGAGAAGCCAUCCAAACUUUUUUUUCCUCUUAUCAAAAGUGUAGAAUUGGCAACAACAAUAACAGUCACGCUUUGUGCUUUCUUGCCUACCCUUUUCCUACAUUUUUCUACAAUGCAUGCUUGAUAGUUAACGUUUUUUUAAGGCAAAAUAGCAUUUUUAUCGAUCUGAGCAAAACAGUACUAAAUGUACCUAUUCUCCCAAACAUAACAAACGUGCAAAACUUUAUCGCCACGUGCAUGUAAAACAAAUUUGACCCGUAAAACAUAUAAUAAACAUCCGUAUACGCAACUAUAAGCGAUGUCCCAAAAAAAUUAUUCCUACAUAACGAGGGCAAAAUUUCACCCAUGAUGAAACUACUUUCGACAGGGAAUUUUGGUAAGAAUGUAUUACACAAAUUUCUAAUUUACGAUCGAGCGCAAAAUUUCACCCAUGAUAGAACUACGUUUGACAGCAAUUUUUGUCAGAAUGUGUUAUUAGUAUACAAAUUUCUAAUUUACCAUACCAGGUUAAUUUUAUCUUAAAAAUUAGGAGGACUGUUGUCGUCCAAUUGACGUUGCCUAGCUGCCUGCCUUCCUGUCACAAACUGACAAUUAACAACAGAUACUAAAUCAAUUUUCAUUGGCCCAAGCAACCUCUCUACCGUUCUUUGUGGGAGUCAAGACCUUAAAAGUAAAGUCAAGAUAUCCUCCGUGUAUGCUUUCUCAUCCAUGUUUCUAGUAACCUUAUUUUCGUUCCUCUAUGAUGACAAGCUGUUCUGGAAAUAAUAAUCAUUUGACCACAUGAUUAAAACUCACUAAUGCAUCGCCAUAUAAAGUAAUCUCUCACCAUCUUACCUUCGUUUGAUAAGUACAAUUUAUUUCCUAACCAUUCUAAUUUGUGAUUCGAUUUGACUAAUGAAUGUUCAAUGGACGCUUGUUAAAAGAAAUUUAUAUUAGUUUUUUGAAAAAAAAAUAGUUUAUUUGUAAAAGUGUCGCAAUUUGAGAUGUGUAAUAUAAGUGAGUAUGUGUAUUUAUAUAGCAAUUUAGGUGUGGCCAUUAGCGAAACACUUUUCCUAAUUAAGCCUUUACUCUGUAACUGGCAUUUCUAGCCAAAUAUAUAUAAUAGAUUGCGUGCCAUUAAAAAAUUCUUCAAAGCGCCUACCUAUAGUAAUUACGUGGCAGCGGUGUAUCUUUUCACACUGACCUUAUCAAAAGACGCGUCCCAUGCUGGUCGUCCGACAAGUCAAAUGAAUUUAGUUCUGGGGUACGUCACCACAUUUUUAGGCCUAUAAAUACGAGGACUCUAGUUCGUUAUUUUGAUGUGCUAAACUCAGCUACCAAGUUUUCGACAGUCACAACCAAUUAGUUACAAAUACCCAUUUUCAUUCAUAUUAAUUAGCUAGCUAGUUCUUCAAGGGAAAAAAUGGCUGAAGCCAAAUCUGCUACUGUCACUGAUCAGGUGAAUAGUGAUUCUACUGCCUAGCCAGACCUAGAUUUCCUUCUUUUUCAAGUUCUUGUAUUUGGAAAAGUAUAAGGAGUUGCAAACUAAAGUAAUUUCAACGUUCUUGAAUUGUCUUGAGCGAUAUUUUACAUUUCUAGUUGUCCGCAUACAUAUGGGUAGGCGGUCUCUUGAAUUGUUUGAUAAGCUUCUUCUGAGUGAUGUAGUUUCUUAUUAACUGAUCGGAUUUAGUCUUCUUCUGAUUGUUUGUUUAUUUGAAAGGAUUCUAAUUGAUUUUGCGUUUUUCUAACUGGUUAAAAUGUUUGGGAUUUACAGAUCGACAUCAAUUCAAUACAACCAGUGAAGCCGGCCGACCCUCGCGUGGUCGAGAUUGGACAAUUUGUAGUGGAAAAAUUUCACCACGGAAAGCUGCUUUUCAUCGCCGUGCUUGGCGGAUUCACGUGGAAAUGUGAGGGAGGCAAGUACUACGCCCUUGUCAUUGAAAAUCAGGAUUAUGAGGGCGCCACAUUUAUCCAUAAAGCACUUGUUGUUGAGGCCCCAGGUGAAACGAAACUCCUCUGGCACAAGAAUUAAUCAAGCACUACUAUUGAUCAGCUGAGGAUCAAGCAUUACUAUUGAUCAGCUGAGCAUUACUAGUGUCUAUGGUGUGGUUUUCAGUUUAUGCAUGGAUGAUGUACUGCUGCCAUGCAUACAUCUUUCCAGUAUUGUACUAGCAUCUUUCCAUCAUUCCGUUUGUAUUUGAGUUUGUAUCCUUGUAUGUUAAAAGGUGCACUUAUACGGACAAAAAUGCACCAUUAAAUGAAUAAAAACGGCUGUUUGUUUUUGAGUUCGUAUCUGUGUAUUUUGUUUCUCUGUUACUUCGAAGCAGGUUCCAAUCCCUGAAUUUGUAUGUCAACUACAAAAUCUGCUAUAUUCAUGACCAGUUAUAAAUUUUGAUAACUGGUUAAGUGUUACUUAAAAUGGAUCCAAACCCGAAAGGGAUAUGAAAGAUUAAUUGAUAUAUUGAGAGCAAGACAUGCCGAUUACGUUUUGGUUUUCUCAAGUGGUACUCGUUCUUCUUUGUAAGUUUAUUUUGG
rnacentral:lncRNA from 1 species